AAAUAUACAUGUAUCCGGUUUGUGACUUAGAGUCAUCCAGAUCUGUGUCGAAGCUAGCAUCGACGUAACCCUUUACGACGAGCUCUUCGUCACCUCCAUAAACGAGAAACAUAUCCUUAGUCCUCUUCAGGUACUUCAGGAUAUUCUUGACCGAUGUCCAGUGUUCCAUGCCGGGAUUACUUUGGUACCUUCCUAUCAAACUUACGGCAAGGUUUACAUUAGGUCUGGUACACAACAUAGCAUACAUGAUAGACCCUAUGGCCGAGGCAUAGGGCACGACACUCAUCUUUUCUCUAUCUUCUGUCGUGGUCGGGCAUUGAGCCGUGCUCAAUCUCGUACCUUGCAAUACAGGCAAGAACCCCUUCUUUGACUGAUCUAUAUUGAACUUCUUCAAUAUCUUGUCAAGGUACGUACUCUGUGAAAGACCAACGAGGCGUCUCGAUCUAUCUCUAUAGAUCUUGAUGCCUAAUAUAUAAGCAGCUUCUCCAAGAUCCUUCAUUGAAAAACACUUGUUCAAGUAGGCCUUUAUGCUUUCCAAGAAUUCUAUAUCAUUUCCAUCAACAGUAUGUCAUCCACAUACAAUAUGACAAUGCUACAGAGCUCCCACUCACUUUCUUGUAAAUGCAGACUUCUCCAUAAGUCUGCGUAAACCCAAUCGCUUUGAUCAUCUCAUCAAACGAAUGUUCCAACUCCGAGAUGCUUGCACCAGCCCAUAGAUCGAGAGUUGGAGCUUGCACACCUUGUCAGCAUUCUUAGGAUUGACAAAACCUUCCGGCUGCAUCAUAUACAAUUCUUCCUUAAGGAAACCAUUAAGGAAUGUCGUUUUGACGUCCAUUUGCCAUAUCUCAUAAUCAUAGAAUGCGACAAUUGCUAACAUGAUUCGGACGGACUUCAGCUUCGCUACGGGUGAGAAAGUCUCAUCGUAGUCAACCCCUUGAACUUGUCGAUAACCCUUAGCGACAAGACGAGCUUUAUAGAUGGUUACAUUACCAUCCGCGUCUGUCUUCUUCUUAAAGAUCAAUUUAUUUUCUAUGGCUCGCCGAUCAUCGGGCAAGUCAGUCAAAGUCCAUACUUCGUUUUCAUACAUGGAUCCUAUCUCGGAUUUCAUGGCUUCCAGCCAUUUGUCGGAAUCUAGGCCCGCCAUCGCUUCUUCAUAGUUCGAAGGUUCACCAUUGUCUAACAACAUGAUUUCCAAGACAGGGUUUGAUAAAGACCGAACCUCGUUGUGAGAUCCGAUCUGUUGUUGCGACCCGAUCUUUCACGACAGCCCACCUUCAGUAGCAGUAACCUCUCGCCCACGCACGUGAUGUACGCGAAAUAGAGGGAUUGAACCUGACGGUCCAGCACGAGAAAACCAAUCUCAGCGACAGUACUCACGCGUAAAACAAUUUCCUCUCAGAAAUCGCAACAAAGAGGUUUUCUAAAGCUUCCUCCAAAACUUAGGGAUUUUUAGACAGCUUCCCCCAAAACUCGAUACAGAUGUCUACCCUAAAAAGACAUGGCAUUUAUUAUCCAAAAAUCAUCUUCCUUUUACAUCAGACGCACACAUGACUUUUAUAUCCGUGGACUAUCUACCUAGACUUGGCCCUCAAGUUGGCCGUACCUUCUAUCUCUUGACCCUUGAAUUAAACAAACGAAAAAACUAAUUUGGAGUUUUCCAUAUCUAAUCUUGCCUUUUACAUCUCGGCAAGAUCUCAACUGUCUAAUUAAACUACAGGACCGACGUAAACUCUAGUUAUUCUUUUGAUGCACCUUGGUACGUGGUAACAAGAGGAGGACCCCAUCCAGUAGCGCACAAGGAAAGAAACUCUUGAGGCAGCAGAGUCCUGGCCGUGUAUCUAUUCUCUGGUGGACGUGGAAACAUAAAGAAAUAACAUAUUUUAUUUCCACAUGCAGUAGCACAUGUACGGUUUUGCUGCAAACCUUUUCUUUCCUCAUAUGUACGUGCACCUUGGAUUGCAUGCAUGUGUACUUGGCUCAAUGAAAACAAAACCAUUUUUAUAUUACUUUGAUCCAUGGCAUAGUCACGGACUCCAACUUCCAUUGAUCCCCAUGCAAAAUAGAUGGCGCCCAAUUCUUGCAGAUAUGCAGACGAAUAGGUCACAGUAAUACGUUCAUCCUUAACUUUGCACUGCUUCUCAUUAAUCUUCAGAUUCGGCAUAACUAAAACAUCAUUAACGGCUUGAUCAAUAACUGGAUUAAUACUGCUAAUGAUUGGUGUGCUCGUAUCAUCAUCUUCCCCUUGAAACGAAACCGUCCUCGGUUUCGUGUUAAUCUCUCCAAUAGAACUGUUAUUUGUAGACGGAACAAUGACCGUCAAAUUUGUAGCACAUUCGACCUUCUUACUUUCUUGUUCUUUCUGCUCUUUCAUCUUCUUGAGAUGUUCUUUCCUCCAGGAAUUAAAACACUCCUGACCCAUGGGCACUAGGUCGUACUUCUUACCCUUCUUGACGGUAUAUGUAUGUGUUUGACAAUCAUACGCAACAUCGUGCUCUUUGUACCAUGGGUCGCCCAACAAUAAGUGACAUGAAACCAUCGGAGCUGGAAUCACGUCACACAAAACCGUGCACAAAUAUUUUCCCAACGAAAACGGUACCUUGGUUUGAUGUGUGACACUGAGCUCUUCAUGACCCCAACGGAACGAGUAUGGUUGUGGGCGUGGUGUCAUUGGUAGUUCCAACUUCUCCACCAUCUCGAUGCUUGCCGCGUUGAUCAAACUCAUGUGGUCAACUGUCAUAGCACAUGAUCUCUCUUGUACCACAACACGAGUAUGAAAAAGUCCAUCCCAUCGGCCUUCCUCCUCCAAUUGAAAUCCAUAGCUUAGCUUCCAUGAUAAACCAGUCAUCUUCUGCACAGUGUCAUGAACAACCUUUCUCUGAAUACCACAUGAUAAAGACCGAACCUCGUGGUGAGAUCCGAUCUGUUGUUGCGGCCCGAUCUUUCACGACAGCCCACCUUCAGUAGCAGUAACCUCUCGCCCACGCACGUGAUGUACGCGAAAUAGAGGGAUUGAACCUGACGGUCCAGCACGAGAAAACCAAUCUCAGCGACAGUACUCACGCGUAAAACAAUUUCCUCUCAGAAAUCGCAACAAAGAGGUUUUCUAAAGCUUCCUCCAAAACUUAGGGAUUUUUAGACAGCUUCCCCCAAAACUCGAUACAGAUGUCUACCCUAAAAAGACAUGGCAUUUAUUAUCCAAAAAUCAUCUUCCUUUUACAUCAGACGCACACAUGACUUUUAUAUCCGUGGACUAUCUACCUAGACUUGGCCCUCAAGUUGGCCGUACCUUCUAUCUCUUGACCCUUGAAUUAAACAAACGAAAAAACUAAUUUGGAGUUUUCCAUAUCUAAUCUUGCCUUUUACAUCUCGGCAAGAUCUCAACUGUCUAAUUAAACUACAGGACCGACGUAAACUCUAGUUAUUCUUUUGAUGCACCUUGGUACGUGGUAACAAGAGGAGGACCCCAUCCAGUAGCGCACAAGGAAAGAAACUCUUGAGGCAGCAGAGUCCUGGCCGUGUAUCUAUUCUCUGGUGGACGUGGAAACAUAAAGAAAUAACAUAUUUUAUUUCCACAUGCAGUAGCACAUGUACGGUUUUGCUGCAAACCUUUUCUUUCCUCAUAUGUACGUGCACCUUGGAUUGCAUGCAUGUGUACUUGGCUCAAUGAAAACAAAACCAUUUUUAUAUUACUUUGAUCCAUGGCAUAGUCACGGACUCCAACUUCCAUUGAUCCCCAUGCAAAAUAGAUGGCGCCCAAUUCUUGCAGAUAUGCAGACGAAUAGGUCACAGUAAUACGUUCAUCCUUAACUUUGCACUGCUUCUCAUUAAUCUUCAGAUUCGGCAUAACUAAAACAUCAUUAACGGCUUGAUCAAUAACUGGAUUAAUACUGCUAAUGAUUGGUGUGCUCGUAUCAGGGUUGCCGUACCACUCUGGUGCGGAACAUGUCCUGGUGGACCUACGAAGUUCAGUAGCAACUUGAUCUGAAGUUUCAUGAUCAUCAUCAUUAACUUCCUCUUUAGUCGGUGCAGGCACCUCAGAAACAAUUUCUUGAGUUGCGCCACUUACCGGUUCAAGAGGUAAUACUUCAUCAAGUUCUACUUUCCUCCCACUUACUUCUUUUGAGAGAAACUCUUUCUCUAGAAAGGAUCCAUUCUUGGCAACAAAGAUCUUGCCUUCGGAUCUGAGGUAGAAGGUAUAACCAAUAGUUUCUUUAGGGUAUCCUAUGAAGACGCAUUUUUCCGAUUUGGGUUCGAGCUUUUCAGGUUGAAGUUUCUUGACAUAAGCAUCGCAUCCUCAAACUUUUAGAAACGACAGCUUAGGUUUCUUCCCAAACCACAAUUCAUACGGUGUAUUCUCAACGGAUUUCGACGGAGCCCUAUUUAAAGUGAACGCGGCAGUCUCUAAAGCAUAGCCCCAAAAUGAUAGCGGUAGAUCGGUAAGAGACAUCAUAGAUCGCACCAUAUCCAAUAGAGUGCGAUUACAACGUUCGGACACACCAUUACGCUGAGGUGUUCCAGGCGGCGUGAGUUGUGAAACUAUUCCACAUUUCCUUAAGUGUGUGCCAAAUUCGUGACUCAAGUAUUCUCCCCCAUGAUCUGAUCGCAAGAACUUGAUUUUUCUGUCACGUUGAUUCUCAACCUCACUCUGAAAUUCCUUGAACUUUUCAAAGGUCUUAGACUUAUGUUUCAUUAAGUAGACAUACCCAUAUCUACUCAAGUCAUCAGUGAGGGUGAGAACAUAAUGAUAGCCACCGCGAGCCUCAACACUCAUUGGACCGCACACAUCAAUAUGUAUGAUUUCCAAUAAGUUGGUUGCUCGCUCCAUUGUUUCUGAGAACGGAGUCUUGGUCAUUUUACCCAUGAGGCAUGGUUCGCACGUGUCAAAUGAUUAGUAAUCAAGAGACUCCAAAAGCCCAUCUGCAUGGAGCUUCUUCAUGCGUUUGACACCUAUGUGACCAAGGCGGCAGUGCCACAAGUAUGUGGGACUAUCAUUAUCAACCUUACAUCUUUUGGUAUUCACACUAUGAAUAUGUGUAACAUUACGCUCGAGAUUCAUUAAGAAUAAACCAUUCACCAGCGGAGCAUGACCAUAAAACAUAUCUCUCAUAUAAAUAGAACAACCAUUAUUUUCGGAUUUAAAUGAGUAGCCACCUCGAAUUAAACGAGAUCCUGAUACAAUGUUCAUGCUCAAAGAUGUCACUAAAUAAAAGUUAUUGAGGUUUAAAACUAAUCCCGUAGGUAAAUAUAGAGGUAGCGUGCCGAUGGCGAUCACAUCGACCUUGGAACCAUUCCCGACACGCAUCGUCACCUCGUCCUUCGCCAGUCUCCGCUUAUUCCGCAGCUCCUGCUUUGAGUUACAAAUGUGAGCAACCGCACCGGUAUCAAAUACCCAGGAGCUACUACGAGUACUGGUAAGGUACACAUCAAUUACAUGUAUAUCACAUAUACCUUUAGUGUUGCCGGCCUUCUUGUCCGCUAAGUAUUUGGGGCAGUUCCGCUUCCAGUGACCACUUCCCUUGCAAUAAAAACACUCAGUCUCAGGCUUGGGUCCAUUCUUUGACUUCUUCCAGGCAGUUUGCUUACCGGGCGCGGCAACCCCCUUGCCGUCCUUCUUGAAGUUCUUCUUACCCUUGCCUUUCUUAAACUUGGUGGUUUUAUUAACCAUCAACACUUGAUGUUCCUUUUUGAUCUCCACCUCCGCUGAUUUCAGCAUUGAAUAUACCUCAGGAAUGGUCUUUUCCAUCCCCUGCAUAUUUAAGUUCAUCAAAAAGCUCUUGUAGCUCGGUGGAAGCGACUGAAGGAUUCUGUCAAUGACCGCGAGAUUAACUCCCAGCUGAGUCAAGCGGUUAUGCAACCCAGACAUUUUGAGUAUGUGCUCACUGACAGAACUAUUUUCCUCCAUCUUACAACUGAAGAACUUGUCGGAGACUUCAUAUCUCUCGACCCGGGCAUGAGCUUGGAAAACCAUUUUCAGCUCUUCGAACAUCUCAUAUGCUCCGUGUUGCUCAAAACUCUUUUGGAGCCCCGGUUCUAAGCUGUAAAGCAUGUCGCACUGAACAAGGGAGUAAUCAUCAGCACGUGACUGCCAAGCGUUUAUAACGUCUUGGUUCUCUGGGAUGGGUGCGUCAUCUAGCGGUGCUUCUAGGACAUAAUUUUUCUUGGCAGCUAUGAGGAUGAUCCUCAGGUUCCGGACCCAGUCCGUAUAGUUGUUGCCAUCAUCUUUCAUCUUGGUUUUCUCUAGGAACGCGUUGAAGUUGAGGGCAACAUUAGCGUGGGCCAUUUGAUCUACAAGACAUAGUGUAAAGAUUUUAGACUAAGUUCAUGAUAAUUAAGUUCAUCUAAUCAAAUUAUUCAAUGAACUCCCACUCAGAUAGACAUCCCUCUAGUCAUCUAAGUGAAACAUGAUCCGAGUCAACUAGGCCGUGUCCGAUCAUCACGUGAGACGGACUAGUCAACAUCGGUGAACAUCUUCAUGUUGAUCGUAUCUUUUAUACGACUCAUGCUCGACCUUUCGGUCUUCCGUGUUCCGAGGCCAUGUAUGUACAUGCUAGGCUCGUCAAGUCAACCUAAGUGUAUUGCGUGUGUAAAUCUGGCUUACACCCGUUGUAUUCGAACGUUAGAAUCUAUCACACCCGAUCAUCACGUAGUGCUUCGAAACAACGAACCUUCGCAACGGUGCACAGUUAGGGGGGACACUUUCUUGAAAUUAUUACGAGGGAUCAUCUUAUUUAAGCUACCGUCGUUCUAAGCAAAUAAGAUAUAAAACAUGAUAAACAUCACAUGCAAUCAAAUAGUGACAUGAUAUGGCCAAUAUCAUUUGCUCCUUUUGAUCUUCAUCUUCGGGGCUCCAUGAUCAUCGUUGUCACCGGCAUGACACCAUGAUCUCCAUCAUCAUGAUCUCCAUCAUCAUGUCUUCUUGAAGUUGUCUCGUCAUCUAUUACUUCUACUACUAUGGCUAACGCUUUAGCAAUAAAAUAAAGUAAUUACAUGACAUUUAUGUUGACACACAGGUCAUAAAUAAAUUAAGACAACUCCUAUGGCUCCUGCCGGUUGUCAUACUCAUCAACAUGCAAGUCGUGAUUCCUAUUACAAGAAUAUGAUCAAUCUCAUACAUCACAUAUAUCAUUCAUCACAUCCUUUUGGCCAUAUCACAUCACACGGCACAUGCUGCAAAAACAAGUUAGACGUCCUCUAAUUGUUGUUGCAAGUUUUUACGUGGCUGCUAUAGGUUUCUAGCAAGAACGUUUCUUACCUACGCCAAAACCACAACGUGAUAUGCCAAUUUCUAUUUAACCUUCAUAAGGACCCUUUUCAUCGAAUCCGAUCCGACUAAAGUGGGAGAGACAGACACCCGCUAGCCACCUUAUGCAACUAGUGCAUGUCAGUCGGUGGAAUCAGUCUCACGUAAGCGUACGUGUAAGGUCGGUCCGGGACGCUUCAUCCCACGAUGCCGCCGAAUCAAGAUAAUACUAGUAACGGCAAGUAAAUUGACAAUAUCGACGCCCACAACUGCUUUGUGUUCUACUCGUGCAAAGAAACUACGCAUAGACCUAGCUCAUGAUGCCACUGUUGGGGAACGUAGCAGAAUUUUAAAAUUUUCUACGCAUCACCAAGAUCAAUCUAUGGAGUCAUCUAGCAACGAGGGAGAGGGAAGUGCAUCUACAUACCCUUGUAGAUCGCGAGCGGAAGCUUUCAAGAGAACGGGGUUGAUGGAGUCGUACUCGUCGUGAUCCAAAUCACCGAUGACCUAGCGCCGAACGGACGACACCUCCGCGUUCAACACACGUACGGUUGGGAAGAAGCCUCCUCCAACUUGAUCCAACAAGGGGAAGGAGAGGCUGAUGGAUAUCCAGCAGCACGACGGCGUGGUGGUGGAAGCAACGGUGAUCUCGGCAGGGCUUCACCAAGCUCGGGGAGAGGGAGAAGUGUCACGGGAGGGAGAGGGAGACGCCAGGGGCUAGGGUGCGGCUACCCUCCCUCCCCCACUAUAUAUAGGACCCCUAGGGGGGCGCCGGCCCUAGGAGAUGGGAUCUCCAAGGGGGGCGGCGGCCAAGAGGGGUGGAGUGCCCCCCAAGCCAAGUGGGGCGCCCCCACCCCUAGGGUUUUCAACCCUAGGCGCAGGGGGAGGCCCAUGGGGGGCGCACCAGCCCACUAGGGGCUGGUUCCCCUCCCACUUCAGCCCAUGGGGCCCUCCGGGAUAGGUGGCCCUACCCGGUGGACCCCCGGGACCCUUCCAGUGGUCUCGGUACAAUACCGAUUACCCCCCAAAAUUUCCCGAUGGCCGAAACUUGACUUCCUAUAUAUAAAUAUUCACCUCCGGACCAUUUCGGAACUCCUCGUGACGUCCGGGAUCUCAUCCGGGACUCUGAACAACUUUCGGGUUACCGUAUACUAAUAUCUCAACAACCCUAGCGUCACCAAACCUUAAGUGUGUAGACCCUAUGGGUUCGGAAGACACGCAGACAUGACCGAGACGACUCUCUGGUCAAUAACCAACAGCGGGAUCUGGAUACCCAUGUUGGAUCCCACAUGCUCCUCGAUGAUCUCAUCGGAUGAACCAUGAUGUCGAGGAUUCAAUCAAUCCCGUAUACAAUUCCCUUUGUCAAUCGGUACGUUACUUGCCCGAGACUCGAUCGUCGGUAUCCCAAUACCUCGUUCAAUCUCGUUGCCGGCAAGUCACUUUACUCGUACCGUAAUGCAUGAUCCCGUGAUCAACCACUUGGUCACAUUGAGCUCAUUAUGAUGAUGCAUUACCGAGUGGGCCCAGAGAUACCUCUCCGUCAUACGGAGUGACAAAUCCCAGUCUCGAUUCGUGCCAACCCAACAGACACUUUCGGAGAUACCCGUAGUGUACCUUUAUAGUCACCCAGUUACAUUGUGACGUUUGGCACACCCAAAGCACUCCUACGGUAUCCAGGAGUUGCACAAUCUCAUGGUCUAAGGAAAUGAUACAUGACAUUCGGAAAAGCUCUAGCAAAUGAACUACACGAUCUUUAAGCUAUGCUUAGGAUUGGGUCUUGUCCAUCACAUCAUUCUCCUAAUGAUGUGAUUCCGUUAUCAAUGACAUCCAAUGUCCAUAGUCAGGAAACCAUGACUAUCUUUUGAUCAACGAGCUAGUCAACUAGAGGCUCACUAGGGACGUGUUGUGGUCUAUGUAUUCACACAUGUAUUACGAUUUCCGGAUAACAUAAUUAUAGCAUGAACAAUAGACAAUUAUCAUGAACAAAGAAAUAUAAUAAUAACUAUUUUAUUAUUGCCUCUAGGGCAUAUUUCCAACAAUCCAACAUGUUGGGGAUGGGUCCAGCCUAUCGUAUCCAACAUGGCAGACGCGUCUUGGACGCGUAGUGUUUCAUAUCCCUCCCACAUACGGGUUGGCUCUAAGAGCAACUCUAGCAGACCCCGCAUCCAGCCGGCCCACAAAACUCGUUUGCAGUUUGCGCAAAACAGCUUUUGCGGGCCGGCGCGGGCUGGCACAGAUGCAGACCCCCCAAACGGAUCCGUAAAAAAAUAUAUUCGCGGAAUAUGCUUUUUUACGGGUCGGCUAUGCGGGUUCUGCUCUUUGCGCCGCUGCAUCCCCGCAUAUCAUCAGCCCGCAAAUAUCAAAUCCAACAUAAUUCAACAAUCAAAAACAAACUAAAUUAUUCAAAUCAAACAUAAAACAAUAAUCAUCCGCAUUACAAAUGAUUAUUCAAAUCAUCGUAGCAAACUUAAAUAAUGUAAUACAAAACUUGUCAUGAAUACAUACAAAUGAAUACAAAAAUUAGUCAUUGUCCAACCCUUUGCCAAUGGUGCUCAAUGAGAUCUUCCUGAAGUUGAAAGUGUGUGUCUGCAUUUUCAAUCUCCUUGUAUGUAUGAAGAAAAGCUCUAAUGCGGUUUGGGUCUCUAGUUGGUUUGACACGGCUACCCACAUUGUCGUAAAAGAAUUCUAAGUUCAUUCCUCUCUCAUCUUCAAGAAUCAUAUUGUGCAGGAUAACACAGCAAGUCAUGAUGUUCUUCAGGGUUUUCUUAUCCCCAAAACAAGCAGGACCACGGACAAUGGCAAACCUAGAUUGCAAAACACCGAAUGCUCUUUCGAUGUCUUUUCGGGCUGCCUCUUGCACCCUUGCAAAUUCACAUUAUUUUUUGUUUUGGGUUCUUUGAUGCUCUUGACAAAUGUGCACCAAGGAGGGUAUAUACCAUCUGCAAGAUAGUACCCUUUUGUGUACUCAUGCCCAUUGAUAAUGUAGUUGCAAGCAGGAGCAUCACCACUAGCAAGCCUAGCAAACAAAUGAGAGCGUUGCAACACAUUGAUAUCAUUGAGAGUGCCAGGCAUACCAAAAAAGCAAUGCCAAAUCCAUAAAUCCUCGGAUGCUACGGCCUCUAGCACAAUUGUUGCAUCACAAGACUUGCCAUAAUACAUUCCUUGCCAAGCCUUGGGGCAAUUUUUCUAAUUCCAAUGCAUACAAUUAAUCCUACCUAGCAUGCCAGGCCAACCUCUCCUCUCAUUAGCUGCCAUCAAUUUCUUUAUAUCAUCUUUAUUUGGUGCCCGAAGAUACUCGGGACCAAAGACACGGACGACCACUUUCGCAAAUCUACGCACAGACUCAAUUGUGCUAUCUUCACCAAUGCGAAGAUACUCAUCGGUAUAGUCAGCCGGAACACCAUAUGCAAUCACCCGCAUAGCCGCGGAGAUUUUUUGAUAUGCACUAAAUCCCUUUAAGCCCGCGUCAUUCCUUCUUUGAGUAAAAUACUAGCAAUUUGCCUCGCAAGCUUCAACAAGUUUCACAAAGAGGGAUCGGCGCAUUCGGUACCUUCUGCGAAAGAGGUGUGCAGGAUAUGUAGGAUCCUUCGCAAAAUAAUCUUGCAUCAACAUCUCGUUCCCAAGAUGGCGAUUCCAAGGAAUGCACAGACACCCGACAGUAGAUCCUCGCCUCCUCUUCCGGUACUCGUCUUCAUGCUCCUUCACGGCAAGCGCCAUGACUAAUGUUUGCUGCCGAAAGGUCGCAAGCAUGGUCUCCACAUUCGAGUCAUUCGAAUCAGACGAAUCGGAUAGCAAGAACUUCUCGCACGGGGUCAACUCCAUCUACACGUACACCGGCGUGUCAAUCUACUACACAGCUUGCAAAAAUCACAAAAAAAGACUAACCGGUGGCGAGUGAUCCCGGGCGGCGACGAGGGGGGUGCGCUCGGCGGUGGUCGAUCCCCAGCGCCGGCGGCGGCGGGGGGCGGCUCUUCUCGCCGGAUUGGGAGGGGCGGUGCAGCAGCUCGGCGCGGGAGGGUGUGGGGCGGCCCCGCGGAGCGAUUCCGCCCGCAGAUAUGGCCGGAAUCGCCGGCGGCAGGCGGGCGGAAGCAGAAGGAGGGGGGGGGAAAGAGUGUGUGGCUGAAAUGUUCCUUCCGCCAACUGCUUCUCUGUGAUGUAGGGCACCGCAGCCGCGAGGGAGAAACCUGCGUUUUCUCGAGUUGGGGUCAGGAAUUUGCCGCGCCUCCCAAAAAUUUUUGCGGGCCGAGACGAGAAGCGGGGUCUGGUUGGGCAGGCUUUCCGGCCCGUAGCCGGGUCGGAGAUAUGGGGUCUGCUAGAGUUGCUCUAAGGCGUGCCAGACAACCCCAAAUGUUUGGGCUAGCUUUGAAGUCAUGGUCAGGCUGACCAUUGACUCCACUGUAGGCUGUAGCCGCCCUUCUUCCUCGGUUCCAUCGACCUUCCUUGGCCGUCCCUAUCACCAUUGACGCUUGCAUACCUGCCUGCCUGUCCUUUUCUCUGAAUUUUCCAAUCACACUCCAUCGUUUCACUUUCACGGCAAACUUGGUCGUCAAGGUUCCUUCCUACAGUAAGUCACAAUUUGUAUGUGAUGUGGUCAAACAGAGUGGGCGCUUGCUCUGACAGAUUCCAGCUAUAAACACAGGCCACCUCUGCUCGCCGUCGCCAACCAGAGCACGUAGCCCAAAAGAAAAUGCAGCAGGCCGGCCAAGGAGCGCAGCCCGCCAAGAAGCCGGCCAUGGAGGUGACGCUCCGGCGGUUCAGCCUCGACGACGUGGACGCCAUGAUGGCGUGGGCGUCGGACCCGCAGGUGGCCGCCCCCUGCCGCUGGGAGCCGUACGAGUCCACGGAGCCCCUGCUCGCCUUCAUCCGCGACGCCGUGCUCCCGCACCCCUGGUUCCGCGCCAUCUGCCUCGCCGGCGACGGCGACCGCCCCGUCGGCGCGAUCUCCGUGUCGCCGACGGACGACGCGUGCCGCGCGGAGCUCGGGUACGUGCUGGCGCGCGCGCACUGGGGGAAAGGGGUGGCCACGGCGGCCGUGCGGCGGGCGGUGGCCGCGGUGUUCGGCGAGGUGGAGGGGCUGCAGCGCGUGGAGGCGCUGGUGGACGUGGCCAACGUGGCGUCGCAGCGGGUGCUGGAGAAGGCCGGGUUCCGGCGGGAGGCCGUGCUGCGGCGGUACUGCCUGCUCAAGGGCGCCGUCAAGGACAUGCUCAUCUUCAGCUUCAUCUCCACCGACACUGUGCUGCUCGACUGAUUGGUGUCAUAAUUCAGCUUCAUGUAUACCCACCCGAAAAGAAAUUUUCGUAAUGUCAUGUGAAACUUUGCUUUCUUUAUUAAUUGUUCAGUCAAGUUAAUAAACAGACUGGUUAUGGAAUCUUCUAGAAGGUUGCUAACCGCUUCAGGUCCAUUUUUUUUCCAGUUGUUUCUUUUACAUUAUUUCUAUUUUAUUUUAAAUUUUCAAAAGGAUGAUUUUUUCUAAAUAAAAUGUUCGAAAAUCUUCAUAAAUUGUUUGUAAUUUCAAAAAAUGCUCAUGUUUUCAAAAAAAUGUCCAUGAAUUUCAAAAAAUGUUCAUGUUUUCAAAUAUUGUUUGAAAUUUAACAAAGUGUUUCCGUUUUGAGAUUUCACAGAAAAUCAGAGGUAAAAAAAGAGUUUAUGUUUCAACAGAAACGUUUCGGAUUUCAAAAACAAAUCCCUUUUUCAAAAUUUGUUCACAAAUUAAAAAACUGUUUGCAUUUUUUAAAAAUGAGCACAGAUUCAAAAAUUGUUUGGAAUUUCCAAAGUUGUACCACCACUGCAUUUCCUUUGCUCUAAAGGUGCACGUGGGAUUGGCAACUUUAUACUCGUCGUGCAUACUUGAUUUACCACCGCUGCACGCUAGGUAGCUUGGUCGGUAUAUAGUACUCCCUCCGUUCACUUUUAUAAAUCAUUUCAGACAACUAAAAAAUAGGCUAUUUUGCACAUUGUCUGAAAUGUCUUUAAGGCCUUAUAAAAAUGAAUAGAGGGAGUACUAUCUUAGACUAGUGCGACGAACUCAUUCACGUAUAUGAUCCUAGCUAGAGUACCGGCAGCUGCACAUCCGCCUCCAAGCUCUAGCUACGAUCGUCAUCAACCACAGACCUCCCCUCCAUCAACGGUGUUGUGGAGAACAACAACCCGCCCGCCCGGAGGCGCUCUGGAUCCGUUUCUUCCACUCGUUUGUCAGCCGUCCAAGACUGGCACCACCUUCCGGGUCACCAUUUGUGUUUCUUUUUCAUGCGUCGUCGUUGAUCUAGUGGCUAUACUGUAGCUGCUCCACGCUCACCUGCCCCCGCGCGUGGGAAGCGUGCGCCCAUGGCGACGGAGGUGACCCUGCGCCGCUUCGACCUCUCGGACGUGGACGCCAUGAUGGCAUGGGCGUCCGACCCCGAGGUCGCCGCCUUCUGCCGCUGGGAGCCCUUCGCGUCCACGGAGACGGAAGCCCUGCUCGCCCACAUCCGGGACACCGCGCUCCCGCACCAGUGGUACCGCGCCAUCUGCCUCGCCGGCGACGCCCGCCCCGUCGGCUCGGUGUCCCUGGAGCCCACGGCUGACCGGUGCCGCGGGGAGCUCGGCUACGUGGUGGCCCGCGCGCACUGGGGCAGGGGCGUGGCCACCGCCGCCGUGAGGGCCGCGCUCGCCGCGGUGUUCGGCGAGGUGGAGGGGCUGGCCCGCGUGGAGGCGCUCGUGGACGUGGACAACGCGGCGUCGCAGCGCGUGGUGGAGAAGGCCGGGUUCCGGCGCGAGGGCAUGCUGCGGCGCCACUACUGGCACAAGGGCCGCGUCAGGGAUCUCGCCAUCUACGGCUUCGUCUCCGGCGAUCCCUUGCCCCCAUCACAUGAGGAUGAGGUAGGUAAGCCGCUCGCUCGCCGUGACUCUCGUACGUCCAGCGUCUCACUCUGUCCAACGAAUUAGGGUCGGAGACCGAUGGAGCGAGAAGCGGCAGCCCGGACGCCGGAGCGCGCGGACGAGGUGACCCUCCGGCCGUUCGACCUCCCCGACGCCGACGCCGACGCCAUGACGGCGUGGGCGGAAGACCCCGAACUAGUACCGCCUACGGCCUCCAUGGCGUCGGGGGUCCACUUCUCCCCGUCCCGCGACGCCCUGCUCGCGUUCCUCCGGGGCACCGACCCGCCGCACACCUGGAUCCGCGCCGUCUGCCUCGGCGGCGCCAUCGUGGGCGCGGUGACCGUGUUGCGCACAGAGGACCGGUGCCGCGCGGAGGUCGGGACCGCGCUGGCGCGCGCGCACCGGGGCAGGGGCGUGGCCGCGGCGGUCCUGAGGAGCGCGGCGACCGCGGCCUUCGGGGACCUGGAGGGCGUGGAGCGCGUGGAGGCGCUGGUGGACGCGGACGACGCCGCGUCCCUGCGCGCGCUGGAGGACGCCGGGUUCCGCCGCGAGGCCGUGCUGCGGCGCCACCGCGACGCCAAGGACGUGGUCGUCUACAGCCUCAUCUCCACCGACGGCGACCCACUCAUCGACUCACGCAGUUCAUGACGAUGUUGGCUGGCUUGCUGCCAUACGAAAUGCUAAUAAAAUCGACUCACGCAUCAUCAACACCAUCAAAUGUUACCAAGAAAAAGAAACCGAAUUACAUUGCUGUGUUUCACUCUCAGCCGCGGAUUACAAGAAGAAGGUGCUGCUGCUGCUGUUCUGCCGGUCUCUCCAAGAGAUCGGAGCUUAUGUAUGAGAGAACACACGGGCUCGAUUAUUGAACUUUUUGUUGAGUUGAGACUUGGACGGGAUCCCCAUGGAGACGGCGAGAGAGCACGGGCAUUGCAGGAUGCCGGCCGGCGGUCGAUCAGGCCUCCCAGCCGCGGAGGACGGUGGCGCGGGCGACGCGGUUGACGCCGAGGGUGAAGGCGCCCAUGCGGAGGUCGCAGUGGUGGGAGCGGCACAUCUCCUUGGUGUCCCGGAAGGCGCGGGUCAUGUACGUCUUGAGCUCCCGGUUCACCUUCUCCUCGUCCCACAUGAACCCCUGGAUGUUCUGCACCCACUCGAAGUAGCUCACCGUCACGCCACCCGAGUUGGCCAGGAUGUCCGGCAGGAUCAGCACCCCCUUCUUCGCCAGAAUCUGCACCACGAACAUGUGCAUUUCUCCACUGUCAGUCAGUGUGUGAAUUGAAUUAUGUCAACAAAUGCGAGCUUUGUUUUGUGGCAAAAUUUUGGGUGUUCUUGCCUCGUCGGCCUCGGGGUCUGUCGGGUGGUUCGCAGCCUCGAUGAUGUAUUUUGCUUUGAUGGCAUCAGCAUUGUCCCUAGGAGAACAAAUCAUGGUUAAGAACAGCCUUUUUAUUAACAAAAAUGUUUUAAGAUACCGAAAAAAAUAACAGCCAGGAGGAUACUAGUAUAAUUGAAGUUCAGAGCAGAAAUCUGAUAGAAGGUAGGAUAUAAAGUGAGCUGGGACGAGGAAGAAGAAGAUUACUUGUUUAUGACUCCUCCCAGCGCUGCCGGGAUGAGCACAUCGCACUCUUCGGUGAGCAGCGAGGUCGGGUCGACGGCGUCUCCUCCGUCAAAGCCCUUGAUCCCACGGUUCUCCGCCGAGUGCUUCAUCAGCUUGGCUAUGUCAAUGCCAUUGGAGUUCUUGACAGCCCCUGUGACAUCGCUGAUGGCGAUCACCUUGCCGCCAGCUUCAGUGAUCAGUUGAGCAGCCCAGGAGCCAACAUUACCGAAUCCCUGAAAAAGGCAAAGCACCCAAUAAUUGCUUAUCUCUGCAAAUGUAGGUGAAGAAACAUAGUUCUGAUCUUACUUUCUUUUUAGUAAGAAAAGUUCUGGUCUUGCUCCCUUACUCCCUUUUGUAACCAUAAAGUUCAAAAGUGCGUAUUGUGCGAUCCACUGACGGUCACUUUUUAACUAGUAGUAUUUCUUAAAUCUAUGUUUGUAAUAAUAGAUUGAGGCUUCAUGACUCACACCACACUGAAUCCUCAAUUCAAUUACUUUUCAUCAUUUUAAAUUCAAAGAGCUUAACUCAUUAGCCUACACAUUAUUUAAUUACCUGGAUUACAAAACGCUGGCCUGCAAUGCCUUUGCCAUGCUCUGCAAGUAGGGCUUCAGUGGCAAACAGAACUCCCCUUCCAGUAGCUGCAUCUCUUCCCAGUGAUCCUCCAAGGUCCUGUGUUGAGCAAAAAAUUCUCUCGACAAUCAAAUGCUGCAUCUUCCACAUUUGAUCUGGAAAUAACAUUUCCAUUGCACAUUAUAUGAUAGAGUUUCAGGAUGGAUAAUUACCACAGGCUUUCCUGUCACCACAGCAGGUGAGUAGCCAUGGAACUUUGAGUACUCAUCCAGUAUCCAUGCCAUUGUCUGAAUCCAUGAAUGAAACAAGCAAAAGAAUCCACAUCAGAAUACAGAUGAAUAAUUCUCACAGCACUCUGCAGAGAAAUAAUAAAUAUGCAAAGGACAAUAAAUAACCUGUGCGUUGGUGCCCAUAUCUGGAGCUGGAACAUCGGUGUGGAUGCCAAUUAAGUCAUGAAUUUUCUGGGUGAAAACUCGGGUAAGCCGUUCGAGCUCCGAUAUGCUCAGGUCUCCGGGACUGCACCCAAUGCCACCUUUAGCGCCUCCAUACGGAAUAUUGGCCACGGCUGUUUUCCAUGUCAUCAGUUGCGCCAAGGCAUUGACCUCGUCAGGAUCAACCUGAAUUUUAUCAUAGUUUGUCAGUGCAAGAACUUACUAUGAUCAUAGAUAAUCUUGGUUGCCAGUGUCUUGAACUUGCAUGCACAUGAUCGGUUUUUAUGGAAACCAAGUCAGAAUGUCAGAAUGUGAUCCAGUAUAGUAGCUUUAGUGAGACGUGACUAAUUUCCAAAAUAGCUUUGUUCUGCUUUACUGCAAGUAGAUAUUGCAAUUGCAUAACUAGGUAUGGGCUGAACAGUAAGUCAUUCAACUGUCUGACAGAUUCCGGAAGGAGAUCGAAUUUAUGCGGAAGGACCAUUUCAAGUCGGCGACAGCGCGGCAAGAAUCGAGUGCUUAUUGGAUGGUUGUAUCAUGAUGAACAGAAGAACCCAGGAAUAUAUAUACAUAUAUGUGUGCUCACCUCAUGGUGGUAUCUGAUUCCACCCUUCAUAGGGCCCCUGGCAUUGUCAUGCUGCACCCUAAACCCAACAUAGGAUGCUAAUGUCCCAUCAUCUUUCGGGAUUGUGCACUCAACCUGCAACCACACAAGCAGCAUGUUACUGAAUAAUGGAACAAACAGUUUAGCUUACAUAGACAGCAAACAUACUCAAAAGUUAGAACGGUCCUGCACACGGUUUAACCUUACAGAGUAAGUGGCUAAGAGGUCAGUUCAACGAACUUUUUUUGCCAUAUUCAGCAGGAAAAUCAGAAUAAAUUAACAUGCAUAGGGAAAGUAAGAGUGUGUGAGAGAGAAAAUCAAGUGAAGUUCCCCACAAAUAAAUAAAUAAAUCAAGUGAAGUAGUAGGUUGGAAAAUGUCGAAUCCGAAGAUAAUCUGGUAGCCUAACCAGAAAUUCAUAAAUUUACAGACCAGAUAAGAAAUAAUCGCAGGUCAACUAUACUAAGUCCCCAAGGACCAAGGUGAUACUUCUCAAUAACCACUGAACUCCAUAGAACAAAGAGCGUACAUCGCUAUCCAGAUUCACUCAUUCACAGCAAAAAACAGAAAAAAAAUCCGGGAUCAAGGAAUAAUCACCUUGAUCUCCCUGAAGGGGAUGAGCAGGCUCUUCUCGAGCUUGGAGUCGAGGCCCAGCAGCUUGGCCGCCUGCUUGAAGUUCCGGCUGGUGGCCGCCAAUGCGUUCAUCCUGCCCGACGAAAUCCCCCCUCCGGAGCCGCCGCGCCUGAAAAACGGAUCCAGAAACCCAACAUCAUAGGUAGCAAUCCAAGAACACUAAUCACACGAGACAAAAAGAUUAAACUCUGCGCGAGGAACCAAAGGAUAAUCUGCUUUUAUAUUACCGGCGAGUGGAGUAGCCGCGAAGUGUUAGUGGCGAGCAGCGGCACAAAGACUAUGGAGGAGUUUCAGGUAGGCCGUAUGCAUAUAUAGGCACACUGGGCUGAACCCCUCGGUGGAUUUGGGUUCCGUUCAAAAAGCAGAGGAGAUUUUUCUUUUAAAUUUUAAUUUUUUUUUGUCUCUACAAGGAUAAGAACAAGAUCUGAUUCUCGCCCUGCCUGCAAUUAAUUUCCCUCGAGACCCGAGCCCUGUCUGCACUCAAUACCGUAAUUAACUACUACUACUCCUAGCCUACCAGUACCAGAUUGAAGAGCAUCAAUCUAUGCCAAGGAAUCGACCACCUCCCCUUUUGUUUAGUUUAGAAGAGGUGCUAGGCUAGGAGGAGCGCUGCUCAGUAGUUCCGGGCUAGGAGCUUACUAACAUCUACUACAAAAUGAUCACUGUUCUAGGGCCAACAUCUGAAUGAAGAUCCAGACUGCCGACAGCUGCGCUUGUUUUGCUGAGAAAAUGCCCAGAAUUUGAGCCACAAGUCAGUGGAAGUGAGUGUUCAAGGAAGCCUCUGCAUGUGGCAACUUCAGAUUACUGCUCAAAUCGGUUAGGUGUGCUAUGUACGUAUGUAUCAAUGUAUGUACUGAGCUGUGGAUGUACCGGCUGCACAGCUUGCGCCAGGCAAUUUGCUGAUACGCUGACGGUGAUGAGCAUGCAUGCACGUGUAACACGUGAUUCCUGACACUUCAUGCUCACAAUACAUGUCCGUCAACAGUCAAGUACUGCUCCCUCCGUUUCUAAAUAUAAGGCUUUUUAGAUAUUGGUUUUAAGAGAGACUACAUAUAAAUGUAUAUAGACAUGUUUUAGAGCGUAGAUUCACUCAUUUUACUCGGUAUGCACUACUCUGUAUCAAUCAAAAUCUCUAAAAAGGCUUAUAUUCAGAGACGGAGGGAGUAGUACUUAAUCACAGCUACAGCUAGAGCUCAACAACUUGGUCUAGCAGUUGAGUGAUACUGCUACUGUAGAAGAAAUCUGGUGUCUGUGCUUCGGCCGCCUGUAAGAGAUGGAAAUUUCAGAAGCAACUUGUGGGAAAACGCACAUGGCUGACUCAACUGCGAAUUAUUUGGCUAACCAUGCAAUUUUGCACUGUUUUGCAUAGCACAAUCUAAUAAUUUGGCUAACCAUGCAAUUUUGCACUGUUUUGCGUAGCACAAUCUAAUAAUUGGACACAAAGACACGUGUAUCCCAUGGGUCAGGGGGUUGUUGGCAAACUCGGAUUAAGGCUAGCUAAUGAUCUGCAUAGGAUGUGUGAAGCAUAUGCCAUAUGCCGUAUGUUAUUUAUUUAUUUGAUUGACAACACAUAUGCCGUAUAAUUUUUGUGUCAUAUGGUGACAAGAAAUAUAUCAUAUGCCAUGGACAGGGCUGGUAUGAUAAUUAAACGAACCUAUUAGUGUGGCUAAUGCCAACUUUGGCUCGGGGUAAGAGGGCAUAAGUUCCAGGAAGAUGCAUUCGCCGAAAAGUGGGGACAGAUUGCGGGAGCAGGACAACCCCAGAACGGCCAGCAAAAUCAUGUGGAGAAGAAGAAGAAGCAAUACGGGUCGAAAGUGGUUUAGCUGCUUUUAGAUGCAUGGAUUCCAGAUUAUGCAAGGCCUGCAUUAUUAUUUGUCCUGUUUUUUGCUAUCCCUUUUUUAAUGCCCCAAAAAGAACGACAAAACGAUCACCCCACUAUGAAUGCAGAUAAUGAUAAUUAAGGCGAUGCUUUCAGAUCAGAGGAUGAUGAAGGCAAAUAUUCUCAAAUCAGAGGAUAAUGAAGGCAAAUAUUCUCAAAAUCAGAUCCCGGGGGGUUAGGUAGCCGUAGAUGAACAACCCCAAUCAAAAGCUUCAGAAUAUUAGUACUAGUACAGAGUUCAGAGCCUGGAUAAACCAUCAGUAAUUGAUCUUUCCCUGGCCAUGUGAUCACUGCUAACACUAGCACACUACCAUAUAAACGAACCACAAAAGGAGAGAGGGUAUAUAGAGUACUUUGUUGCAGCACCUGAUCAGGGUGAGUGAAUCGUAGCGGCUGAGGAAUUUCGCCCGCGCUGCCUGCUCUGUUGUGGCAUUCAGGCAGAGGGUUACAGGGGGGGUUUAUAAGGAGAAACCGGCUGGGAAUGAUACGUGGAAUUAGUUCGGAGAUAUGGCGAAUAUGGAUCAUAUUGCUCCAAGGACUUUGGGCGAUUCCAUCUGCUUGGGUUGAGUUGGCCGGGUUGCAUUGCAUCGAAUUCCAUCUCAUUGCUAUUCGAGGGCCAGUUGGGCAGAGGGUCCACGCCCGGAAUUCUCGGUCUCAUCAUUAUGUGGAGGUACAGAGAUUAUGCUCGCAAACUGGUAACUAUGCUCGGUUGGUUAGGUUCUCUAUACUAGAAUCUGCCCACAUGGAUUUAAGUCGUAUACUCGCACUCUCAGACGAGUGCUCGUAUUUUUCUGAAUUUAUUCCACAAUUUCUUUUCGCUAUUCUCUAGUGGAAGACUGUCCUGUGCCUUGACUAUGAGGUGCCUAUGAUGAGAUUUGCCGGUUCGGUCUCUUGCAGAUGAGUGCUUGUAUUUUUCUGAAUUUAUUUUAGAAUUUUGGCGCUAUUCCUUAGUGGGAGACGUUGUGCGCCUCGAGUACGAGGUGUCUAUGAUGAGAUUUGCCGACUCGGUUCUCAGACAUGCUUGUAAGGGCAGAGUGUGUGCGCAUGCCUUUUUUGGGGAGUGUAUUUGUGUAUGAGCAUUUAUAUUUCCAUAGAAAGACUGUGUGUGUGUGAGAAAGAAUAUGUAGUAAGUUAUUUGGAAAUAAGCGUAUUUUAGACGCACCUCAUCCACCGUGGCUUCAGAAUAAUACGUUCAAGCGAUGAUUAUGACAAAUCUGGUCCAGAAGAUAUCCUGGGUGAGAGAGAGCAGAUCAUCAAAUGCACGAGCAACCGAAAGCUCCAUGUCAUGAAUUAUGACGCGAGACGCAUCCUCUUGCAUCACCGGUGGAAAACCGCGGAAUAUGGAACCAAUCGCAGGAUGCGCCGCGCAAAUUGGCGCAAUUGGAGUCCAGCGACAUGGCCACCCCGUCUUCCCAGUUGCUUUAGAAUUCUUUCGUCGUAGAUGGAUGGAUGACUUGUGUUCGUUUCGUGGACAAUGCAUAGAUUACUACUAGACCUUUACUGCUGUGUCAUGGAUGUAGCAUCAUGCUGCAUUAGGCCAAAAAAGCACGCCCAAAAGGAAGGUUCUCUGAGCAGAAAAGCGUAUGUGUUACGUGUGUGGAGAUUCCAGCCUUGGUAUAUGCACCAACUUGUGUCAUGAGUCUUCAGUGUCACUCAUAAGCCUCCUUUCAGGGUUCAUGUUUUUUUGCCAAGAAUAUGUUAAAAGCUUUGUUUGGGGAGUGCUAACUGGGAAGGAAGCUAUCCAGGGAUUUCUGGAUUGCAAAGGAAUUUGAGAGAACAGUAAAAUUCCUUGUACAGUUUGCAGAAAAGGAAUGAUGAUUUCUUUGGAAUUGGAGAAUUUUGUAAACCGUUCCAUUUCCCGUAGGAACAGGGAAAUGUUCCCACGUGUCAACCGGGGAUUAAAUCAAGAUUCAAGUUAGUUCUAACAUCAUUAUAGAAAGAUACUUUGAUAUUGGAGAUUGAUACUUUAAAAUUUUAAUAUAGCUCUGUGCAUCGUAAUGAUGCAGAGGCCGUGGUGAUCCUUCUUUUUCUAGAACAGUUUGUAGAAAUAAUAUUUAAAUGUUAUGUGGAUGUUUUUUUUCUUUGAGAAAUGUCAUGUGGCCCUUUUUCCCUGUGCGGAUUACUGCAAAUUCCUUAAAACAUUUUUUUGGAUUAACUACUUUGUUUGCAAUUAUUUACAUAAAAGUGCAAUGUUAUUCUUGUGUGGUUCAUUGAUUUUCCUUUUUCUGAGACCCAGAGAGGACCUGGACUUGAUGCACAAUAGGUGGAUGGACUUGCGUGUUGGAGUCAAUGCCUACCAUUCGGUGUAAAGGGAAAAGGCAGACAGUCAUUUCCCAAUCUGAAUGUUGAUUAGGACUACCACUUACAAGAAAAAAAUAAACCCUGACCAUAGCACCUUUCUGUUAGAUCUAUUUUCGAGUCAUCGUGUUAGUGGUGCUAAUUUUAAUUUAAAACUUAAGACAGCCCACUUGAGCUACAGCAAAGAGGCGGAAAUGAUAGUCAAAGUUGAAGAAGAGAAUGUGACACCUCGAGUUUGCAAGGGCGCGUGACCUCUCGAAUACGCAAUAAGCACAAAGAUGAAGAAGAUGUUAAGGCGGUGGGUUGGUUGAGUGGGCGUCUCCAAUGCUAUUUCCUAAAACAGACACACUAUCCAUCCAUGGAGCAUGUCCGGGCGCAUUCACGAACAAGACACGGGAGCCGGACAUUCAACUUUGUGUAACGCCCUUGAUGCGGCUAUAUCUCUCACGUGUAGAAGCAUAAUUUAGAGGCAUAACCGCAUUGAAAGCAAUGUCGCAAGUGAGGUAAUCUUCACACAACCCAUGUAAUACACAAGGUAAAGAGAUACAUAGUUGGCUUACAAUCGUCACUUCACACAAUUACAUGAAUAAAGCAUUACAUAAUCCAGAUACAAUCAAGGUCCGACUACGGAACCAAAAAUAAAAGAAGACUACCCCAAAUGCUACACAGAUCCUCAAUCGACCCCAACUGGGCUCCACUACUGAUCAACUAGAACGAAACAACACAAAGGACAAGAUCUUCAUCGAGCUCCUCCUUGAGCUUGGUUGCGUCAUCUGCACGGUUCAACGGCACCUGCAAGCUGGUUUUAGAAGUAUCUGUGAGUCACGAGGACUCACAAUCUCACACCCGCGCGAUCAAGACUAUUUAAGCUUAUAGGAAGGGUAAAAGGUAUAAGGUGGAGCUGCAGCAAGCGACUAGCAUAUAUGGUGGCUAACAUACGCAAAUGAGAGCGAGAAGAGAAGGCAAAGCACGUUCGAGAAUCUAUGAUCAAGAAGUGAUCCUAGAACAACCUACGUCAAGCAUAACUCCAACACCGUGUUCAUUUUCCGGACUCCGCCGGAAAGAGACCAUCACGGUUACACACGCGGUUGAUGCAUUUUAAUUAAGGUCAACUUCAGGUUUUCUACAACCGGACAUUAAUAAAUUCCCAUCUGUCCAUAACCGCGGGCACGGCUUUCGAAAGUUCAAACCCUGCAGGGGUGUCCCAACUUAGCCCAUCACAAGCUCUCACGGUCAAUGAAGGAUAUUCCUUCUAGCGGGAAGACCCGAUCAGGCUCGGAAUCCCGGUUACAAGACAUUUCGAUAAUGGUAAAACAAGACCAGCAACACCGCCCGAAUGUGCCGACAAAUCCCGAUAGGAGCUGCACAUAUCUCGUUCUCAGGGCACACUCAGAUGAGACUAGCUACGAUUAAAACCAACCCUCAAGUUUCCCCGAGAUGGCCCCGCAGGCAGCUCAGUUUGGACCAACACUCAGAGGAGCACUGGCCCGGGGGGUUUAAAUAAAGAUGACCCUUGAGUCUGCAGAACCCAAGGAAAAAGAGGCUAGGUGGCGAAUGGUAAAACCAAGGUUGGGCAUUGCUGGAGGAGUUUUAUUCAAGGCGAACUGUCAAGGGGUUCCCAUUAUAACCCAAUCGCGUAAGGAAUGCAAAAUCCGGGAACAUAACACUGAUAUGACGAAAACUAGGGCGGCAAGAGUGGAACAAAACACCAGGCAUAAGGCCGAGCCUUCCACUCUUUACCAAGUAUAUAGAUGCAUUAAUUAAAUAAGAGAUAUUGUGAUAUCCCAACAAGUAAACAUGUUCCAACAAGGAAUAACAUCUCCAUGUUCCAACAAGAAACAAACUUCAUCUUCACCUGCAACUAACAACGCUAUAAGAGGUGCUGAGCAAAGCGGUAACAUAGCCAAACAACGGUUUGCUAGGACCAGUGGCGGACCUAGCCCACUGGGCCAGGGUUAGCCAAUAGUGUAGUUGUACAUAUACAUUUAUUUUUCCUUUUAUUUUUUAGUCUUUCUUCUAUUGUAUAAAGGCUAUUUUCAAAUCUCAGGGUGGGCCGUGGCCCACUCUGUCCACCCUCUACCUCCGCCACUGGCUAGGACAAGGUGGAUUAGAGGCUUGGCUCAACAAUAUGGGUGGCAUGAUAAGCAAGUGAUAGGUAUCGCAGCAUAGGUAUAGCAAAAGAGCGAGCAUCUAGCAAGCAAAGAUAGAAGUGAUUUCGAGGGUAUGGUCAUCUUGCCUGAAAUCCUGUAAGGAAGAAGAACGAGUCCAUGAAGAAGACAAACGGACGUAGUCGAACGGGUCCUCACAAACGCGACGUUAUCGGACCCAACCCGAAGAAGCAACACCGGAAAGAAGCACACAACAUAGUAAACAAACAACACAUAAACAUGGCAUGAUGCACAACCAAGUAUGAUGCAUGUCCAGUUUAAUGAAGCAUGGCAUGGUCAAGUGCACAAACAAUCCUACAAAUUAAGUGGAGCUCAACAUGCAACUCCGUUGCAUAUUGAUGAAACACCACAUUCAAGUUAUUUAGUUCACUCUCGGUUAGGUACUCAACAAUAUUAAAUGUUGGUUAACAUGGCAAGAAGGUGAAGCAUAAGCAAACUAAACAUUUAGGCAAGUUUAAAUGAGGCCGGAAAUAACAAACAACAAUUCCGAUAAAUCCUCAUAUGCAUUUAGCAAUUUAAAGCAAACAGCAAUUUUAAACAUUCUUGAAGUUGUUAACAUGAUGCGGAUGACAUGUUCAAGCUUAUGCAAUUUUUAUUAGAAGUUGACAAGAGCAUUAUGAAGCAUUUGUCACCGUGGUGGAAAGGAAAGGGGUGCCACGGCAACGACAACGAAAACAGUGCCAUGGCAACAUUCCGGUUCCGACAACUCAUUGAGAACGUCGGUGCAAAAGAAAGUAUGGCGGGAGCGUGCAAAAGAUGGUGGGGUGAUCCCGGUUACCGGUUCCCACGAGUCAACGACGGCAUGGUAACGAGGAGGAACCACUAACGUUCACAGGCGAAAACAACAACUAAACAUGCAUCUCAUACAACACAUGCUUUCGUCCACGGGUCAUCGUCUCGGCGGUUAUACCUUCCAGGUGCAUUCUCGGAGCGGUUCGGGUUCGUAGAGGAAGUAGAGGAAGUAGUCGUCCACGGCGAUGGUAGUUGUACACGGGCCUUCGGCCACGGAAGUAGUCGUACAACAUUUUCGUAGAGGGACUUGACGAAUCCGAGUAACUUGGGUUCGACGGUGGUCGUUCACAUCCAUAGUCGCACAAGGUUCCGUAAAUGUUCAGAGUCUCAGCGAGGAACUCGGCGUUUCGGUGCGAUGUAGGGGUACAAGUCGAAGGUCGUCGUGGUACUUUGUGUAACAUAGGUCUCCGGGGUCGUCAGGUACACGUUUAUAUUGUAGCCGUACACGUCGAGGGUCUUAUCGGAACCUCGUCAACGUUCGAGAUCCACCUUGACGAUCCGAAGAGGUACUUGGCGUCAUGGUACUUGGGUCUUUGGACUUGUCGUUCUCGGUUCUUGCGACGGUAGUCGUACUAGUCUGCGGUAGUGGAACUUGUCGUUUCGGUGUGAAGUCAUUCGGGCGUCGGUCUUGCCGGUGGAGUACUUGGCGAACCUGCAUAGUCGAACUUGGCGUAACCAGUGGUACUUGGCAAUUUUGUGUAGACGGACUUGCGGUGGUCUUGGACCGGGCGAACUUGGCGUAUCCGACAGCGAAAAGCACACAACCCGCAGUCGGUGGAGUUUGCGGGCACGCAGAGGAAGGUCGGCGAGGACUUGGCGCGGUAGAGCGCUACAACAGAGCCAGCAGGGUCCUCGGGCCACGCGAAGGAGAGGAGCGGCACAAGGCGGCGCUGGGUGACUGCGGGCAUGCCCCAACGACCUCGGUCGCCGGCAGCAGAGGGGCAAGGCGAGCGGUGGCCUCCUGCGGACGCGGACGGCGGCGCUGCAGAAGGACAGCCGCAGCAGGGCGUGAAGGAGCUUGGGGAGGUCGAUCUGGUCGCCUCCGAGGCUUGGGCGCGCCAGAGCUUCGAGCUAUAGGCGGCGGACGACAUCCAUGGCUGCUCCCGGAGCUUCGCCAGAGGCGCGCGGACAAGGCAGGGCACGGGAGCUAGGGGGCUUGGACUCCGCCGGCCGGAGCGACAGCAGGGAGCUCCUGCUCCAGCCAAAGACGGCGAUGGGGGGAAGGGGAGAGAGGCGACGUGAGGAUGGAGGCAGCGGGGGCGAUGGAAGAGAGGGGCGUGCGAGAUCUGGGGAGCUCCUCUCCCUGGCGAUGCGGUGCAGGGUGUGUGAGGCGGCGGGAGUAGGAACAAGGAGGAGGGGAUCGAGAGGAGAGGGUUCGAGCGGGGUGACUGCGCCUGCGUGAGGGUGACGGCGUGAGGGGGAGAGCGAAGGGAGAGAGCUGGGGAUUCGGUCGGGGCUAGGGUUAGAAUGUCCAAAUGGGCCUUGGGCCAACUGGUGGUGGGCUGGCUGAGCUUAGGAGGGUUAGCUGGGCCGCUAGUUGCCGCUUCGGAGCAAAAAGGCCAACCUUUUGCUAUUUCCCAUUAACAGAAAAGUAGACAGAAGGAAAAGGGAAGGAAAGAAAUAGCUAGGGGUUUUGGAAAAUGCUGAAACUUCUCCUACUGAGUCUAAGAAUUAUACUUAGCCCAAGAAAAGAAGUUUCACGCGAUAUAGAAGAGUUUAAUUCAAACUCAUUUGAAUUUAAUUCAAAUGGUUUGAACUAGGACGAGGUUUUAGGGGUGACCAAAAAUGUUGAGAUUUUUGGUGGAGCUUCGGAAAGCGAUAAAAGAAUAUGAGGACAAAGUUUGGAGACCAAAUUUGAAUCAGAAAAGGCACAAAAAUAUUUGCAAGUGUUUAUGGUUAAUUCCAAAUUAAUGAAAUAGUUAUUAUAGCUCUCUAAAUAUCGAGAGGAUAUGUUGUAAAAAGAAUCACCAUGUGAAUUCCCUCGGUUUAAAUGAAUCAAAGGUCCAUGCCAUUAUUUAGUUGAGUUGCAAAAGAUUUAAGAGAUGAUGGCAUGAUGACAUGAUGCAAUGCACAUGAUGCAACGAACCAAACAAAUCACACGAUGAAACCCGAAAACUAUGGAAGGCGUCUGAAGCUCUGGUCUUGAGGCGUCAUACUUUGCCCCUCAAAUAAGCAUCAAAUAUGAAGAUUUAGGUAAUAGUUAACAUAACACAUCCGCCUCUGGGUCGCCUCCCAGACGACUCCGGGGCGCCCCCGACGCCAACCUCUCAGUGUCGCCUCACCAAACCCCCUCGCCGCCGCCUCGCUGGCCACCCCGGCCAGCCGCCCCUUCUCGCGCUCCCAAACCCCCAUCCCUCCUCCCACCUUACUCCUUCCAUGCCCAGAUCGACGCAGCGAUGCGGAUCUGGUCAGUUGGAGUGGUGUUUUUGGUGGCCAUAGCGUUUUCUGCCGCCGUUGUCGUGUGCAUCGUCUACUGGUCAGCACUGAAAUGGUUUGGGAGGCGAGAUCCCGCGCGUGGCCACCUCCCUCAGCAGUUCCUGGUGCUAAUCAGGCAACUUCAAGAUCUCCCGCAGACUACUACGACCGGGCACGCGCAUGAAAACUCGCCCAGGAGGCGUGCGUGCGUGCUUGGUUCGACAAGCAUUGAAUCAACGUUUGUGGUUGGCAGAGAGAUGGGCUCUUUGUCUGUUCUGCCAUCGCCACGGGAGUGUGACCCAGUGUCCUGUCGUCAGUGUCGCCAUUGGCAACGUGAAGAUCCAUUUCCUAUGGCUAAUGGCAGCCACCAUCCACCUUGGGUCUGCCUUGGCACCUUCAUUGUCGCGUUAACCAAGGUGUUGAUGGGGGGGGGGGGUCAAGGCGGUCUUAUUUGAAGAAGACCAGAUAUAGGCUCUGGAGGUUCCAUCUCCCAUGCUCAUACUGAGUCGAGAGCCGAUGAAGAUUACAGAGAGCAUGCAUAGUGGAUCGGAGAAGUAUGUGUGUCGGAUGAUUGGCAUUUUGCAGUAGUGUUCUCGGCAAGUGGGGGCGGCGACACUAGCCGACUUCGUUCUUCGCGGUGCUCUUUGAGUUCCGCGUCUCAGCUUCCGGGGUGGAAACCCUAGGUCUGGCCUUCGGUGGUUGUACCUGGCAAUGGCCGCUCCCUAGUCGUUUUUCUUGUUGAAGACAUUGUCUGGAGAUGAGAUCUUCUCCAGGGUGAAAAUUCAAGAUUUGACCAUGUUGAUUAGACCGGACGACGACGUUGUUUGUGCACUGUUACCUUCCUGAAGGCGUCGUUUUGGAGAACCUUCUUCGAAGUCUAAGUGUCAUAACCACUGGUCGUGCUCUUGCUGCUGCGAAUCUCUAUUUGCUUUGGCGGGGUCUCUAUUUUCCUUUUUCUUCUUCUUCUUUUUCAUUUGGUUGUGUGCAUCCUUGAUGUUUAGAUUUAAUCUAAGCAUUAUGUUGUUGCAGAGACUGGGUGUAUUUGGUAUCAUCUUGAUAUUGAUAUUAAUAUAUUCCUUUUAUAAAAAAAUAAGCAUCAAAUCCGGACAACAGAGGUGGGCCAGGCGGACCUAGAGGAUAAAGCACAUGGGUUGUGAGGGCAUGUGGCAACUGACACUGGGCCAAGCGGACCUCCGCAUGCUUUUUGGACUCCCGCAAAUCAGUUAUUUGUUUGCAUAUUGGAAUUUGGUCAUGCGGAUUCGUCUGCGGACAUAUACGGGUCUCCGUUGGAUGGCAAAAGUGGGUAAAAUUGGUCCAGACUACAUAUAUUAUGUCCAGUACUGCCACCUGAUGGUGCUAAACCACACCCCCUACCAAUUAUAUGUGAAGGCAACUGGCAUGAUGUAGCUGUAGGAAAUAUCCCUAUGCACAAUGAAGUUUAGUAGGCUGAAGUUAUCAACAAUCUCUACUCGUAUAAAAACCUGAGUUGGUGAUGAUGGUGUGUCUGCCAUCUUUCAUCAAUAGCCGCCGGAUCUAGAUCUGACGCAUACAAAACAAACUGUUGCAGUUUUGCAAAAAGAUGCCCGCACUUGUUUCCAUAUUUACAAAUAACUCCUUGUCUCUCACAAUCAGCCUUAUCUCUUCCCCACCGCAUCCAGAAGAGGCUGUGAAGCAAUCUAGUGUGAUGGCCGCUGUCGGUGCUGUCUACCCCCAAUCUUGGUGUUCCGUGCAAUGCACGACCAUCUUACUAGUGUUAACCAAAUCCCCAACCUGAAUGACAAACAUGUGAUGGAGCAGAAACACAACAUGAAUGACCAUAUCAUUGGUAACAUUGAUGCUGAUGUGGAGAUGCCAGACACUCGACCCCCAUGCAGAACUCUUCACACACCACUGGUUAUGCAUAUGAGGACCUUGCUAAGACUGUCUCUGUUUAUCAAUUUACUAAACAGUAACCAGGUGACAGGUGCUUGCUGUAAAAUUGUUGAUGUGCAGGAAGAUGGUGGUAUCAGGGGAAAGGUUUUGUUUAGAUCAGCACCACUUGCUCCUCUGAAACCACUGAAUCCUCUGUUAGAGAAGUUACUGAAUUAUCCUCUGAGUUGCACGCUGACACUUGCCUUCCUGCCCCUGCCAUUACUAACAAGCCCAAGAGAACUAUACCUGUCGAUGAUGCUCUUGUCAGGAGAAGCGGUAGACUUGCUAAGCUCAAUGAUGGCUUCAUGAGGACAUGAACCCUGCAAGUGCAAAGGCUGCUGAGGCUGCUCUGACUGAACACACUGAGAAGCAGAAGACCCCCAAGGUGAGGAAGAAUGUGUCUGUGAACUUGGAGCCGCAAUUUGAAGCUUCAAUGAUGGACAAAAAUGCCAGGCCUCCUCCUCACGUAUCUACCAUCCAGUGCAUGGCUACUGAGUAGGGCAAGAUCCCUGCUAAUCAGGUGUCUGCAGAUGCUCUGAACUGCGACAAUUCUAAUGGCAGUGUGUGAUCUGUCAUCUUAUUGGGCUGUGAGCAAGCCUCAUUCUGAUUGCUCAGUUAUCUUACUUAUCUGUGUUAGCAAACCCUUUGGUUAUCUUUAUGUUGGUUCAAGGGAAGUUAUGUGUUUGAACUUAUAUUUGUGUGUUGAAUUAUCUGAGAUCAGCUGCUCUGUAAUCAACACUAUCAGUAUAGUCUAUUUGCAUUUACCAGAACUAGAUGACCAGUUGCGCCAAUGGCACAAAGGCCGAGAGUAAGCCAUGUAUUGAAAGAGUGUACAUUAAUAUUAUUCGGGCACAUAUUUACAUAUGAGAAAAAAAUUCCACUUGCUAUAAGUACAAGCGAUGCAAUACCCAUAUAAUGUUCAAGGACAUAUCAGUAUUAACAGAACCGUUAAUUAGUCAGACACAAAUCCACACCCGAGAAGCACAUUGUACACGGUUAAAACUUUUAAGCCUCACAUUCCCAAGCAAUCUUAAGGAGGGCCAACAGAAUUGAAAUCACUGAUGCAAAGUAUCAGCAGUUAGUAAUAUUUAUACACACAGUUUCUUUAUUGUAGUCAUAUGACGAUGAAAUCAGUACUUAAAUCAGCACCAAGGAUAGCCGAUCAGACAAACAAAAAUUCUGCAUCCCACUGAACAACACUAUUAUGCAGGACUCAUUUUAAAAGGCCCUCAUUUCUAAUUUCUAUAAGAGCUUGAAGCUUUGGAGCCAAGGCUACAAACCUUCAAAUCCGACCAAACAUCUUACCAUGCAAACAUGGUAAAAUGGGAAAGAAAGACUUUAAAUGUGACGCACCAAAAGCGAAAGAAAAUGUUGAACGACCUGGGCGUGAGGAGUUGUACCGGUGACCUACUGAAGCCGAGCAGCGCAUGGAUGUGGGCCAGCCUGAUGACGGUGGUGGCGGCGCCCUCUUUUUUUUUAGUUUCCUAUGAUCCAAAGUAGGCGCUGGAACAAAGUAAAUCUUUAAACCCCUAUGUAAGUAGAUUAAAAAUAAUAAGAAGUCAUUUAAUUGAUGGAAUGUAGCAUUAUGAAAAAUAUAUAGCAAAGUGAUUUUGCGUAUGCUAGUUGCAGCAUCGGCACAACACAUAUUCUAGCAAACAGACCUAUGUUUGACACAUUCUACCACAAAGUGCCUGUCCAAAGGCUUCGGCACUGUGGCUCAUGUAGAAAACUGAAAAAUGUCUCAACUGUAGUAGCAUACAUAUCUAACAUCUUUUGUCCUUUCAUAAAGCAACGAAAGUUCAGAACAUACCAUCUUAAACCGGUGAGCGACUUGGUUUACAUCAUCUCCUAGUUGACCUGAGCUACAAAUUUAUUGUUUCCAUAAAUUAGGUAAAUAAUGUUUGUACAAUGAAUUUUAAAUGUAAAAGCAGCCUACUAGAAAUUAAGGCAUAAUAUCAUGACGUGUGAAAAAGCUCAAUAAACUACAUCAACACAAGCAAAAUGACAGACAAAAUACAUGAUAAUAUUUUUUUCGCCCAUGGAUAUGUACUUCCAAAUAGCUUUAUAUUAACAUCAUAUGCACAUGCUGAAGGAAAAUUUUAAUUAGAUCAACCAAGGCAAAAAUAUAUCGUGUAAGAUCUCAUCUCUUGUAAAAAGAAACUGGCGCAAAUAGAAAGCAGAAAUCUAAGACCAUUUAGGAAAAGAGUUAACCAGUUAAUCGGUAAAAGACAACAAUGUAAGAUGUCAUCAGUUAUAAAAAACCUGAUCAAGGAGCACAUAAAUCACUUCCCGCAGGGCGCCCUCCCCUGCCUCCAUCCUGAGCACCUCCAUCCCGUGAGCACUCAAGCCCUGGAUCCAUAGUCUCGAGCUCGACCGAGCUCCGCCAUCUCUGCCUCAAGCUCUGAAAUCACCUCCACUAAUCAGACUCUUACUUGGUUAUUUAACAAAAAAGAAUCAGAAAGGAAAUUUAUUUACCGAAACAACAUAAUGAAAUAUGAUAUAUAUAUCGUUCCUUAGAAUGAGAAGCUACAAAAUAGAAGAGGCAUAUGUUUAUAUGUUAGUAUUCGUAUAUCCUAGGCCGGGUUUUUACAGAGCAAUCACGGGCAUGACGUUAUACACCUAUACAAAAUUAUCUGCGCAAGAAGGCUGCUUUAAAAGUAGCAAGUAUUAAAGUAAAAAAUGCAUCACAACAAUUCAUUACUAAACAACGGAAUGAAAUACAAUAGCUAUCAAUCCUGCUAACAGGAAGCUACGAAAUAUAACAGGACUACAUUUAUAUUAUUAUUUUGCGGGUAGAGGAUUACAUUUAUAUGGGAACAUUCAAAUAUCCUAGGCCUGUAUUUUGACCAUGUAAUCACAGAUAUGUCGUUAUACCCCCACCUUUUCCUUUUACUCCGCAUACAAGUUUGGUCAAACUGAAAAUGGAAGUGCAUUAUGUUUGAACACUGAAACCCCUCCUUGCAAAAGAAUCAAUUAUAGCACCAGUUCUAAUUCAAUCUGAUCUCUGACUGUGAGUUAUUCUUGUUCUCUAUAAUUUAGCUUGGGGUUUCCACUUGUGUAAAACUGUAACAAAUAAAGCAGGGCAUGUAGCAUGGGUGCAGCUCCUGUGCUGGGCACUAUUGGCAUGCUUUGCACACGUAUAACAGGCAUGGGCAAAGGUGAGAGGGUCAUGGUGUACUGCACGGCCUGGGUGUGCAGUGUGUGUAUGCGUGAGGCUGUGAAGGAGAACAACAAUGUGUAGCUUCUCCUCGCUUCAGUCAUAAACAGAAAAAUACAAAAACGAACUCAACACAAAGCUAGUGCUGGGGGAAAACCAUCGAGUACCUUGUGUGCAUCCUUUCUCUGGUUGAUUCUUGCUAUCGAUUCCUCUACGACGAGCCAAGAUCUGAGUCUCGUGUGUGUCCACAGGGGGAAAACAGAGGCGAGCGAGACUCCAGGCCUGUCAAUCUCCUUCAUUAUCAGCUAAGUGAAUGGUUGUUGCCAGUAAGUGAAAUGGGAAUUGUACAUCAAGAUUCACGUAGCAGAAACGAAUUACCAGAGGGAGAUGGGUAGUCUGCAAAUGGUACAAAGGAUCUCUUUUGAGCUGAUCUGCUCCAAACGACUGGUUUCGAACUGAACAAGGAAAUAAGCAAAUGGACAAGCCAUUAGAAACAACCUUGCGCAAAAUAAUUUGGAACAUCACUAUGCACUUUACUGUCAUUAGAAACAACCUUGCAUAAUAGUAUAAUUUAGUUCCAAAGUAUGUCCAUAGGUACAGGGGUACAGAUCUAGUACAUUUUAGUUUCAGAGUAUGUCCAGAAUCAUACUAAAUCUACAAAACCAGUAUCCUUAUCUGAAAGCACCCACACAGUUCAUUUGACAGAUGCAGUCAGCGGUAAAAGAAAAAAGGAUGUUAGCAAAUUAGAGCUGCACACACACCUCCAAUAGUGUUUUGGCCUGUGUAGGGAACACGAACCCCCAAACACCUCGAGCUCCUUGCCCGGUGGGGGUGGAGGCAAUGGUGGCGCUUCUCAUGACGCAGAGGAGGCAACGACGCGGUCGAGCGGUGCCGGCGCCGCCCCGGACGAUAUCAAGAUCGGGCGAGACCAGGCGAGCACGCACCAUCGCAGCGCCGUGGUUGGGGAGCAGCAGCGGUGUGCAGCGCGGAGGCACGGGAGAGAGGGAGAGAAAAGGGGAAAUACCCUGAAGUGAGAAUUUUUGGUUGCAGCUUCCUGAUAAGCUUAGGCAUCUUCAUGCUUACUUUCACCCUGUCAAGCACAGUAAUAAGCAACGUAAACAUAUCCUCAUUGAAAUUGCAUCGUUGAUCAAGAUGACAAAACUGAUGACUCAGAUAACAAAACCAACCUUCAGAUGGCAAUUAGCAAUCUUGAUGUACACAGAUGAAGCUCUGUUCCUUGCAAACCAAGUUGGUAGCAACACAACAGAAUAAGGGGAUGAGUGCUUAGACAUUAAGCCAUUAAACAAACUCGAAAUUGCAGAUCACCCUGUCAAGCACGGCAUUACACCAACCAGCAGGUAGUGCUGCUACCUCCACACAAAGUUACUAAUUCAUCCUAAAGAAAAAAUCACAUCAUGAGAUGGAAAGGAUGGAAUUAAAUCACUAACUCACACACUCUGCACACGGAACGGCCAACGCCGGUGUUGCUUCUCAUCGUGAUGGCCAAAGGUGGAGGCCGGCUCCUCGGCCCAGCUCCGGCUUUCGACAAUUUGACUAACAGUCUAACACAAAGCAUAUUAUUAACAUCCAUAAUUUGGAUUGGAUAAUUUAGAACAAGUGAUUCAACUUCUAUAAUUUAACCUUGCUAAUACAUGAUUUAUUGGAUAAUUUGGACUGUUGUGCAAAAUUUAAGAGCGGAACUAAUUGUUCAAUUUCUAAUUUUUUACUUGGCAUAUCUUCUGAAUAAGGUGAGGUCAUUCUCUAAAGCAAAUACAACAGUUUUCGGGAAAAUGCUUAGAAACAGUAGCGGCAAGUUGAAGAUCAAGUUGGACAGAGUAAGGUCUAAAUGGCAUCUCCCUUUUUCUAAAAGGCAAAAGAUUGAGUAAAAUCUGUAUUUUGGAUAGAGCAAAUAUAUAGCUUCAGAAAUAAGAACAAAGCCAUGAACAGAGCAUUGAGGAAUCAGUAUAACAAUUUUGAAACACAAUAAUUUCGAAAUCUUGCAAAAUCACAACAAAAAUUUAUGUAGUUAUGAACAAUUGGAAAUACAUUAUACUAAAGGUUGAUUAAAAUCUGUCUAUUGGAUUGAGCAAAUAUGUAGCUACAGAAAUUUUGCAAAAUCAACACAAAACAAGAAUCUCAUUUAAUGAAAACAAAUCUGUCAUUACCUAUGAUCAGAAUUAGGUAUUGCGAAAAUAAAUCACUCUACUCGCUAGAGAUCAGAUAAGGAAAAGAAAACUAAUGAGUGACAACUUCCAAGAUAUUGAUCAGUUAAGGAAAAAAAUUGUUGAUGACAUUAUUAAUCUAUCACUUUGUAGAAAAGCAUGAGAAACUAUCUACCACAUAUACUUGCAAGUGCACCACUAAGAAAAGCAAUCAGGCAUGUUUUCUGGGACUCUGUCCCUGCUAUUUAAAAGAACUGCACUAACAGAACAGGGCUAAGGAGGAGCAAAAUAAGGACAAUAUCGGAAGUCAUGCAAGUGGGUAGACAUAUGUACUGCCAUAACUUGAAAAUCACAAGCUUCAGCAAGAAACACAUGCAAAGACGAAAAAGAGUUUCAACAAGAAACACAUGUAAAGACGAAAAAAGUUUUUUUCAGCUAGCAGAAGAUUACCAGUUCAUCUUACCCAGGCACACUGCCAUAACUUGAAUGUAGCCUGUACAUAUUAUACGUAUUCACUGUUUUAUUGAGAUAGUAUAUCAACACUAUAAUGCUGAAAAUGCAAGCAGAUCAACAAAACUGCACUACAAUCACCCAUACACGCCACUAAAUUUUAUAUGAGCACCUAGAACUAUUUUAUGGUGAUAAAACAAUGGAAGCACGUUGGCAACACAAUUGUAAAAUAAACUAUAUUCAAGGAAAUCUGCACUUGCCCUGUUUGAUAGCAAAGCAUUUUCUACGUGUUCUGAGAAUACCACAGUUUUUUAGACUACCAUGCUGAAAAACAGCCCAUGUGCGUAUUCAUGUACCUCUCGACACACAUCUCCUGCCAUGUAUUGUGUGAACAAAUAAAUAAUCUAUAUAAUGAAAAAAUUAAUAUAAUGAACUUGAAAAAAACAAUUAUAUCAUUCUGACCAACUUUGUUCAAACACGACCAGACUCCAGACCACAUUUUUUAUGUCAUUAGUUCUAAAAGGAGCGAUAGAAGAGUGUUGGAGGUACAAAUAAGAAUCAUUUCAUAUUACAAACAGAACAUACCUUUGCAUUAGUAGUUGUCGAUUAACAAUACAUUCAGACAUCCAAUAGAUCCAAAGUGCACACAUAAUUACAGUAUAAUUGUAGACCACGGGGUAUCUGUUGCCAAGUUAUUUAUUGUUCCAUGGCCUGUAAAAAUGAAGAGUAGUGUAGUGCCACACUAUUGUACAGGAAAAUUGCUGCAACUACGAAAAGAAAAACUGUUUUUUUUUGUUUAUGCACAGUAUAGUGCCUGGCCAUCAAUAUUAUUGCAGUAAAUGUCAGAAAUCAUAUAAACACAUAUAUCAGGAAGUUAUUCUAAUACUCUAGUAACACUAGUAAAACGCCCGUGCGUUGCUACGGGCUAUACUGUAUAUAAAUGAAUUAGAUAAAUUAUUGAUAUUAAAACUUAUUUCUCUCUCAUACACUAACCUCACGGUCGACGGCAGGUUCUCGCGAUCUAGUGUAGCAUAAACAUGGCCAUAUUGGAGGGCUAUACUGUAUAUAAUAAAGGGGAUUUGUUUUCACUGUAUGUAUGAUACACUUUAUGAUACACUGUAUGAAAAAUGUAACAAUGCGACAGUCCAGGCUCCCACAAAUCCAGACCAUAUUGGAGAGAAAAAUGUCUAAACUAUGAACCCUGUUAUCUCCAACACGCAUACCCAACAUAAAAACUCCACCCCAUGACACACCCUUAUGUUUUCCAGUCGGACCCUCCCCUUCCGCUCGGUUUUCGCCGUAGUGAGACAUUUCUCGCUGGAGCCCUCUCCUUUAAAACGGGAUGACGCCCACCUCACCUUCGUCAUCGUGGCCUCUCUCCUUCACACCAUACUUCCCCACGGAGGGAUUGCAUUUAGACGUCGAAAAAAACGAUGGCGAGGGAGUCAUGGAGGAGGGGUAGAGAACGAACCGGUGAAAGCCAAAAAAAACUGCGUACAAUGUUCGCUCCGCCUGGGUCAUAGAGGAGUCCCCCUGGUAGAGGAGUUUGGGGAGAAGAGGACGGCGAUGUGAGGACACGUCGGGAGGAUCACAAGGAAGGCACGUUGGUAGAGGAGAUCAGGGAGAAGAGGACGGCAGCGCGAGGACGUCGGGAUUAUCGCGAGGAGGGCAGGCGAUGGGAGGAUUGCGUUCACAUACACAUUAAUGGGCCAGCCCAAUGAUGUGAUGCGAUGAUGUCAAAGGUGGACGAAAGAUAGGAGUGGUGGGAUGAGGUGGAGUGAGGCGAGACUACCAACUAAGACAUUGGUAGUAGAGAUUAGUAGUAGAGAUUACUGAGAGUUGGUAUAACAUACAUAAUCCUUAUGGAAAAUGUUAGGCGGAAUCUUUGAGUAAGUGAAUCUAUCUUGUAAACUCCAUUGUAGACCAUGCAUACACAUUAUUCUCCAGAAGAACUGGUGCAGAUUAUUUGAAGGAGCUUGAUAUCCCAUAGACCAUAGUCCUCGUGUAGUCUUGCAUUGAAAGAUAUAGGUAUGUAAGACAGCUAGCUUGGAAUGAAAUAGACAAUUAAAUGGAAAAGAGAAGAACUGAAAUGAGGUAGAACUUCCAGUAGGGUCACAUCUCAUUACUCAGACUAACCAAAAGUUUCAGAACCGAGUUCUUGGAGCUCUUUGUCUUUGAGGUCAUCAUUCUUUAUAAUCUAAAACGUGAACAUUUGGUUGGUAAAGAACAUUACGUGUUAAAUAUAACAUGUUAUAGCAAGCCUAAUAUCAGGACCACCUCUCAUGGGCACAAUCAAAUUCCUAAAGCCUCUUUUUUUAUCAGAUGCAUAAUGCACAUCACUUACCAAGGAAGAUUUUAGCCUCUUCAACAUAACAAUCGGUAUCCCUUGUCAAAGCUCACACCAAAAUAAUUGCACGUGUAAUCAUUCUACCAUUUGAUUGAUAGACUGAAAAUAAGUACACAAAAGAUAGGAGCUACUCACAUUCAAACUUCUGCCACAAGCUCGUUGAUGGUCAUGCCCCUUCAACAUGUUCACACAUAGUGCGUCAAAAAAUAAUAUUCCUCCAACCAGCCCAUACAGAAUGCCUCAAAUUGGCAUGAUAAAACAAAUCCAGAUUGCAUUAUUCAUUGAAAUGAUAGAAAAUGGAAACAUCCCAAACCAAUAUGUAUGUAGAACCUAAAAUUAUAUCUUAUGUAUCAAAACGACUAUACAACCUUCCAAAAAGCGAAGGAGGACCAUGCAUAAUACAAUACUCCUUUCCAGCGCUUUACGUCGUCCGCCUCCCAAUGCAUCCUUGGUCAUCUCCAUGGCCUACAGGAGGCGCUUCACCUACAGCAGAAUUUCGAGAUAGGAAUCCCUUCUUCACCUACAGCAAAAUUUCGAGAUCCCAACACUAUCAGGCUAAUACAAGGAUCCAUGAGAAGUGUGAAUGCACCAACGUCUCCGGGUAUGCAUGGACCAUACGUGUAACUGAUUUGGGAAACGUAGGCGGCGAUGCUAGCAUGGCCGACGGCACAUGAUGCAUCUAUAGUGAGACCGGCGGCGGUCAGCAGCACCGUGGCGGCCCAAUUCGAUAAGCCCGGCGGUCGAGUACCUGGAAGGCCAGUAGCCCACGCCCACGACGUUGGCAAAGUAGCUCGGGAUGGCAGCGACAAAUCGCUAGGUCACCCGUGUCAGUGACCUUGAGGCGCCGUUGGCGCGAAGGGGAGCAUGUUUCCACUGUCGCAGAUCUCCCAUGCGACAUCAAUGGUCGACAGCAUCAGCCUCUCUCGAUGGACCGGAUCUUCCCUGUCGCGGUAUUCGGGGGAGAGGGGGUAGGCAAUGCCAAACAGAGGAGGGAGAGGCUUGACCUGGCAUGUUCUUGAGCGGUUUGACAGUUCUUUUUUUCAAGGAUAGCUGAAUGCCCUUGCGUUGCUAUGGGACAUCCAAGAUAUAUAUAUUGAUCAAUAACCAGAAGGUUAUUAAUUCUACUUCACAAACUUCGACAAUGCAUGCACAUUUUAAUUUUCGAUAAAAAACAAAGGUAACAAACUCCUAUAACAGUGGAUAAAAUACAAGAAUCAGUCUAACUGAAAAUACCACGUCUACCUUAGAACGUCUAUAAUAUCAAUUAAGAAGUCUGCUACAAAACUUACUAACAGGUGGAAAAGGGGCAGCUAGUAUCUCUCCAACAAACAAAAUCAUACCAUACAAAAUAGAUUGCCUGCAGUCAAUAAAACAGUAGUAGGGCAUCUGAACAAAAAAAUACAUAGGGAAAAUGGAACAUGUCGUUUCGAAGUUUACAUUAAUCCUGUCAAUGUUAACCACAAUACUGAAGAUAGGCCAUAAUGGCCACAUGACCAUCUGCACUGUACUGAUAACGGAACUGCAUGUCUUCAUUGCUAUCAUUAUAGAUUAACAUAUUUAAUUGUUUCAGCACAAAGGUUCCAUAAUGUCAGGGUAAAUUCAAGAAUCUUCACACGCACUUAAUAGACCAUGUAAUAGCAUGUUGAAAACUACGCAGGAAAAGCAUGGUUCCGAGAUACUUAAGUCUUGAGGUCAGUUCAGUCUUACCACGAAAAUGAAGACCAUAUGAUGUCUGGUGCAGCUCCCUAUUCAUCAGUAGAGAAUCCUUUGAUUUAUUUACAUGAAGAUUCUUAUUGGGCAUGGCUGGAUCAAUCCGAGUAUAUAUAUCUGGAUGAUUUAUUCCACACAUGUGAAGCAGAUAUUGGAGAUUAUUAAGAUUCUAACUUAUUCCAAACUUUAUUUAUUUUUAUCCCAGUUCUAGACUUCUAAUGUCUGUGAAAGAAGAAAAUCUUGACCGGAACACAAAAUGGCAACAAAUAAGAAAGAGUUAUCACCGAAGCAAUGCAGUUAAGAGUUCCGAAUACCUUUCAGAAAGAAGUGACAUAUAUUAGCAUAUUUUAUCAGAACAAUUCAAUCUGCAAAUUAGCAAACAUGGACAUUCCAGUGCAUAGUAGUACGAAAAAAGGUGAAAAACAAGUGAACUGUGACACAAUGUAACAGCUGAAUCAACAAUGACAUGUUAGAAUGCGAAAAUAUUGGAGAUGAGAAUUCCAUUGACCUCUUGUUGGACUCUUCAAAUCAGAUCACUGAUGGCGCUUCCAGCAGCGAGGCUUCCCCACGACAAGGCAUCUUUCUGGCUAUUGUAACUCUGGAGGAUUAUGCCAUCAGUAGAUAAUCUACCAAGACCUAAGGCUUCUCCAUCCGGCCACGGCUGCAGCUGCGUCCACAUCGCCAUGGAUGCUCCACCAUAUCCGCCUGGACGAGCGCAGGCUCUUCAUCACCAACCUCUUGUUUAGCCACGAUGCCACGGUGGCCACCAGGCAGCUUGAAGCCACAAACGACAUGCUUGAGCACACAUCGCCAUGUUGGGGGGCACACCUGACAGCGACACCACGCAACGCGUCAUGGCGGCGUUCAUGGAGGCGUUGACGCGAUGCUAGCUCCCCGCAUGGGCUGGCCUGUGCAGGGCACUACUCCUACCCCGUGCAGCGCCCACGCCACCAUCGCACCCUAUACCAUGCAAUCAAAUUGGCAGAUAGAGUGCAAAAUAAUGGAACAAAAUUGACAGAAAGAUGAACAAUGUGCAAGUAGCAACCUCAAAAUAGGAGGACUACUCAUUUUGAAGUUUCAGAAGAGUUGAUCUCAGAAAACUUCAAUUGAACGCAAGGCCGAGUAGCAAUGUACCCGAAUCAGCAGCCUGAUUUUUAGAUGGUGUAGCUGGCAAAUCUUCAAAUCUAGUCCCCAAGAAGGAAAUCAAGAGCAGAUCAUGAAGUUAAUAUACAGAGCUUCCAGAAAUCACACAUUCACCUACAUCCAAAAUGAAGCCUCCACCUGCCAAAAUCACAUGCCUAGUUCUUAUAGUGUCCCAAAGGCAGUAUGUAAGGCAGCGGAAUGGAUGAUCAAAUCAUAAAACACAAUCUAGUAUUUACCAGCGAUUCAGUAUCCUGCACGUCGGACUGGAUCUCAGAGAGCCUCUGCUUCAUCUUGUCUACUUAGAUCUCACCAUGUAAGAUGAAACCAACAACAGCGAAUAGAAAUAGGCACGGGAAGAGAGGGUGGCGAUCUUGGCGAAGACCUCGCAGACACAGAGUCACAGUACUGGCGCUUGUAGCCCUGGAACACCUCGCUGCUUAUGAUUGCUCCUCUUGAUCGCCUUUCAUGGCAUGUAUUAAAGAUAAAUGGUAGCUAACCAGACCUGGCCGCUGCCACCGCCGAGAGGAGGUUGAGUAGUCAACCAUUUGCGUAGGUAAAAGCUGAUAUGUACGUCCUUGAUCCAUCGCCCACCGUCCAGGAUUGAUCCAUGCACUUGAGACAAUACUGGGUGCGCAUCGAAGCAGACUUCAUGGCUAUGUCCCGGAUCCACCGCCCUCUGUCCUGCUUGACCCAUCCACAGGAAUCAACACCGGACACACCGGCUCGUCAUCGAUGCCUACGAGCUGUUUCAUUGCGAGGUCAAGGGGGACCGCGGAAGGGCUGCACUGGUGCCUGUGCUACGUGCUACUCGCUAGCGGCGUCAACUGGGAAGGGGCGGCUAGGGUUUGAACAGGGAGGAGGAGACACGGCUUGCGUGGAUUUUUCAUUGCUUGCGUGCGUGGGUAUGACGGUCUUGCUGGUUCUUUCGCCGGAUCGCAUGAGGGUGGGACCACGUAAUUAAGAAGAACGAAUCACGUCUGAGUUUCAAAAAAAAAAGAACGAAACACGUUUGGGGUGGAACGUACGCAGGGAAAACUAACAGCACGCGGGAGGGAGGCUCGACGAAGGGUUCGACGACGUAAGACGGGAAACGAAGCACUGCGUUUCUUUUGGGUAUUAUUAUUAUUAUUAUUAUUAUUAUUAUUAUUAUUAGAGAAUUAGAGAUUAGAGAUAGAGAUUAGAGAUUAUUUGUUUCCUGAAAAUCUAUUACUUGUUUCCUAAAGCAAAUUGCAUUAAUGAGAGAGAUCCGUUGAUUUGGCUAAGGUAGGAAAGAAUCUAUUAUUUGUUUGCUAAAGCAAAUUGCAUUAAUGGAAGAGAUCCGUUGAUUUGGCUAAGGUAGGAAAGAAUCUAUUAUUUGUUUCCUAUAUAAAGCAAAUUGCAUUAAUGAGAGAGAUUCGUUGAUUUGGCUAAGGUAGGAAAGUUAGAUCCGUGAUCUUUUGUCAUUAGGAAAGUGUUGAAAAUAAACCGUUCCGGACUACCAACUUCUCCAUUUGGUUUUUUUUUCGCUGGUUAAUUUUCGUAGGUUUUUUUCGCUGGAUUGUCUUGGGUGCGAUCGGAGGUUAGGCCCUGGAGUGCGUGGGGCGGGUGGGGGCUUCGGUACGCGGUUUUUUCGGUUCGUGGCGGCUCAGUGUAAGGUGGGACGAGGUAUCAAAAAAAACCAUGGAAAAUGGGACGAAAAAAAACCUGGAAGCGAGACUACCAACUGCUUCAUUAGAAGUAGAGAUAAUAUAAUAACUAAUAUAUUAACAACACUAUUGCUUGAAGGGUCCAAUCAGAAGCUCCUAUUUAUUUUAGUCUGCCAAGCAAUCUGUGUGUGCUGCAAUCUUCAAGCAAAAUUUACUUUUUGCAUAGAUCACAAUAAUAAAGGCAACAAACGGAAGAUUCAUGAAUUUGUUGCUGAUACCCAGAUAGAAAAUUGAAGGCAGCCUACCUCAUCUUCCCAAGUUGAUUGUGAGACUUACUUUAUUCCAGAACGUGAUGUCCAUGUGCCACCAAAAUGGCUCCCAAGGAUGGCACUACUUGCUAGUUAUUCCAGAGUUGAUAGUGAGAACAUUCCACAUCUGCAGCCAUAAAAAAUAAUCAAUUGAAUGGAGUCCUUAUAACGGGGAAACAUAAUUUGAAGGCAGCAAUCCUUGAUAUCCAUCAGUUCUGACACAACAAUAGCAAAUAGGAGAAGUUAAGAAAGAUCUAAAACCAGGUGUGCUGCUCCAAUGAAUCUGUGUGUAACAAGAACGAGAGGUCGGGGAAGAGAGAGAGGGUACAAAGGGGAGAGGGGGAGUACAUGCGUGUCAAGGGUAGCCUGGCCUCGCCGACGUGCGUCCCUCCCGCUCCAGAUCAGGAACCUGGGAGAAGGUGAGGAAAGGUGGCGACAAGGUGCAUGCCAGCGCGGCUGCUGCUCCCCUUAUCUUGUCGAGGCCAGACUGAGGACGCGUUGCGGCUGCUGCUCCUCUCCUCUUGCUGACGCAGGCGGUCCAUGGUGGACACAGGCGAGGAGGAGGCCCCGCCGCCGCCGGGCUUGUCCACCACCAUGGAUUUCUCUCCGAUGCGGCAGGGAUUUGGGGCAGGGAUGCGGCAACAGCAGGAGCGGAGGUGGCGGCGACAUAAAGGCAAGGUUGUGACUACAAGUUCUUCAGGGUUUAUAUGUUCAAUGAGAGUAUCAGUAUAGUCUUUUUGCAUUUACCAGUAUCUCUCAUUCUAGGUUCUAUUGGUAGAUGCAAAGCAAGAGUCGAGGUCAAAAAUAAAGGUCUUAACUUUCAUGCAACUGAUAAACAACAAUACCCAAAUAGGACGACCUAUGAUAUACCUCUUAGACAUUUUGACAGCAGAUUGAACUGCCAAAAUAUCUUACAUUCAGGAAUGGAGGGAGUAUUACCCAGUUGCCAACAACUUACAAAACUCGAUCAUGCACACCAAAAAAUAUACCAAGAUUCAAUUAGCCAACAAACCUGUAAUUCACAGAAAUGCUAGAACAUACAUAAUCUUGCCAACCAUUCAAAUGACUUAAAGCCCAUGGCAAAACAAACUCUGAAGAGUUCAACAUGGAAUUCAAGAUACAAUAUAUUAAAGGUUCCAGAACCAAAACAUUAUCUAGGGCAAAACAUCAUCCAAGGUAAUCAUCUAAACAAGAACACUCCUUAAGAUUCUGGAAAUGGACCAACACAGUAAUACAAAGCUAUGCAGGAUCUUUGUCAAGCAGCUUAUCGCUUCUUGGAGACACCAACAGUCUUUCCUCUCCUGCCUGUAGUCUUGGUGUGCUGACCACGGACACGCACGCCCCAGUAGUGCCGCAGACCGCGAUGGUUCCUGGAAAAGAGAGGAGUUUCAAGCAUAAGUGAUCACUUACACAUCUAUACAGUAGGACAAUGCUGCUGCAACAGUUAAGUUAAGGAAUCAGCCAUCAGCAUACAUCUCUUGGAAACAAAGCAUCGAUAUACAGAACAGCUGGGUCACAUACAAGGUACAAUAGAAGGGUACACAUGAAUACAUUGACAAUCAUCAAUUACCAGAUUACAAGACAGAAAUUAUGAAAUUAAGUCAACAAGAGAAUAGGGCAGACUUUAAAAUCUGGACACAAGUAGUAGAAAACAAGUUCCAACAGGUUGACUAAAUUGAACUGUUAUAUAACAGUAAGUUAGAGCUGGCACAAGUUCCAGGUAAUAUCCAUCAAUACAUUGCUAGCAUGCUGUGUUUCUGUAGAAAUAAGCAUCAAUUCACUAUCUAAGCAAAAAGCUAGCCCAAAUGUCUAAGCAGACUAGCACAGGCACAUAGAAUUUAGCACAUGAUGCUAGUACUUGCUACCCUGACAUUUCAGACAUUCUGGUGUUUAGGAGAUUUGACUUCCAGCAGAAAACUCGUCAAUCAACAACCUAGCAAAUAAUGACAAAUUAAACUGUCUACUACCAUGCAAGACACAUACUGCUAGUACUAAUAUGCGAAAUGCAAGCAUCAUCAGUAGCUGAAUCUAACACAAAGUCAUAUAUAUCAAGCAAUAGUAAGGGGCAAAAAGAAAAGAGGGAACGGCGAGGUUAUACCUGAUCUUCUUGAGCCUCUCAAGGUCAUCCCUGAGCUUCAUGUCCACGGCGUUGGACACGACCUGGGAGAACCUCCCGUCCUUGUAAUCCUUCUUCCUGUUGAGGAACCAAUCCGGCACCUUGAACUGGCGCGGGUUGUGCACCACCGCCAUCAGACGGUCCAUCUCCUCCGCGGAAAGCUCUCCGGCCCUGCACACCCACACAAACAAAGCGCACGGAUCAGCACCACACCCACCACGGCGAGAUCUGGCGAGAAAGGGGGGCGGACGGGUUCCUCACCUCUUGUUCAUGUCGAUGUCGGCCUUCUUGCAGACGAUGUUGGAGAAGCGGCGGCCCACACCCUUGAUGGAGGUCAGCGCGAACAUGAUCUUCUGCUUACCAUCGACGUUGGUGUUGAGCACACGCAGGAUGUGCUGGAACUCCUCACCCGCGAUCAGCGACUGCGGCCAAGGAAGAUUCACGGAUGUCAGCACACGAGGAGGGAUCCGCGAGAGGUGGAGGACGGCGGAGAAGGGAGGGGGGAGACGCUUACCAUGGCUGCAGUCGGCGGCGGCGGCGACGGCGGCGGCGGCUGGGGCGGUCGGGGGCAGGAAGGGAGGAGGUGCGUUCGCGUCUAGGGUUUUGGAGCCGGGGUCGCGGGGAUGAAUUUUAUAUACCCGAGGUGAAACCCUGGUGCUUCAUCGGACGGCUGUGAUCUGCGGGAGGGAUGCCGAUCCCUGCGGGCUCUGUAAAUGGGCGGCUUUCUUGGGCUCUAUUGGAACGGGCCUUUUUCUGGACUUUCUUGGGCUCUUUUUGAACGGGCCGUUGGGGGAGCUCUGCCUCGCCUCGCAGGAGCAUUUGCUCUUUAUUGUUACCCCUCAAAAAAAAUUGCUCUUUAUUGUCUCAAAAAAACAAUUUUGCUCUUUCGUUUCUUUCUCAAAAAAAAAAGUUUUGCUCGCAGACCUAGAUUAAUAGUAUUACAAACUACUGUAUAUCUGUAGCAUUAUGCCAAGUAGUAUAUUAUUGCAACUUGAAUUCAUUUGGGUAGCAGACCUAGAUGAAUAGUAUUACAAACUACUGGAGUACAUCCAAGUAUAUUAAUGGAAACUCAAUUCAUUUGGGUGGCAGAGACACCACAAAAAAAACUCUGAAGGUAAACAGUGGGUGGGAGUUGAACAUAAAACUCUACACUGUUGAAGGACUUCGCAUGGCCCCUACCACUCCCAGCGGGACGUGCAUCCCGUUCCAGGAUAUACGCAACUCCGGGUCGAGGUAGCCACAGGUUCCUUGCACGAGCGUGACGAACUGUGACUCGUCUGCUGGUGCUAGGAUGGAGGCGCCGAAGUCGGAGACCUUGGCCGUGAGGCCACCAUCGAGGAGGAUGUUGGAGGACUUGACGUCGCCAUGGAGGAUGGGUGGUGACGCCCAAGAGUGCAGGUAGGCGAGAGCUUCAGCAGAAUCAUGGGCAAUCUACAGACGAGCUGCUAGGGAGAUGCGCUUGACGGGGCUGCCAUGGAUGAGUUGGUACAACGUGCCAUCUCGGACGAACUCGUACACCAACAUGGGCACUUCAACCUCGAGGCAGCAUCCCAACAACUUGACGAUGUUCCUGUGGUUUAUCUGAGAUAGGAUCAACAUCUCCCGACCGAACUCUUUCUUGUUCUUCUCGUCGAUGGUCUUGCAUCUUUUGACGACAACCUCGACGCCACUGUCGAGAAGCCCCCUGUAGACGGUGCCAUGUCCUCCAUAGCCGAUGAUGUGCUUCUCGUCAAACUUGUCGGUGGCUUGCUGUAGCUCCUCCGAGAAUAUCUUGAAAGAAACUCCUUGUUGUGACUUCAUUUUUUCAAAUAGAAGCAUGUCGCCAUGCUGCCGAAAAUACUUAUGUUUGAUGGACUCUGUCCUUCGUCUUUCCUUAACAAGGUAUCCGCAGGUGAAGAGAACUGAUGACCCACAAGUAUAGGGGAUCUAUCGUAGUCCUUUCGAUAAGUAAGAGUGUCGAACCCAACGAGGAGCAGAAGGAAAUGAUAAGCGGUUUCCAGCAAGGUAUUCUCUGCAAGUACUGAAAUAAGUGGUAACAGAUAGUUUUGUGAUGAGAUAAUUUGUAACGAGCAACAAGUAACAAAAAUAAAUAAGGUGCAGCAAGGUGGCCCAAUCCUUUUUGUAGCAAAGGACAAGCCUGGACAAACUCUUAUAUGAUGUAAAGCGCUCCCGAGGACACAUGGGAAUAUCGUCAAGCUAGUUUUCAUCAUGCUCAUAUGAUUCGCGUUCGGUACUUUGAUAAUUUGGUAUGUGGGUGGACCGGUGCUUGGGUGCUGCCCUUACUUGGACAAGCAUCCCACUUAUGAUUAACCUCUAUUGCAAGCAUCCGCAAAUACAACAAAAGUAUUAAGGUAAACCUAACCAUAGCAUGAAACAUAUGGAUCCAAAUCAGCCCCUUACGAAGCAACGCAUAAACUAGGGUUUAAACUUCUGUCACUCUAGCAACCCAUCAUCUACUUAUUACUUCCCAAUGCCUUCCUCUAGGCCCAAACAAUGGUGAAGUGUCAUGUAGUCGACGUUCACAUAACACCACUAGAGAAGAACAACAUACAUCUCAUCAAAAUAUCAAACGAAUACCAAAUUCACAUGACUACUAAUAGCAAGACUUCUCCCAUGUCCUCAGGAACAAAAGUGACUACUCACAAAGCAUAAACAUGAUCAUAAUCAGAGGGGUAUGAAUGUGCAUAUAGGAUCUGAACAUAUGAUCUUCCACCAAUUAAACCAACUAGCAUCAACUACAAGGAGUAAUUAACACUACUAGCAACCUACUAGCACCAAUCCCGGACUUGAAGACAACAAUUGGAUACAAGAGAUGAACUAGGGUUUUGAGAUGAGAUGGUGCUGAUGAAGAUGUUGAUGGAGAUUGCCCUCUCCCAAUGAGAGGAGCGUUGGUGAUGACGAUGGCGAUGAUUUCCCCCUCCGGGAGGAAAGUUUCACCGGCAUAACAGCCCCGCCAGAACCCUAGAUUGGUUCUGCCUCGUGGCGACGGAGUUUCGUCCGAGAAGAUGGCUUAUGAUUAUUUUCCCAUCGAAAAAGUCCAUAUAGCAGAAGAUGGUCACCAAAGGGUCACCAGGGGGCCCACGAGGUAGGGGGCGCGCCCAGGGGGGUAGGGCGCGCCCCCCACCCUCGUGGGCAGGGUGUGGCCCCCCUGGUGAAGUUCUUGCGCUCAAUGUUUUUUUAUAUAUUUGGAAAAUAUCAUCCGUGAAGUUUCAGGACUUUUGGAGUUGUGCAGAAUAUGUCUCUAAUAUUUGCUCCUUUUCCAGCCAGAAUCCCACCUGCCGGCAUUCUCCCUCUUUAUGUAAACCUUGUAGAAUAAGAGAGAAUAGGCAUAAAUAUUGUGACAUAAUGUGUAAUAACAACCCAUAAUGCAAUAAAUAUUGAUAUAAAAGCAUGAUGCAAAAUGGGCGUAUCAAGAACCACAAGGGCAACAAAUCCGAUACUUGCACCUGCGUAAGUACACGUCAAUUUAGAACCCAGGCCAAACAGAUAGCAGAUUACUCAGGAUAAUACAAGUCUCCUAGUAUAUCGGUUAUAAUAAAUCUUAUAUUAUGGGACAGAUGGAGUAUUUCUUAGUAUAUUGAAGAGAGAAAUUGAUUGACAUACCAACGGUAGGCAUCACCCAAGCAUGCCUUUGAUAUGGCACGCAAACACCCUAGAUCAUCUGCUUUCCUGGUGGGCAGGGACAUGUGAAACUUCCCACCGUGUUGGCGCACAUACCCACGCAAGGAUAAGUGGCACUGUCAAGACACUCAUCGAUAUCUGCAAUGACAAAUUUGAAGCUAGAUCAGCUAACUUUCUCAAAAACUCGGUAAAUCUGUCACAAACUCUUACGACACAAUCAAUUAGAGAGGCAGAGAGCUAGAAGACCUGUGCAUCCGCCAUUGAUGUAUGGUACCCAGCUGAGCACUUGCAGCGGUAACCAGGCUGGUUCGGGGAGUUGACACAUUCGUUGUUCCGAUCAGUACAUGCGUAGGAGCUCAUGUUUCUCUUGGCUUCAUCACACGACCAGGGUCCUAUGUUCCAGUCCAACACGGGCGGGGGUUUCCCCUUGUAAGUCUCGUUGAACACUGUCGAUGUUAGGUAUGUGGUGCUGAAACUAAAGCCCGCCUUCUCCAUCAUCACAACGUAGCUGCAGGGCUGAUCAGGGUCUGUGCUAUUGUAAUACUCGUUUAGAUAUGAUUGAAAGUAGUUCAAAUUCUUCGGGAUGUCCGCCUGGAAGCAGCCACCGCGGCGGGAGCAUGUGCCGUUUAAGGGUCUCCCGUUGCAUGUCGAGUAUCAUCCUAUUACGGCCUACAUGAUUUUUUGAGCGUGAUGAGGAACAUCGUUCCCUUAUCACCAUUCUAACUUUAAUCAAGAACAAUAAUCAAGAGAUAGCUUGGAAAUACUAUUAAGUAGCCACAUUUGUGUUCAUCAUUUUUAGCGAGGACAUAUUGAAUGCUAAUGCCUUGAUACCUACGGGAUAAUCGCCCCUCCUUGAAAGAAUAGUCACUCAUUGAAUCCCAUUAAUAUAUUCUUCAAACUUAUUCAAUUUAAGGAUUCUUAUCAUAAUUUAUACUUACAAAAGACAUUUAUUUUGAAACGGAGGGAUCUGUUUUGCUAAUUUGAACCUCUAAUAUCAAAUUCAAGAACAAGUAGGCAAACAAAAUGAGUUGUACUAAUUGUAUUUAACCCAAGAUUAUGUACACCCAUUUUUUUCCUUUGGGAUGGAAUUGUCCCCACUGUGAACAUAGUAUAACUUGGGUGGUUAGCGGAGGUGGUUCUGCCCCUAGCUCACCAAGAACCAAAUCAACCUCUAGUUUAACGUUUUGUUGUCACAUCGAUGCAGCUAUUCUUUUGAAGGGGCGAUGAUUCCGUUGGCAUCAAGGCGCCUAUAGUGACUUCUUCAAUUUCUAGCCCUGUCAAUUUUAGUCUUAUAGUUGCUCAUAUAUAGUUGUGCGGGGUGCAUAUGUAUGGUGGUGUGCCUCUAUGGUUGUAUAUGUUCUAAGAAAAUGAAAGUGUCCCAUUUGUCUGGCCCACUUACCCCACCUCCUCAUGCUUGCCGUACUUUGUGAACUUGUCUUCCUCGAGCAACUCCUCCUCUAUUAGGCCACGUUCCGGUUAGGAGGGAUUAGCUGGGAUUAAUGGGAUUGAGCUGGCAAUCCUCAUUAAGCUGAACUAAACCUUCCUAAGCCGAACAUAUACCCUUAAGGAAGUGCCCUCACUAAUAAAAGACGCACCUAAAUGCACAUUUAAACCACACCAUGGCUACACACACAAUAUAAUUGUAUAUAUCAUGAAAAAAAUUAUCAACAGACAUGGUAUUCUAUAUAUUUUGACAGUACACAUCCUGAUUUUUAUAUACGAGCAAAGAAAAAUAAAAUGAAAAUGAUAGAGGCACGUUGUAUAUAUAAAGUGCAUCUUUUAUACUCCCUCCGUUUCAAAAUAAAUGUCUCAAGUUUAAUACUACCUCCGGAAAUACUUGUCAUCAAAAUGGAUAAAAAGGGAUGUAUCAUACAUCCCUUUUUAUCCAUUUUGAUGACAAGUAUUUUCGAACAGAUGAAGUACAAUUUUGUACAUCCCUUUUUAUCCAUUUUGAUGACAAGUAUUUUCGAACAGAGGAAGUACAAUUUUGUACAAAGUUGAGACAUUUUUGGGAUGGAGGGAGUACUAGCCAAAGGAGUAGGAGAGUAGUAGGUUGUUGUACUUACAGAGACACCCCUCGCAUAGCCCAACGAGUUGCACGAGAGACAUGAUUCAGGACCAUGGUUCAGCUGAACCUAUGGUCUAUGUCGUACGAUUUAACAUCCUACUACAUGUGGAUCUGUGACAUGCAUGCCAACUGCAUUUUUUAAUCAAUCAUGCAUGGAUCCUCAUGAAUAGACAUGUAUGUCAACUGUGUUUUUUAAUCAACCAUGCAUGGAUCUUCAUGAAUAGUGUCUAGAAAUCAAUGAUGUCGAGCGUAGGUUCAGCUGAAUCAUGGUUUCGUAAAACAUUUUCACGAGUUGCACCCGAUGACGAAGAGCUUGCUGUCCACGUCCGAGAACCAGCAGGGCAGCCGUGUCAUGUCCACCCACGCACGAUUGCGGUGCCAUAUCUCGCCGUUGGCCGGGUUGUAGCACCUGAUCCAGACCUUGCUGUCCGGCACGGAGAUCCUCGUCACCUCGAGGUUUCGGCCGAUGAUGGGCAUCAUGCUGCUGCUGCUGUUGCCGUCUUGUUGGGGAACAUAGUAAUUUCAAAAAAAUUCCUACGCACACGCAAGAUCAUGGUGAUGCAUAGCAACGAGAGGGGAGAGUAUAAUCUACGUACCCUCGUAGACCGAAAGCGUAAGCGUUAUGACAACGCGGUUGAUGUAGUCAUACGUCUUCACGGCCCGACCGAUCAACUACCGAAACUAUGGCACCUCCGAGUUCUAGCACACGUUUAGCUCGAUGACGAUCCCUGGACUCCGAUCCAGCAAAGUGUCGGGGAAGAGUUCCGUCAGCACGACGGCGUGGUGACGAUCUUGAUGUUCAACUGUCGCAGGGCUUCGCCUAAGCACCACUACAAUAUUAUCGAGGACUAUGGUGGAAUGGGGCACCGCACACGGUUAAGAGAACGAUCUUAGAGAUCAACUUGUGUGUCUAGGGGUGCCCCCUGCCCCUGUAUAUAAAGGAGCCAACGGGGGGGGGGGUGCGGCCGGCCCUAGGAGAAGGCGCGCAGGAGGAGUCCUACUCCUACCGGGAGUAGGACUCCCUCCCUUUCCCUAGUUGGACUAGGACUUAUGGAAGAAGGAAGAGAGGGAAGAAAGGAAAGGGGGGCGCCGCCCCCUCCUUGUCCAAUUCGGACUUGGGGGGGGGGAGGGCGCGCGGCAGCCCCUAGGCCUCCUCUCCUCUUCCUCCACUAGGCCCAUUAAGGCCCAUUAGGUUACCGGGGGGUUCCGGUAACCUCCCGGUACUCCGGUAAAAUACCGAUUUCACCCGGAACACUUCCGAUGUCCAAACAUAAGCUUCCAAUAUAUCAAUCUUUAUGUCUUGACCAUUUCGAGACUCCUCGUCAUGUCUCUGAUCAUAUCCAGGACUCCAAACUCCUUCAGUACAUCAAAAUAUAUAAACUCAUAAUGAAACUGUCAUCAUAACGUUAAGCGUGCGGACCCUACGAGUUCGAGAACAAUGUAGACAUGACCGAGACACGUCUCCAGUGAAUAACCAAUAGUGGAACCUGGAUGCUCAUAUUGGCUCCCACAUAUUCUACGAAUAUCUUUAUCGGUCAGACUGCAUAACAACAUACAUUGUUCCCUUUGUCAUCGGUAUGUUACUUGCCCGAGAUUCGAUCGUCUGUAUCUCAAUACCUAGUUCAACUUGUGUGUCUAGGGGUGCCCCCUGCCCCCGUAUAUAAAGGAGCCAAGGGGGGUGCAGCCGGCCCUAGGAGGAGGCGCGCAGGAGAAGUCCUACUCCUACAGGGAGUACGACUCCCUCCCUUUCCCUAGUUGGACUAGGACUUGUGGAAGAAGGAAGAGAGUGAAGAAAGGNNNNNNNNNNNNNNNNNNNNNNNNNNNNNNNNNNNNNNNNNNNNNNNNNNNNNNNNNNNNNNNNNNNNNNNNNNNNNNNNNNNNNNNNNNNNNNNNNNNNNNNNNNNNNNNNNNNNNNNNNNNNNNNNNNNNNNNNNNNNNNNNNNNNNNNNNNNNNNNNNNNNNNNNNNNNNNNNNNNNNNNNNNNNNNNNNNNNNNNNNNNNNNNNNNNNNNNNNNNNNNNNNNNNNNNNNNNNNNNNNNNNNNNNNNNNNNNNNNNNNNNNNNNNNNNNNNNNNNNNNNNNNNNNNNNNNNNNNNNNNNNNNNNNNNNNNNNNNNNNNNNNNNNNNNNNNNNNNCCCUAGGCCUCCUCUCCUCUUCCUCCACUAGGCCCAUUAAGGCCCAUUAGGUUACCGGGGGGUUCCGGUAACCUCCCGGUACUCUGGUAAAAUACCGAUUUCACCCGGAACACUUCCGAUGUCCAAACAUAGGCUUCCAAUAUAUCAAUCUUUAUGUCUCGACCAUUUUGAGACUCCUCAUCAUGUCCGUGAUCAUAUCCGGGACUCCGAACUCCUUCGGUACAUCAAAAUAUAUAAACUCAUAAUGAAACUGUCAUCGUAACGUUAAGCUUGCGGACCCUACGGGUUCGAGAACAAUGUAGAUGUUAGAUAAUAACGAGAAUAAACGAGACAGAGAGACAUGGAUUUUUACGUGGAAACCCUUGCGGGAGAAAACCACGGACGCACGAAGGCACAAUCACUAUGAGGAGGAGUAUUACAAGCACGAGACGACAGACCGUCUGAGGUGCGACUACAUGGGGUAUAUAUGAGGGGCAACACAUAGGAGUCCUUGUAGGACAAGUAAACGAGUUGUACUCGUACGCAUCGGUACCAACGCAAAAGGCCCACACCGUAUGUACUACGUCUAGUCCAAUACGGUACUAGAAUUUGGAUCACAAUUUAACAAUCUCCACCUUGAGCCAAAUUCCCUCCAGUAGUCGAAGAAAGUGAAUAACUCCAUCCAAAUCAGCUUAAACACCUUGUGCGUCAAAGUCCAUAGGACUAGUGAGAAAUACCAACUAAGCCUGAGCAAAGCUCAAACUUAUUGGUCAGAACUGGCUUUGUCAUCAUAUCAGCAGGAUUAUCAUGAGUACUUAUCUUGCAUACCUUCAAAUUGCCUUCAGCAACAACAUCUCGAAUAUAAUGAAAUCUGACAUCAAUGUGCUUUGUCCUCUCAUGAUACAUUGGAUUCUUUGUAAGAUAUAUAGCACUUUGACUGUCACUAAAUACGGUAGGGCAAGAUGAGUCUCCACAAAGCUUAGUGUACAAACCUCUCAACCAGAUAGCUUCUUUGCAUGCCUCAGAAAUAGUCAUAUACUCGGCAUCAGUAGUGGAAACAAGCCACAAUAGACUGCAAAAUUGCUCUCCAACUCACAGCACAACCACCAAUGGUGAAAACAUAACCUGUGAGUGAUCUUCUCUUAUCCAAAUCACCAGCAAAAUCAGAAUCAACAAAACCAACAAGUCCAUCUCUAGUUUUCCCAAACUGUAAAUAAGCAUUAGAAGUACCUCGCAGGUAUUUGAAAAUCCACUAAACUGCUUUCCAAUGUUCCUUUCCAGGAUUAGCCAUGUAUCUACUAACAACACUCAAUGCAUAUGAUAAAUCCGGACGAGAACAAACCAUGGCAUACAUAAGUGAACCAACUGCACUUGAAUAGGGAACUCUAGACAUGUACUCAAUAUCGGCAUCUGACUUAGGACAUAAAGCUGAUGAUAAUUUGAAGUGUGCAGCUAACGGAGUACUUACUGGCUUGGCAUUAUGCAUAUUAAAACGACGAAGAACUUUAUCAAUAUAUCCCUUCUGACUUAGAUAUACUUUUCCAGAUGGUCUAUCUCUGGAUAUUUCCAUGCCAAGUAUUUUCUUUGUUGCACCCAAAUCCUUCAUCUCAAAUUCAUUACUCAAUUGCUUCUUUAGUUCAUUAAUCUCUGACAUACUCUUUGCAGCAAUAAGCAUAUCAUCAACAUAAAGGAGCAAAUAAAUAGUUGAACCUUUGACAGUUUUCAAAUAAACACAACUAUCAUAAUUAGACCUUUUGAAACCUUGAGAGAGCAUAAAGGUGUCAAAUCUCUUGUACCACUGUCUAGAGGAUUGCUUCAAUCCAUAAAGAGAUUUCUUUAACUUACAGACAAGCUUUUCUUUUCCAGGAAUAACAAAACCUUCAGGUUGUUCCAUAUAAAUAUCCUCUUCUAAUUCUCCAUGUAAGAAUGCAGUUUUAACAUCCAAUUGUUCAAGCUCAAGAUCAUGCGUGGCAACAAUACUGAGUAAAGUGUGAAUAGAGCUAUGCUUCACAAUAGGAGAAAAGACUUUGUUAUAGUCAAUACCUGGAAUCUGACUGUAACCUUUAGCAACUAACCUUGCUUUAUAUCUUGUCUCAUCAUUAGGAGAAACACCUUCUUUCCUCUUGAAAACCCACUUGCAACGAAUAGGUUUCUUCUCUCUAGGUAAUCUUACUAAAUCCCAAGUGCCAUUCUUUUCAAGUGAUUCCAUCUCAUCAUGCAUAGCGGUCAUCCAAUUAUUACUAUCACUAGAAAUAAUAGCCUCGGAAUAUGAAGAAGGCUCAACAUUACCUUCAAUUUCUUCUGCAACAGAUAAAGCAAAAGAAACAAUAUUGCACUCUUCAAUUAACCUGUCAGGUUUGUUAGUACCCCGCCUAACUCUGUCACGUGCAAGAUUCCAACUGGGUGGAACAAUAGGCUGAUUUGGAGUGGGAGUGACAUUAUCAUCAUUAACGACGGGUUCAUCAUGUGCAUCAACAAUUUCAUUACCAGAUGUAUCACCUGAAUCAAUAACAUGCUCCACCUGAACAGUAGGCUCCUGAACAAUAGGCUGUUGUUCACUCUCAACGGGAACAUUAGUAGAUGAAACAUCAUGUAACAUAGCAGAUUCAUUAAAGAUAACAUUUCUGCUAAUAACAACCUUCUGGGUUUCAGGAUUCCAUAAUUUAAAACCUUUAACACCAGACUUAUAACCAAGAAAGAUGCACUUAACAGCCCUAGGCUCCAAUUUUCCAUUAUCAACAUGAGCAUAAGCAGUGCAACCAAAAACUCUCAACUGUGAAUAAUCAGCAGGUGAACCAGACCAUAUCUCAAUUGGAGUUUUCUUAUUAAGAGCAAUAGAUGGUGAACGGUUAAUGAGAUAACAAGCAGUGGAAGCGGCCUCAGCCCAAAAAUGCCUAUGCAAACCUGCAUUGGACAACAUGCAACGGGCUCUGGAAAUAAUGGUCCUGUUCAUAUGCUCAGCAACACCGUUUCGUUGAGGAGUAUAAGGAACGGUGUAAUGUCUGACAAUGCCUUCAGACUUGCAAUAAUUCUUAAAUUGCUUAGAACAGAAUUCCAUACCAUUAUCAGUGCGAAGUAUUUUUACCUUCUUUUCAGUCUGCCUUUCAAUCAUAAUCUUCCACUCCUUAAACGCUGAGAAUACUUCAUAUUUAUGCUUCAAGAAAUAAGGCCAAACUUUUCUCGAAUAAUCAUCAAUAAUAGUCAGCAUGUAACUAGCACCACCUAGUGACUUCUUGCGAGAUGGUCCCCAUAAAUCAGAAUGCACAUAAUCAAGAAUACAUUCGAUUGUAUGAGUCGAAGUAUUGAACUUCACCCUCUUGUGCUUGCCGAAGAUACAAUGCUCACAAAAUUUCAAUUUACCAGGUUCAUAUCCAUCAAGAAGACCUCUCUUAUUUAACUUUGCUAAACCAAGUUCACUCAUAUGUCCAAGACGCAUAUACCAAAGGUUAGCAGCAUCACAAUCAGAAUUCUUUGAAACAGCUGGAGUAGCGUUACCUGAAAUGGUAGAACCUCGAAGGUAAUAAAGACCAUUGGUCGAACUUAGGUCACCUUUCAUCACAACAAAGGGAGCCUUUGGUGACCUUCAAAACACUAUCUCCACCUGAAUAUUUGUACCCCUUUGCAUCAAGGGCACUCAUAGAAAUAAGAUUUCUCUUCAUCUUCGGAAUAUACCGAACAUCUGUCAAAGUUUUGAUUAUGCCAUCAAACAUCUUGAUUCGAAUAGAACCUAUGCCUUCAAUCUUGCAUGGUGAAUUAUCAAAACCCAAAACGGAACCAGCAGAAGUAGUGGAAUCAAAAGUACUAAACCAAUCUCUAUGUGGACACAUAUGAAAAGUGCAUGCAGUGUCAAGUACCCACUCAUCAUUGGUCUCAACACAUCCAGCAAUAACGACAAGAGCAUCAUAGGAACUAUCAUCACGAGCAACGUUAGCAGAAUUUUCACCUUCUUUGUUACCUUUCCUCUUUUCCUUAUUCUACAACUUGAAACACUCAGAGAUGUCAUGCCCGUCUCUUUUGCAAUACCUGCAAUACUUCUUGUCUCUGGAUUGCGACCGGCCCCGGUAGCCGUUCUUACUUUUGCCUCUGUUUCCAUUAUUGGAGUUCUUCUCCUUUGUCCUGCCACGAACAGAUAAUCCCUCUGCUUGGGAUGAACUUGAACCAUCAUGAGGCACCAUUAAUUUCAUCUUCUCCUUAGAGUUCAAAACUUCAUAAACUUCAUUAAGCGUGAGAGUAUCACAACUGUAUAAUAUGGUGUCUCUAAAAUUGGUAUAAGAACUUGGCAGUGAAUAAAGUAACAUUAAAGCAGUAUCUUCCUCUUCAUACUUCACCUCCAUUGUAGCUAGAUCGGAUAUAAUAUCCUUAAAUUCUGAAAUAUGAUUCAAAACAUUACCUCCCUCGGGUAACCUGUGCAGGAAUAAUUUUUGCUUCAGAUGCAUUUUGCUGGUGAGAUCUUUAGUCAUGCAAAUCCCUUCUAGCUUUAACCAUAGAGCGGCGGCAGUUUUCUCGCUCAAAACUUCCUGCAAAAUAUUAUUAUGCAAAUGGAGUUGAAUUUGUGACAAAGCCUUACAAUCAAUUCUUUUCUCCUCAGCAGUCCAGUCCUCAAUUCGGUUCUUCCCAAAACUAUCCAAUGCUACAUCAUAGUUGGCCUGUGCCAACAACGCCCGCAUCUUGACUUGCCAUGGGGUAAACCUUGUGUCACGGUCCAGCAACGGAAGAUCGUACUUCAUGGAUGCCAUGAGUCGAUAAACUAUGCACAAAGUAGUACAAGACGGUAGAAAAAUUCUUGACAGAAUUUAAUAUGCGGAGCAAAAAAAGUAAAACAGAUAGCACCUGAUACGUUGGGUGCACGUAGCACACCGAAGACCAAAAAAUCUUGAACUGUAGCUUGACGUGAUGAAUAGUACUAGUAGCUAGCUGAUCUGACCCUGUACUAUUUCUUGAUCCUUCACGUGAAGGGGGAGGCAGCUAAUCUGAAGUCUCGGGACUUGAUCCUUGUACACCGCAGUGAAGGAACCCAGCGCCUUUACAAUUUGAUGCGACGGCGCGGCGGAAGUUUGUGUCGGCCUCGGACAACUGCUUGCGUAUGAAAUCUUGUCAGUCUCGGAUUCUGCGUAGGGCGACGCAGGGGAAAUCGAUCCGGUGGAUCGCCAGCUUGGGUGCAGCGGCGCACAUGACGAAACCCUAACUCUCUCGUCUCAAAUCUCGUAUAAAACCUCAGCUUUGUAUACCACUUGUUAGAUAAUAACGAGAAUAAACGAGACAGAGAAACACGGAUUUUUACGUGGAAACCUUUGCGGGAGAAAACCACGGACGCACGAAGACGCAAUCACUAUGAGGAGGAGUAUUACAAGCACGAAACGACAGACCGUCUGAGGUGCGACUACAUGGGAUAUAUAUGAGGGGCAACACAUAGUAGUCCUUGUAGGACAAGUAAACGAGUUGUACUCGUACGCGUCGGUACCAACGCAAAAGGCCCACACCGUAUGUACUAUGUCUAGUCCAAUACGGUACUGGAAUUUGGAUCACAAUUUAACAGUAGACAUGACCGAGACACGUCUCCAGUCAAUAACCAAUAGCGGAACCUGAAUGCUCAUAUUGGCUCCCAUAUAUUCUACGAAGAUCUUUAUCGGUCAGACCGCAUAACAACAUACGUUGUUCCCUUUGUCAUCGGUAUGUUACUUGCCUGAGAUUCGAUCGUCGGUAUCUCAAUACCUAGUUCAAUCUCGUUACCGGCAAGUCUCUUUACUCGUUCCGUAAUAAAUCAUCUCGCAACUAACUCAUUAGUUGCAAUGCUUGCAAGGCUUAUGUGAUGUGCAUUACCGAGAGGGCCCAGAGAUACCUCUCCGACAAUCGGAGUGACAAAUCCUAAUCUCGAAAUAUGCCAACCCAACAUGUACCUUUGGAGACACCUAUAGAGCUCCUUUAUAAUCACUCAGUUACGUUGUGAUGUUUGGUAGCACACAAAAGUGUUCCUCCGGCAAACGGGAGUUGCAUAAUCUCAUAGUCAUAGGAACAUGUAUAAGUCAUGAAGAAAGCAAUAGCAACAUACUAAACGAUCGGGUGCUAAGCUAAUGGAAUGGGUCAUGUCAAUCACAUCAUUCUCCUAAUGAUGUGAUCCCGUUAAUCAAAUGACAACACAUGUCUAUGGUUAGGAAACAUAACCAUCUUCGAUCAACGAGCUAGUCAAGUAGAGGCAUACUAGUGACACUUUGUUUGUCUAUGUAUUCACACAUGUAUUAUGUUUCUGGUUAAUAUAAUUCUAGCAUGAAUAAUAAACAUUUAUCAUGAAAUAAGGAAAUAAAUAAUAACUUUAUUAUUGCCUCUAGGGCAUAUUUCCUUCACGCCUGUGGUCGAGUUGCAGCGGAGUGCGAACCCUCGGUUGACGGCGCACCGCUCCCCGAUGCCGAACGGGUACGGGAUGUCCGUGUCGCUGCACCUCAUCGGCUAGCCUGGCCUCGCCGCCGUCCGUGCGGCCGGCCCACCGUCCGCCGUAGCCAAGAGGGCAAGGCAGAGCAGAAGAAAAGUUGGCCGGAGACGAAGCAGAAGAUGCGUGCGGUUCGACAUCGCGCGGGGCUCUCAGACCUCCCUCUCGUGUGCCGCGGACCACCUGCUCAGGAGACCUGCAUCUGUUUUAUAGGAAGCAAUCCAUUCCACGACCACGACGUCCGAAGAAAACAAAGGAGAAACAACCCAGGAGUGCAACCCAAGGAAAAUGUACAUGACAUCAGAGCUGCAGAGGAAAACGCCCUGAACUUCCCAGCGCCCAAUGCUUCUGCAUCAGCCUUGAUCUGAUCAAUGACACAAUUAUCUUGACCGAUUGGAGCAAUCAACAGGUGUUAAUGCAACCAGUCAAUCAACCAGGUUUUGAUGGGGUUUUGGAAAUGUAAUCGGAGGGAGACUUGGAAAGAGUCGGGUCUUCGACGGGGAUGUUUCCUGCAACAAUAUAUAGAUGUUGUAAUAUGUACUGUAAUGGUAUAUAUUGUGCAUGGAAUGCUUCGACGUGGUCAAUUACAUGUCACCUAGGAAAAAGCUAAUCGAUCUUUUUUAAACUGCAUGAUGUGAUACAUCUGUCCCGCUUAGUUUGGAUGGACAAGAACUUGAAAUAUUUUGUCACUUGGACCCAAAACCAAAUCCUCAAGCCGAGUUCUUCCGUGGGCUAGUUCAUUGCUUCAAGUAGCUACGCACCCCGCAUCCACUGAAACAAAGGCAGCUGGCAUGCCCAACUGUUCUUUUGGCACGCGUUUUAUAUGACCGCAGUCUCUUUACCGAAGCCUUGCAAUAUUUCGGGUUGCAAAGAUUGGUACCACCGAGAAGUUGUUUCUAAGAAAUUUCAUUUUAUUUCUUCGUUGCAGGAGUAACUUUAUAAUUUCAUGGAUCUAUGAUCCGAAGCAUUGUACCUGUAUUUUUCUUGAAUUUGAAUGAAGUUAGAGCGUCAUUCUAAAAAAACACUUACUGACAAAUGCAGUUGCUCAAGGGUAAGGCGCAUAUCGCAAUAGUGCCGCUGACAUUUUUUUCCCAACGGCAAUACCCUGACGCCUCUUCACAGCAAAACUGAAACUGAAGACAAUCUUGGAGGAACAUAUAUGACUUUUCAUCAUAGCCACCAGGUGGUCUCUAAACAGACUGUAAAUUAACACUAGUCCAAACUGGCUCAGCGACUGCUCCAAGGCUCAUCUUGGGUCGAGCCUUGUCAUGGUUACCCCAUUUGAGGACGCCGCUUCUGAAUUAUCACUGCACCCGUUCAACCCGUCACAGAAGGCCGGCAUGGAAACAGGAGGGAGACGAACAUUGUGGCUGCUAAGCAUGACGUUUACCGACGACAUUGUCGGCCUGUCUUUAGGCCUGUUCUGCACACACAGUAGCCCGAUUUUGAUGCACUUCAGCACCUGUUCAGUGGGAGAAGGAUGCCUGCUAAGCGAUGCGUCGAUCAGCUCGAUGACAUUUCCCCUGACCCAGUGCUCCCAUACCUGCACCCAAUCGGUAAAUUCCAAAUUGCUCGGUUAUUACGGUGGGGAUUGAGCCACACGCGCAGAGUUUACUAACGUUGGUUCGUGAGUACUUACAAGGUUUACGAGGUAAACGUAUUUCUCGGAGGUGCAGGAGCCACUGUUUCUUCUUCCUGUGACGAUCUCUAAAACCAAAACACCGAAGCUGAACGCAUCCGACUUUGUUGAGUACUGACCAUGCAUGGCGUAUUCAGGCGACAUGUAUCCGCUGCAAUAAUAAGAACAUAAUUAAUUUUGUGUCCUGUGUGCGUUUUAACUGAGAAAUGCUAACUAUGCUUACUAUGUUCCAGCGAUACGGCUGGUGACAUCUUCUGAUUGAUCCCCUCCAAAUAUCUUUGCUAGGCCGAAGUCAGAAAUCUUAGGGUUGUAAUCAAAGUCCAACAGGAUGUUGCUUGCUUUCAGGUCCCGGUGAACUAUCUUCAGCUGAGAAUCUUCGUGGAGAUAUUGUAAUCCCCUAGCAACUCCGUUGAUAAUCUUGAAUCUCCUUCCCCAAUCUAGGUCCUUACAUUUCUCCGAAUCUGCCAUUCGUUCAAACAAGAAGUAUCAGCAUUGCAGUGAAAGUACUCUUAUUGAAGCUCAGCCAUAGUGAAAAUAUUCCUUGAGAAACUAAUGGUGAAAAGGUUGUGUACCAAAAAGAAUGGUAUCAAGGCUUCUGUUGGGCAUAAAUUCAUACACAAGUAUUUUCUCUUGUUCUUCCAAACAAAUGCCAAUGAGGCUCACAAGAUUCCUGUGGCGAAGCUUAGCAACCAGGACAAGUUCACUUUUCCACUCCCCUAUCCCUUGCUUGGAACUCUGGCAUAGCCUUUUUACUGCUAUUUGUUUACCGUCAGGUAGGACUCCCUAUGCAAGACAAGAUACUCAUUGGUAAAUAAAUACAUAAAGUUAGAUAAAGUUACAUACGGGAUACGGCAUGAUUUGUACCUUAUGAACCAUACCAAAACCUCCUGCACCAAGCAUAUUUCCUUUGCCGAAGUCAUUUGUAGCAACUCGUAGCGUUGAUAGAUCAAGAAGCAGCGAAUCAAUACUUUGAAUAUCGUCCAAUAGAUCAUUGUACCUGAAGCCAGUCGGUGCGGCUAUCAUCCCAGCAUUCUCGGAUACCCAAUGACUUCUUCUGUCUCGGCAGCAUUUCUGAUAUCGGAAGAACAUUGCAAGCAUUAUCAAGCCUACACCAGCAGCUACACCAAUGAUCACCAUCUUGGGCUUUUUUGGGUCUGCCAGCUCGGAUGCUGCGAGCCCGAGGAGGAGAUCGCCUCCUCCAUUUCCCCUGUACUGCUCUCGGAGGUUAACGAGGUCCCCGUGCCAAAUGAAGCACCCAGUGUGAUUGUAAGUGUAAGCGGUGCAAGAGCAGCUAUCCAGACACACCACCUGACAUUCGUGAGAGCUUGUAGCCACUGCACCCUGAGCGUUAUCAGGUAGCAACACAUCUUCCAUGACAUAGAACUUGUCAGACUGAUGAGUCUGUGCAUGUGCAGAAGUCGAGUUGGUCUGGCAAUGCAAUGGCGUGUUCCUCUUGCACCCGCCGCUGUAAUCCUGGAGGUCCCAGUCACUCUGAACCUUCUGGCUGAACCCCUUGACACAGCUGCAGUGCGUCAGGGCAUUGAGGUUGCAGCUGCCGUAUGCCCCACAGAGCGCGUAGACCUCGCACUGGAUCGGUGGCUGGGCCCAGACUAACAUCCACUGCUGUGAGGAAUCCACCCAUGACAGAUGCUUGAUCUGCCCGCCCACGUCGAUGAUGAACCGCGAGAUGACCGAGUCAUCCCUCAGCGAGUAGAAGAGGUAGCCUUCAGUGUCGUUGUUGAUGAAUGGGAAGUCGAAUGUGAAACCGACUGUCAUCUCCGGUGCAAGGCUAAAGUUAUGGCCGUUCCAAGGGCCACUGGACCAGUAGGUUAUGGACAGAUUCCACUGGAUGAAAAGCUGUGGCGUGCCGUUUGGGUCCAGCUCCAGCGUGAACAGCCCUGGAGAUGGGUCUGCCGUGUUCUUCCAAGGAACAAGCCUCUGGCUCACGCCGGUGAUCUUGUUCAGCCCGAGCUUCCCCCCUGGAAGCCAGGUGUUUGUUGGAUGGUCUAUGCUCCGCCAAUAAAUUAUGGAUGAAUUCGAGGCGUCGGUGAGGUCGAGGCUACCGGUGUCCCUGAUGAUGGCCAUGGUGGAGUUGGAGGGUACGCUCACGUUGGUCGACCACAGCUCCCUGUUCCUGUAUUGGUCAAAGAGGACAAGGUUGCCAUCGCUGCCCAUGGCCAAGGCGGCUCUGGUCGGGUCGGAAACCGGCACGUCGGUGGUCGCCGUCCACACCGUCGUCACCGGCAGUAUGUCGCUGUACCAUAUGGCUAUGUAGUAGGUGUUGGAGCUGGAAGAGGUGGUGUUACCUUGUGUCGGGGAGUAGAAUCCCAAGGUGAAUUUCUUGCCCUGGGAUACAAUCCUGUGUGUCGUCCCAGACAACGGUGAGGUGGAGUUGAUGAUAUCAACGGCUGUGCAGACAUGGACUUGGCUGAGUAGGAGGAGGAAGAUGAGAGGAGCCAUGGAUGGCAGCUUGGAAGAACACCCACCCACCCACCCAGAGCUGGCAGGAGCAUGGGAGUUUGAACUUUCUGCCUAACUCGUGGUGGUGCUUGGAUAUAGAGGUUUUUAGGUUGGUGAGUAUUCAGAGUCAUUGUUGAUGAAUGUGAGGUCAAAAGUUUGUCAUCCAGUAUAUCAUGGAAUAAUUCAAUAGGAAGGUUCCAUUGACCUGGUAUACAGCAGGCUCUGUUUUUUCCCUUCCCUGAUUAAGUUUUGCAAAUAUUGUAGUAAGACUUGUCUCUCAUCCUGCGAUUACUAUAUACUUUGUGCAUGCUUCGUAGUUAUAAUUUUUUCGAGAAAACGCAAACUGUUUUGCAUCGCAGUGCAUUAAAUUGAAAGAAGUUUAUGGAUUUGGCUGAGUAGAAGGAGGGGGAAGGCCGGAGGAGCCAUGGAUGGGAUAGUCGAUGAAUACUGAAUAUCCAGGCACUCAGGGCUGGAAGAGGCUGGGAAUUUGAACUUGCAGAGUAAGAGCCUGUUCGGCAGCUCUCCGCCUCCGCAGCUCCGCUCCUGGAGCAGCCGAGCGGAGCGGCCCGCAGCGUAUUUUCUGGGAGUUGCCAAAGUGGCGCUCCGUCCGCUCCCGUAUUCCGUGGAGCUGGACGAUCCCGAACAGGGCCUAACUCUUGUGGUGGUUCAAUGCAGAGGUUUUAGGUUGGUGAGUGAAAGACUUCACCUCCGAUAGUAGUAUGGAUCCUUCUUAUAUCUGGUACACGAGCAAGGCUGAUUGAAAGGUAGACACACCCAACAACAUUAUGGUGCUGAAUGAUGGAUAAGUUAACAGAAUGCAAUCUAGUCACUACUGUGCUGAAAAUUAGAAGGGGAUUAACUAUGGGGGUUGUCCCUUCCUUGAUAUAUUAUUCUGCCUAAUCAAUUCAUUCUAGGUCAACUUCAGCCAUUCCUUGGACUGUGAAACUUGACCUAGAGUGUCGUUCUCGGUUAGCAGCCGCACUAGAUUAGCUUACCACCAGCCGCCCAACUUAUUCUGAAGACCUUUGUCAAAAAAAAAAACUUAUUCUGAAGACCCACGAUUAUUUCUGUAUGAAUUUUUCUGAAGGCCCCCGAUUAUUUAUGUAAAAAAGCUAUGUGUCCUCUUGUAUAUGUUUCUCCCGGAGAGCAUUUUAGCAAAAUAAUAAAAGCACAUGUGCUACUCACAGAAGAUCCCACUAAAAAGUGAGAAGCCCUUUGACCUGCUCUCCUUCAGCUAUGGAGGGAGCCAUUCCUGGCCCCCCCUUUGCUUAUUUCUCAUUCUUGGAGCUUCUCCUCUCUCUGCAAAUUCUGUUCUUACAAGGCCAAGAUCUAGGACGACUGUACGAGGCACAUCAAGAACUUUAUUUUUUUUUCUUCUUCAGUUUGGAGCACAUCAGGAAGCUAACACACACAGUCACACAUGUUCAAGAUGAAAGAUCGUUCACUCUGAUCUCCUAAUUUGCAGUAUUCAUUUGUGGGUCUGGUUUUUACUGAAUCUAUGGAAAUUAUAGCAACAUAAAAGAAAUGUAGAUUAAUUCGAGUUGUUCUUCUUUUACUGGUAUCAGCCGCAACAACAGAGUGUGCAUUUUCAACAACAAUAAAACUUGUUAAAACAAGACUCCGUAAUAAAAUGGAGACAUAUUUCUAAGAGAUUACUUGUUGAUCUACAUCGAGAAAGAGAUUGCAAUAUGAUUCUCGACAGAUACAAUUAUUGAUGAUUUCGACGAAAUGGCCCGCGCUGUUCGACUGAAAUUUGUUAGUUAAUCAUCAUCUAAUUGUAACGGGUUAUAAUAGUAUGCAUUUUGCUAUGCUCACUGUCAAUUUUUAUACAUUCCGUACACCAGUUGUGCUCAAUGUCCCCCACCUCCCCCGAGUACUCAGCAAAGUCUGGUUAUGUUUCAGAAACAGAUUCGGAUCCUUUGUUUGUGUUCCUCUUCUGCCUUGUCUAGUCUAUUCCAGCACUCCCUGAUCCAUAUUAACUGGUGCAGCUUUAGUACAAAGUUGUACUAACUUCGAACUAAAGUUGCCAAUUAAUAUGGAUCGGAGGGAGUAAGAUUUUGCACCAAUUCACCCCCUGAGGCCCUGAUGAAGGAGCAGAGGCAGAGGACCUGCUACAUUCCUAAAACAAGAUAUGUGUUUUUUUCCUGGUGAGGAUAUUCUAGGUCGAAUUGGAGGACAUAUUCCUUCUUUCACUAGUACUAUUGGGUAGUAGUACUGUAUUUAUUUGUGAACACAAAAGCCAACCUCUAACCUGAUGCCUACUGUUGCUGGAAAGCAAAAAAAGAGGACUUGUCUGAAGGCGGAGAAGUCCUGCCAAAAAAGAGGACUUGUCCUUUUUCUUUUUUUGCGAAAAGAAAGAGGACUUGUCUUGGUGAAGGUCGUAUCUUGGACUUGGGAUAGCUUUACAAAUGCCGGUCAUUCACAUGUAAGACUUGCAAGUCAUCUUCCCCGGAAAAAAGGGGGAGAGAGAGACUUGUCUGUCAUCUUUCAGCUAGUAUAUAGGAGUACUUCAGAAUUAUAUAACUUGGAAUAGCUUCAGAAUUAUUCCAAGGUAUUUUUUUACCAGGUAUUUGGUCACACCAAUGCGAUGGCCUCAGUACGCGCAAUGUGUGAGUAGAGACUGACCUCAGUACAGGAAACAACGGCGGCAUGGGCCUUGACCGGAGCCAAGGAAGAAGACGGCUUAGAUCAUUCCUCUCGCCGGCUUGCCAUCGUGUCAUCACUCGAUCAUCGUGCCGCCCCGGCAUUGGCUAGGUUGCUCGUGCAAGAUUAUUCAGGACGCCCCUUAGGUGUUCGCUGAAAUGCCGGCUCCAAGUUGCUUGUGCAGGGGAGUAACUGACAAAAAAACUACCACAUUUCACGUAUCCGUCUCACAGAACUAUCACAUUUUAAAAACUGACAAAAAACUUCAGAUUAGUGCUAAUUUCGUGACAAAAAACUACCAAUUUGAGUUGAUGACCGUUUUUAUGAUUUUAAACAUGUUUAUGACAUGUGGGACCGGCAGCAAACUCAACUCUGUUUAUUUUGACCGUGAAGUUAACCGUUAUGAUAAAUGGGACCCACACGUCAUCAUCAACCUUCUUCUUCCUCCCCUCCUUCUCUGUUUGACAUUUCAACAAGCACCUUAUGUGCAUCGGGCAGCACCACCGUGUCGACGCCUCGACGCCGGUGAGCAGCGGCAGCCCGUGGCACCGGCGACCUUCCUCCUCCUCCUGCUCCCCGCUCCCUGUUAAGUGACAGCACCCCUACCUACUGAUGCACUGAUGCUGCCCCGGCGCCGCUGCCGAUAAUGCCCAGCCACGCCCCGCUAGCUCCGCCCACUGUCGCGCUCCCGCCGUCGUUGAUGCUCACCAUGGCCGGAGCACCACUGCCUCCCGCGCUCGCCUUCUUCUGGCCGUGCCCGCGCCGCACCCCUGCGCCUCGCCUUGCCCCCACCGGCGCGUGCUUCGGCCGCAGCCACCCGUCCGAGGGCUAUCAAAUAGGGCGCGACGCCGCUGGACGCGUCGUGGACGCCGGCCACCGAGAAGAGAACGAGGAGGAGAGCGUGGAGCAUAUGAGAGGAGGUGCCCAUGUGCGGCGCGGGCGAGCACUGGCCUGAGGGCACCAGAGCCAGCUUCUUUCGCGCGGAGGAGGAGGUCUUUGGCAUGGACGGACCACUCCGGCGACGGGCUGGGUGGAUGUGACGGCGGAGGAGCGACGACGCACGGGAUGCUGCUCCAGAUGGUGGUGUAGGGGAGCACAUGAAGUGUUUGUUAAAAUGUCGAUAGGGAAAGAGGAGGAAGAAGAAGAAUGACAUGUGGGCCUGACCCGUCAUCACGGUCAACAUGACAGUCAAAAUAAACGGAGUUGACGAUUUCCGCCACGUCAGCCCUGACAAACGGGCCCUCCUGUCAUAAACGUGUUUAAAUCGUCUAAACUGGCCAUUUUGUGAAAGUGGUAGUUUUUUCUCACAGAAUUAGUACUAAUCUGGAGUUUUUGGUCAGUUUUCAAAAUGUGGUAGUUCUGUGGUACGGAUACGUGAAAUGUGGUAGUUUUUUGUCAAUUACUCUUGUGCAGGGCAUCCCCGCCACCAUGCGACAGCACCCCUUCGCCCGCGAGGGUGUUCAGGGCCGCCUCGUCGCCACAGGCAUGGCGCGGGGUAGCCGGCGACGUGGACCUUGUAGAAGACGAAGCGAAGGACGAUUUUGCCAUCGCAGGCUCUUGGGCGGACAUGGGGUGGGCGCGGAUGACGUCGAAGUCAUUGAUUAUGCGGGUGGGAGACGGGAGAGUGAGCAGGCGGUGCUUCACCCGUCGGUAGCUCCCGCUCGCGGAAAGUAGUUGGGCCUCUUCGGUUUCCCGGGCGGCGAUGGCCGGAGUUGUGCGCGCAGAUUAUGUUCCGGACGAGAAAGAGAGGGAAGAGACAAGUGAAUAGGUGGAUGGAGUCGUGGGGAUGACUCUUCUACCAGAUUUUUUUUCGUUUAUUUUUUCUUCUUCGACGAACAACCCACUCUUCUACCAAUUUUUCCCCCUUUUUUGUCUUCGACGAACAACCCAUAGCUUCUUAGGGCAUCCGCGUACAUUUGUACACGCAGUUCGGACGUGUUGUGCCAUCUAACACGGGCCUCUAUCGGUCCGGACGCACUUUCUCCCAUAAUGUGGAAGCAAAGUUGGGGCGGAGAGCUUUGCCAGAGUCCGGAGAGCAGCCACGUAGCACUCCGACACCCCUGGCCCACUAAACCCCCCCUCCCGGUCCCAUUUUCCUUUCAAUCAUCUCAUUCUCUCCCUUGCUUUGCAUCCAUGGGUUAUGUGUGUGGGGUGGGGGUGUUCUCGUUAGUACCUCAAUGGGUUGGGCGGCGAUGGGCGCAGUUCUAAGACUUCUGUUGUGGCACUAGGUCGGGCAUCGAAGCAGGGUUUGGGUUGGGAGUUUGACGAAGAUGAUGAAUACAAGGCCGACGGCUAGAUGGUAGAGGCGACAUAACGACGUGCAAUGGUUUGCUGAGGAGUGGUGAGCAACCAACAACUAGAUGGGAGAGGCUGGGGAAGGGGAGGUGGCAUGGGAAGCUCGAGGAGGUAGUUAUUGGUGGCGGUGUGAACUGGCCAUGACGACUGACCUCGAGGGUGACCCCGUUAACCUCAUUGGUACUGUCUGGCGGUUAGUGGGGAGUGUCUUUAGUGGUAGACCAUCUUCACAACCGUCGGGGGAGGCGAUUCUCGUUGGUACCUCAAUGGGGUUGGGUGGCGGUGGAUGCGGUUCCAUCUAGACCUUUGUUAUGGCACUAGGUCGGGCAUCAACGCAGGGUUUGGGUUGGGAGCAUGACGAAGAUGGUGUAGGAGAGGCCGACAGCUAGAUGGGAGAGGUUGGGGAAGGGGAGGUAGCAUGGGAAGCUCGAGGAGGUAGUUAUUGGUGGCGGUGCGAACUGUCCAUGACAACCAACCUCGAGGGUGACCCCGUUAACCUCAUUGGUAUUGUCUGGCGGUUAGUGGAUGAUACGUCUCCAACGUAUCUAUACUUUUUUAUUGUUCCAUGCUAUUAUAUUACCUGUUUUGGAUGUUUAUGGGCUUUAUUAUGCACUUCCAUAUUAUUUUUUGGGGACUAACCUAUUAACCGAAAGCCCAGUGCAAAUUGUUGUUGUUUUUUCCUAUUUCAGUGUUUCACAGAAAAGGAAUAUCAAAACGGAAUCCAAACGGAAUGAAACCUUUGCAAGGAUCUUUUUUGGAACAAACGCAAUCCUGGAGACUUGGAGUGGACGUCAAGGAAGCAGCGAGGCGGCCACGAGGUAGGGCGGCGCGCCCCCACCCUCAUGGGUCCCUCGUAGCUCCACCGAACUACUUCUUUCGCCUAUAUAUACUCUUAUACCCUGGAAACAUCGGGGGGAUCCACGAAACCACUUUUCCACCGCCGCAACCUUCCGUACCCAUGAGAUCCCAUCUGGGGACCUUUUCCGGCGAUCUGCUGGAGGGGGAUUCGAUCAUGGAGGGCUUCUACAUCAACACCAUAGCCUCUCCGAUGAUGUGGGGGUAGUUUACCACAGACCUUCGGGUCCAUAGUUAUUAGCUAGAUGGCUUCUUAUCUCUCUUUGGAUCUCAAUACAAAGUUCUCCUCGAUGUUCUUGGAGAUCUAUUCGAUGUAAUUCUUUUUGCGGUGUGUUUGUCGAGAUCCCAUGAAUUGUGGGUUUAUGAUUAAGAUUAUUUAUGAACAAUAUUUGAUUCUUCUCUGAAUUCUUAUAUGCGUGAUUUGAUAUCUUUGCAAGUCUCUUCGAAUUAUCAGUUUGGUUUGGCCUACUAGAUUGAUCUUUCUUGCAAUGGGAGAAGUGCUUAGCUUUGGGUUCAAUCUUUCGGUGUCCUUUCCCAGUGAUAGCAGGGGCAGCAAGGCACGUAUUGUAUUGUUGCCAUCGAGGAUAAAAAAGAUGGGGUUUAUAUCAUAUUGCUUGAGUUUAUCCCUCUACAUCAUGUCAUCUUGCCUAAUGCGUUACUCUGUUCUUUUGAACUUAAUGCAUGCUGGAUAGCGGUCGAUGUGUGGAGUAAUACUAGUAGAUGCAGAAUCAUUUCGGUCUACUUGACACGGACGUGAUGCCUAUGUUCAUGAUCAUACCUAGAUAUCAUCAUAACCAUGCGCUUUUCUAUCAAUUGUCCGGUAGUAAUUUGUUCACCCACCGUAAUAUAUGCUAUCUUGAGAGAAGCCAUUAGUGAAACCUAUGGCCCCGGGGUCUACUUUAUAUCAUAUAAGUUUCCGAUCUACAAUUUUAGUUUACUAUUUAUUUUGAAAUCUUUACUUUUCAAUCUAUACAACAAAACUAUCAAAAAUAUUUAUCUUAUUAUCUUUAUCAGAUCUCACUUUCGUAAGUGACUGUGAAGGGAUUGACAACCCCUUUAUCGCGUUGAUUGCGAGGUUCUUGUUUGUUUGUGCAGGUACUAGGUGACUUGCGUGUUGUCUCCUACUAGAUUGACACCUUGGUUCUCAAAAAUUAAGGGAAAUACUUACGCUACUUUGCUACAUCACCCUUUUCUUUUCAAGGGAAAACCAACGCAUGCUCAAGAGGUAGCAAGAAGGAUUUCUGACGCUUUUGUAGGGGACAUUUGCACCAAGUCAAGUCAAGAUUGGAUCUCCUGUCAACUAGCCAUUUGUGGCACCGUUCCCGGGGAGAUCUACGUGCUACCUCUUGAGCACUUACGUUGGUUUUCCCUUGAAAAGGAAAGGGUGAUGCGGCAAAGUAGCGUAAGUAUUUCCCUCAGUUUUUGAGAACCAAGGUAUCAAUCCAGUAGGAGGCCACGCAUGAGUCCCUCGCACCUACACAAACAAAUAAAUCCUCGCAACCAACGCGAUAAGGGGUUGUCAAUCCCUACACGGUCACUUACGAGAGUGAGAUCUGAUAGAUAUGAUAAGAUAAUAUUUUUAGUAUUUUUAUGAUAAAGAUGCAAAGUAAAAUAAAAGGCAAAGGAAAUAAAUAAGUAUUGGAAGAUUAAUAUGAUAGAAUAUAGACCCGGGGGCCAUAGGUUUCACUAGUGGCUUCUCUCGAGAGCAUAAGUAUUCACGGUGGGUAGACAAAUUACUAUUGAGAAAUUGACAUAAUUGAGCAUAGUUAUGAGAAUAUCUAGGUAUGAUCAUGUAUAUAGGCAUCACGUCCGAGACAAGUAGACCGACUCCUGCCUGCAUCUACUACUAUUACUCCACACAUCGACCGCUAUCCAGCAUGCAUCUAGAGUAUUAAGUUCAAGAGAACAGAGUAACGCUUUAAGUAAGAUGACAUGAUGUAGAGGGAUAAACUCAUGCAAUAUGAUGAAAACCCCAUCUUGUUAUCCUCGAUGGCAACAAUACAUGUUGGGGAUCGUUGCAGAAAUUAAAAUUUUCUACGCAUCACCAAGAUCAAUCUAUGGAGUUUACAAGCAACAAGAGGGGAGUGCAUCUUCAUACCUUUGAAGAUCGCGAUGCGGAAGCGUUACAAGAACGCGGAUGAAGGAGUCGUACUCAUAGCGAUUCAGAUCACGGUUGAUUCCGAUCUAAGCGCCGAACGACGACGCCUCCGCGUUCAACACACGUGCAGCCCGGGGAUGUCUCCCACGCCUUGAUCCUGCAAGGAGAGAGGGACAGGUUGGGGAAGACUCCGUCCAGCAACAGCACGACGGCGUGGUGGUGUAGGAGCAGCGUGGUACUCCGGCAGGGCUUGCCAAGCAUCGCGGGAGGAAGAGGAGGAGUUGGGGAGGGGACGGCUGCGCCUUGAGAAGGGGUGCGGUUGCCCUCCCCCCCCACUAUUUAUAAGGGAAAGGGGAGAGGGGGCUAGCCCCCUAGAUCCAUCUAGAGGGGGGCGCCCGUCUCCUUAGGGUUUCCAACUAGGGGGGCGCCCGCCCUAGGGGGGAGCGGCCCCCUAGGGUCUCCAACCCUAGGCGCCUUGGGCCCUUAGGGGCGCACCAGCCCACUAAGGGGCUGGUUCCCACCCAACUACAACCCAUUAGGUCCUUCGGGGCAGGUGGACCCUCCCGGUGGACCCCCGGAACCCCUUCGGUGGUCCCGGUACAAUACCGAUAAACCCCGAAACCUUUCCGGUGACUGAAACUAGACUUCCCAUAUAUAAAUCUUCACCUCCAGACCAUUCCGGAACUCCUCCUGGCAUCCGGGAUCUCAUCCGGGACUCCAAACAACUUUCGGUAACCACAUACAAUUCCCAUUACAACUCUAGCGUCACCAAACCUUAAGUGUGUAGACCCUACGGGUUCGGGAACUAUGCAGACAUGACCGAGACAUCUCUCCGGCCAAUAACCAACAGCGGGAUCUGGAUACCCAUGUUGGCUCUCACAUGUUCCACGAUGAUCUCAUCGGAUGAACCACGACGUCAAGGAUUCAAUCAAUCCCGUAUACGAUUCCCUUUGUCUACCGGUAUAGCACUUGCCCGAGAUUCGAUCGUCGGUAUACCGAUACCUUGUUCAAUCUCGUUACGGCAAGUCUCUUUACUCAUUCCAUAACACAUCAUCCCGUGACCAACCCCUUAGUCACAUUGAGCUCAUUACGAUGAUGUCUUACCGAGUGGGCCCAGAGAUACCUCUCCAUCAUACGGAGUGACAAAUCCCAGUCUCGAUUCGUGCCAACCCAACAGAUACUUUCGGGGAUACCCGUAGUGUACCUUUAUAGCCACCCAGUUACGUUGUGACGUUUGGCACAACCAAAGUACCCUUACGGUAUCCGGGAGUUGCACAAUCUCAUGGUCCAAGGAAAAGAUACUUGACAUUAGAAAAGCUUUAGUAGACGAACUACGCGAUCUUGUGCUAUGCUUAGGAUUGGGUCUUGUCCAUCACAUCAUUAUCCUAAUGAUGUGAUCCCAUUAUCAAUGACAUCCUAUGUCCAUGGUUAGGAAACCGUAACCAUCUAUUAAUCAACGAGCUAGUCAACUAGAGGCUCACUAGGGACAUGUUGUGGUCUUGUAUUCACACAUGUAUUACGAUUUCCGGAUAACACAAUUAUAGAAUGAACAAUAGACAAUUAUCAUGAACAAGGAAAUAUAAUAAUAACCAUUUUAUUAUUGCCUCUAGGGCAUAUUUCCAACCGUCUCCCACUUGAACUAGAGUCAAUAACCUAGUUACAUUGUGAUGAAUCGAACACCCAUAGAGUUCUGGUGUUGAUCAUGCUUUGCAUGUGGAAGAGGUUUAGUCAAUGGAUCUGCGACAUUCAGGUCCGUAUGCACUUUACAAAUCUCUAUGUCUCCAUCUUGAACAUUUUCACGAAUGGAGUUCAAGCGACGCUUGAUAUGCCUGGUCUUCUUGUGAAAUCUGGGCUCCUUGGCAAGGGCAAUAGCUCCAGUGUUGUCACAGAAGAGAGUCAUCGGGCCCGACGCAUUGGGAAUAACUCCUAGGUCGGUAAUGAACUCCUUCAUCCAGAUUGCUUCAUGUGUGUCAGUGUUCUGGGAACGGGGGUCCCCAGACUUGCCUGCCUGCGGCCUGUGGCGUGGCUCAAAGGGGGCCCAGCGCGGCCCAUCUUCACCAACACAAACCCAAGACCCUCGCGAAGGGCCAAGCCUCGCGGGGCGGACGACGCGGAGCUUCCUCAGGCGUGGCCUCGUCAGGCUGGCUCACGAGGAGGCAGAGAGAUCAAGGCGGGGUACCUCACGAGGUGCCCGUGACGUAAGCCAUGACGACCGGGGGCGCCAGGCGGGUGCCAGCCCGCGCAGUGUCCUCCCUUCCUCUUUGGUGCAAAGGGGGCAAGCGCAGCCGCGGAGUACCGAGGCAUCAGGCAAAGCUUGCCAUUUCGGUGCAACGAGAUCAAGACCAGGAGGACUACGAGAUGGAGGUCAUCGUGGAGCCCAAGACGGCGUCAUCACCAGAGCUUUGCGCAUGCGAAGACUACUUUUGUCAGGAUAACUGAUACUAGCUGUCCCCCUUCAAAUUAGCCCGCCAUUGUUGGCUCCCUUCCCGCUCGAUAUUUGGGAAGAGGACCUGGGCCUCUAUAAAUAGGACCAGCCACCCACAGAGCAAAGAGAGGUUGGAAGAAAAGAGAGGGAUCGAAGGAUAGAGAAGAUCAGGUAGAGAGAGAGAGAGAGAGAGAAGGGUGACUGAGCUCCUCCCAGCAGUUCAUCGCCCCAGCCAAGAACAGACCCUCGCGAGGCUGUUCUUCCUUGUAUUGUUCAUCAUCAUCAGCCCAAGAGGCAAUCCACCACACCACACACUGGAGUAGGGUAUUACACCACAAUGGUGGCCCAAACCAGUAUAAACCCUGCGUCUCUCGUGUUGUUCUUUCCAUAGUUUAGAUCUUAGCGAGGCGGAGGGGUGCAGGUAGGUAGGAGGCGAAAUCUCUGCGCGCACCCCAGUGUUCGAACCUUAAGGGUCUGCCGGAACACGAAAUCCGACAUUUGGCGCGCCAGGUAGGGGUGCGCCGGGAUUCGUCUUCCACCACCCCGUUCUCCUCUGACCAUCACGCCCAUGUCUGACGCUAGUCGGGCCCGCGCCGAGCGCCGGGCCGCGCUCGCUUCCCGCGUCGCCCAGACGGCCCCUGUCGGCGGGCGUCCUCGCUGUUCCCGUCACCUGCGGGGACGAGCAGCAAGCAUCGUCCCAGCAUCCGUCCGUGCGGCAAGACGGCCGCACCGCAACUCCCUCGCUCACCCGAGCUGGUUCUUCGUCCCGCGCGCUCCACGCCCAUGGAGGCUCGGGCUGCACUCAUCGCGGCGAACGAGCUCCUGCGCUACCGUCCCAUCGACGACGUCUACGAAGAAUGGCUCGACCGCGUCGCCGAGCUCGUCCGCGCCGCAGGGGGCUCUCCUGCGCCGUCCGUUCCGCUGCACCGCCCCCCGCCCCGCGCGGGCAAUGAAGCUUCGGUGGAGCCCCGGCCGCCUCCUCCUCAGGGAGGCGCCAUGGCUCCAAGGCGCGUGGCCCCUGGGCGGAACCCGCUCCGUCAGGCGCCAGCGCAGCAAGAGCAGAGCUGUCAAGAAGUCCCUCGCCCGAAAGAAGCUGCCCGGGCGCUCCCUGCUCCAGCACGUCGCGACCAUGCUCCUGCUCCCGCACGUCAAGACCCCGCGCUGCUCCCAGCUGCAGCGUGUGGGGACAUGCAAUACCAAGCUCCCCGUCAUCUGAGGCCUCCCGUGGCCAUAGCAGGCUGCCGCGCCUUCACCGCCGAGCUACGCAGCGUCGCGUGGCCCGACAAGUUCAAGCCAGACUUGCCUCCUCGCUACGACGGCACGGCUGACCCUGCGGAGUUCCUCCAGCUCUACGAGCUGGGCAUCGAAGCUGCCAACGGAGAUGAGAAGGUCAUGGCGAACUGGUUCCCCAUGGCACUCAAGGACGGGGCCCGCACCUGGCUCCUGAAACUGGCUCCAGGCACAAUCUCCUCCUGGGACGAGAUGCGCACCCGCUUCAUCGCCAACUUCCAAGGCACUCGCGACCGGCCACCCGCCGUGAGCGACAUGCGCUGCAUCAAGCAACAGCCCGGGGAGACCCUGCAGAAGUACAUCCAGCGCUUCAACAACGCGCGCCUCAAGAUUCCCAAGGUGACUGAGGAGGCCAUCAUCUCGGCCUUCUCUGACGGCGUGCGCAACGUCAAGAUGAAGGAGGAGCUGGCGAUGCAUGAAGACCUGUGCACUUCCUUGGAACUGUUCAACCUGGCAACCAAGUGAGCCAGGGCCGAGGAAGGGCGUCUCUCCCUCCUCGAGCUGCCUGCCACAGACCCAGAAGAGAAGAAGCCCAAGGCCAAGGAUGUGAAGCGCAAGGGGGCUACCGUGCUCGCGGCAGAACCAGACACCAAGCGGGGCAGAGAUCAGCCUGAACCUUCCAAGGGCAGCCGGUACUGUGUGUACCACGACCUCCACACCCACAACACCAACGAAUGUCAAGAGCUCCGAGCCGUGCGAGAAGGAAGGAUCGGCCGUCGCCCUGACCGUAGUGACCGGGGCUACGACCGAGGAGGAGGAAGGAACACAGGACACUGGGAAGACCGUGGCCCGCGCCAAGGGUGGCGCGAUCAGCCUCGCGAGGAUCGCCCGCAAGGCAACGCAGGCCUCCCACCGCUGCCGCCGCAGCCAAGGAGAAAUGAGGACCGCCACCAGGACGAGGGGGCUGGGGGCUUCCAGGAGCCGCGCGCGAUCGCAUGCAUCCUGGGCGGGGCACAAGCCCCAGCCUUUCAGCGCAUCUUCAAGCAGUUCGCCCGCGAAGUGAACGCAGUCCUCCCCAGGCUCGAAGCCACGCGCUCUCUCAGGUGGUCGGCGUGCGCCAUCACGUUCAGCUCAGCAGAUCAGCUCAAGUGUGCGGCUACAGCCGGAGUUCUCCCGAUGCUUUGCUCCCCGAUCGUCAGCAACGUGGUGGUCACCAAGACCCUCAUCAAUGGCGGGGCAGGGCUCAACGUCCUGUCCGUGGAGACAUUCAACAACCUCCAAGUGCCCUACAGCUAGCUUCAGCCAACCAAGCCUUUCUCCGGUAUCACCGACGGCUCCACGGUCCCGAUUGGGCAGGUCCGCCUCCCUGUCACCUUCGGGGCAUGCGACAACUACCGCACCGAGCUCAUCGACUUCGACGUCGCUCACAUUCGCCUGCCGUAAAACGCCAUCCUUGGGUACCCAGCGCUGGCCAAGUUCAUGGACGUAACUCACCACGGCUACAACGUCCUCAAGAUGCCAGGAAGCGGCGGAGUCAUCACGGUGCCAUGUGAAGAGAAGGACGCGGUGUGUUCCCUGGAACGAGCCUUUCAGGUCGCGUCACUGGAAGACCCGGCAGGCCUCCCGAGACCGCCCCUAAGAAGAAGAAGACAUCGUCCAGCCCGACCACUCAGGAGGCAGGCCCCUCUGGGCCCGCGCCUGCCUAGGGGGAACCUCCUUCCAUCGCAUAGGAAAGCGCGCCCGGUGCCCUCCUCAGGCAGGGCUCAGGGGCUCUCCCCUGGAGGGCCACCGACCUAGCUAGGGUCACGAGGGAGGCGCUUGGGCACCACAUGGAGGCGUGCUUCGAAGCACGUUUCCCUCAAGAAGGAGCAAGGCAAGGAGACCUAGACCCUCAGGAGUUCGUCAGCAAGGCCAUUCAGGAGCUACAGGAGUCAAGAGUCAUGAAAGGCGGCCGUCGCCUACCAGCAGUGGCUCCCCAUCCAGGCGAGGAUGGUGGGUUGCGCGUCUGCAUCGACAUACCAGGGCUCAACCGAGUCGCCUCUCUGGAGCGCCUCUGGCCCUCGCGAGUGGGGCGCUGCGGAGGCCCACCCCACAGCUACGUUCGCAUGCCUUACGGCUUGCCGAACGCGGCUGACACGUACCAGCGCCUCAUGAGGGGCAUCACGGGGGCACGAGAGGCCAGGCGUUCCGCAGCCCUGGCAGGGAUGGAGAUGGCCCGUGAGGAGCCGCCAACGCCUCCGGAGCCUCCCGAGGCCCCUGGGCCUGGGGGCUCAUGAGGAUUGGCUCUCGUAGCCCACCGAGCCUGCUACAUCAACGCUCCUUCGUCCUCAACAUCAUCAGGUGACAUCUUUCGAGUUUUAUUUCCAGCUGGGAGUGCCCCCCAGGGCUGCAUUAUUCCCAGGCCGCGUGGGUCCAUCCCAGCGGCGUGUAUCCCUUUUUUAUUCCAUGUUGUUAGCUUACCUUGUUGGGGGCACCCCUCGGGCUGCAUGACCCCCCAAGUCGCUCGGGCCUGACCCAGUGAUGUCUGCAUUCCCAGCAUCUAUUUGAACGAACCCACUCCUUCGCAGCUAAUGUGUUUUACCUAGUUGCCUGCUCAGCUGACGCCAACUAACGGAGCUGCUCCCAAACUGCACGACGCUUGCGCAUGGGUCCGUCCCUGUAACGCCGACAAACCUGGAUGACUGAGCUCUGGCCGCGGCAGCCCCGCAUAGCGUCACCUCGUCAAGCCUUCAGUGCCUCACUACCCCUCGGAAGCAACCAACGGCUGACUGUCAAUUGUCAUGGCAACCCCUUGUUUUUUCUAUGAUGGACCUACAGGACCUCCUGAAGGAGCUGCGUCAGGUGAGGCCCUUGCGGUGUCACCUGCGCUCUCGUCCGCGCGAAUCGCUUGCACGUUAAAGGGGGGGGUGCCUGAGCAUCGCGACUCAGGGCUCCUACUGGCUCUCCAGCCCUCACCCUCUGGCCUUGACCACGGCAUCGCGACCUGGCAUACCAGCGACGGCUGAGACUAGCUCGAGGGCCGGGACCCAAGGACAUAGAGCAAAAAGGGGAGCAAAGGCGAGAGGGGAGAGACACAUGAGGACCUCGCCGAGCAACCUCGCGCCUGCCGAUGCACGGACCCAGCGACACACCAGAGAUCGGCCCCUGAUCCUCGAGAUAAGUCAUCACCCAGAAGCGCCAGCUGCCGUGGCACCAUCCCCGCACCUAAUGCUAUCCCGUGUUAGCGACGCCGCUCUCCUUUCUCACCAAACGACGGCUGCUUGGGCGCCAAAGGGGACCUCCUGAGCAUCGCGACUCAGGGGCUCUUACCGGACUCCGGGUCGCUCACCUCCUGGCCUUGACCACGGCAUCGCAACCUGGUAUACCAGCGACGGCUGAAGCCGCCUUGGGAAUGGGACCUGUCGGCGCAGAGCACCAAGCCCUUGUGAGGUUCGAAAGGGAGGACUGAGCUAAGACGGAAUGAGCAACUUGCACAAUUCUAUGACAAGGGUUAUAUUAACAAAACAGGAUCACAGGCACCUUACAAGCCCCCACGGGAUGCGUUUUUGAUUCCUCGCAGGGAACAGAUCCUAAAGGGACACAAACUACGCGCGACCCUGCAAAAGACGCCAUCAUCAACAGUGGGCCGUCAAGCACCAACGCCAACCCCAUCCAGAUCAGAGUCGGCGGCGGCCUGACGAGCCCACCCUGCUCCAGGAGCGGCGCCGGCUCGGGGGCUCGUAGCUGUCGUCGCUCGUUUCCGGAGUCGCUGGAACCUCCAAUGCCUCCACCGCCUGAGGAGCCGCCAAGGGAGUGGUUGGCGGGCCCAGUCCUCGUCGCGGCAGGGUCCUGGCCACCUUCCCCGGGGCAGCACUCUAGCCGGCGCCCGCUCGCAUCAAAGACCUUGAAGAGCAUCACCGAAGCACCGUCAUAAUCCCAGUGGACCGCGAAGACGCCCCUUAUCCUGCAAACCCGAGCGAUUUCGCUCCAGCCUCGAGUCAUGAAGACCUCGCCCGGGGCAACGACCGUGACCUCUGCCUCGGUCGCGGGGGUGCUGCAGCCGGCGUGCUGCAGCCAAAGCUCCAGGGGCUCUCCCUGCGGGAUGAUGGAGGCGAAGAAGGGAGGAAGGCGAAUCCAAGACCGAGGAGGCAUGGCGACGUGGAGCACAAGCUCUCGGGAGGAGCCCUCGGUGUGGACCCCAGGGGGAACGACCCACACCUUCGUGACCUCAGCGGUGCCGACCAUGACGAUCAGCAUGAGCUCCCUCAGGGCCCUCGAUGUGGGUGUACAAGGGAAGCGGGAACCCCGGUGGUGCCCGCUCGCACCAAGGCCUCGACACCACCUGAUGGGCCCCCUCGUCCGGGCCAUGGAGGACGAGCCGUUUCUUCGGCGGGAGCAGGUCUGGUUCCUCUCGGGGAGCCUUUCCCUUCUCUGCCAUCGAGAACCGACGGAUCGGAGCCAUCGCAGCAAGACGGAGCAAGGACCGAGAAGAAGGAGAAGCAAGGAGGGAUGGACUGGAAGGGCGCGUGCCGUUUCGUACUUAUGGCCGGCGAAGGCCAACCGUCGACCUCCACGAUCGCAGGUAAUCAUGGCCCACUUUGCAUGCAAGGACUUGUCCAAUCCGUGCAGUUGCCGAGGCGCCAUGGGGAAGUUGAGGCGCCCACGUCCAAUCAACCGCCACACGGCGCCCAAGGCUGCAGGCUGUUAGGGCCUGCGGUGCUUCGCUCUUGCCCUUCCGCCUCCCUGCACGGCCAAGUCCGGGCGCGCCUUGGGCCCCGGGGCUACUGUCGGCGUUCUGGGAAUGGGGGUCCCCAGACUUGCCUGCCUGCGGCCUGCGGCGUGGCUCAAAGGGGGGCCCAGCGCGGCCCAUCUUCACCAACACAAACCCAAGACCCUCGCGAGGGGCCAAGCCUCGCGGGGCGGACGACACGCAGCUUCCUCAGGCGCGGCCUCGUCAGGCUGGCUCACGAGGAGGCGGAGAGAUCAAGGCGGGGUACCUCACGAGGUGCCCGUGACGCAAGCCAUGACGACCGGGGGCGCCAGGCGGGUGCCAGCUCGCGCAGUGUCCUCCCUUCCUCUUUGGUGCAAAGGGGGCAAGCGCAGUCGUGGAGUAUCGAGGCAUCAGGCAAAGGUUGCUAUUUCGGUGCAACGAGACCAAGACCAGGAGGACUACGAGAAAGAGGUCACCGUGGAGCCCAAGACGGCGUCAUCACCAAAGCUUUGCGCAGGCGAAGACUACUUUUGUCAGGAUAGCUGAUACUAGCUGUCCCCCUUCAAAUUAGCCCCCCAUUGUUGGCUCCCUUCCCGCUCGAUAUUUGGGAAGAGGACCUGGGCCUCUAUAAAUAGGACCAGCCACCCACAGAGCAAAGAGAGGUUGGAAGAAAAGAGAGGGAUCGAAGGAUAGAGAAGAUCAGGUAGAGAGAGAGAAGGGUGACUGAGCUCCUCCCAGCAGUUCAUGGCCCCAGCCAAGAACAGACCCUCGCGAGGCUGUUCUUCCUUGUAUUGUUCAUCAUCAUCAGCCCAAGAGGCAAUCCACCACACCACACACUGGAGUUGGGUAUUACACCACAACGGUGGCCCGAACCAGUAUAAACCCUGCGUCUCUCGUGUUGUUCUUUCCAUAGUUUACAUCUUAGCGAGGUGGAGGGGUGCAGGUAGGUAGGAGGCGAAAUCUCCGCGCGCACCCCAGUGUUCGAACCUUAAGGGUCUGCCGGAACCCGAAAUCCAACAAUGUGUUGCCUCCGAGGCUGCCAUGUACUCCGCUUCACAUGUAGAUCCCGCCACGAUGCUUUGCUUGCAACUGCACCAGCUGACUGCCCCACCAUUCAAAAUAUACACGUAUCCGGUUUGUGACGUGGAGUCAUCCAGAUCUGUGUCGAAACUAGCAUCGGCGUAACCCUUUACGACGAGCUCUUCGUCACCUCCAUAAACGAGAAACAUAUCCUUAGUCCUUUUCAGGUACUUCAGGAUAUUCUUGACUGUUGUCCAGUGUUCCAUGCCGGGAUUACUUUGGUAUCUUCCUACCAAACUUACGGCAAGGUUUACAUCAGGUCUGGUACACAGCAUGGCAUACAUAAUAGACCCUAUGGCCGAGGCAUAGGGGAUGACACUCAUCUUUUCUCUAUCUUCUGCCGUGGUCGGGCAUUGGGCUGUGCUCAAUCUCACACCUUGCAAUACAGGCAAGAACCCCUUCUUGGACUGAUCCAUAUUGAACUUCUUCAAUAUCUUGUCAAGGUACGUGCUUCGUGAAAGACCAAUGAGGCAUCUCGAUCUAUCUCUAUAGAUCUUGAUGCCUAAUAUGUAAGCACCUUCUCCAAGGUCCUUCAUUGAAAAACACUUAUUCAAGUAGGCCUUUAUGCUUUCCAAGAGUUCUAUAUCAUUUCCCAUCAAUAGUAUGUCAUCCACAUAUAAUAUGAGAAAUGCUACGGAGCUCCCACUCACUCUCUUGUAAACACAGGCUUAUCCAUAAGUCUGUGUAAACCCAAAUGCUUUGAUCAUCUCAUCAAAUCGAAUGUUCCAACUCCGAGAUGCUUGCACCAGCCCAUAGAUUGAGCAUUGGAGCUUGCACACCUUGUCAGCAUUCUUAGGAUCGACAAAACCUUCUGGCUGCAUCAUAUACAAUUCUUCCUUAAGGAAACCAUUAAGGAAUGUCGUUUUGACGUCCAUUUGCCAUAUCUCAUAAUCAUAGAAUGCGGCAAUUGCUAACAUGAUUCAGAUGGACUUCAGCUUCGCUACGGGUGAGAAAGUCUCAUCAUAGUCAACCCCUUGAACUUGUCGAUAACCCUUAGCGACAAGCCGAGCCUUAUAGAUGGUCACAUUACCAUCCGCGUCUGUCUUCUUUUUAAAGAUCCAUUUAUUUUCUAUGGCUCGCCGAUUGUAACAUCCCAAAAUUCUAAAUUUUGGAAUGUUAUAAUAAUUAGAUAGAUUUGAUUGAUUGUUUGAUUGAUUGACUGAAAUUGAGUGAAAUUCGAAACCUUUUUGAAAGUUAAAUGAGAGGGAAUAAAAGGACUUUCCCAAACUUUCAUUUUGCAUUUUGGUUGAUCCUAGAAAUUCUACGCAACUCAAUGACCCACGGAGAGAGUUGGGGAUUUCGUUAUUUUCAUAUUUGAGUUCCCUCAAAUUUUGAGAAUAGGAUCAUUUGAUUUUAUUUAUUUUAUCAUCAAUUAUUUAUUUACAAAAAUAUGAGAGAGGGAAUAAAAUGACUUUCCCAAAAUAAAGAAAUAUUGAGGAUUUAAUAAUAGAAUCACAUAAGAUUUUAUUUCGAAGUUUUUCGGUGUUUUAUUUGAAUUUAGGAAAAAUGUGCAUUUUUCAAAAUUGCAUUUAGGGCCCAAAUAAAUGUUCACCUUGUGCGGCUUGAUUUUAGAAGCCCGUGAAAAUUUAUUUCGGAAUUUUUGAAUCCGUUUAGUAUUUCUUUUUAUUUUUCUUCCGAGCGCCUUUAAAUAGCGCCGCCCCGAGCCGCCCCAGCCCAUCAGCCCCGCCUCGAUCUGCGCGCGCCGCCGGAGCCGCCGUCGCCGCCGACGACAACGAUUCCGCCGCCCGAGGUUUGUCAUGCCUCGUUUUAUGUGCCGAAAAAAAACCGAACCGACUUCGGGCCGUACCCGAGCGGGACACCGCCCGGGGGCAGCCUUUAAAUAGCGUCGCCCUGAGCUGCCCCAGCCCAUCAGCCCCGCCUUGAUCCGCGCGCGCUGCCAGAGCCGUCGCCGCCGCCGCCGACGAUUCCGCCGCCCGAGGUUCGUCGCGCCUCGUUUUCCGUGCCGAAAAAAAUUCAGCGUUCGUCGUUUUUCUUUUUCUCGGAUUAAAUCCGCGAUCUUUCUGAUCGUGAUUCCUGAUCCAAUUUUUGUUUUAGUUUAACUUUUCGCUCGUUUAUAGGAAUCAAGCGAUUCAAGCGCCUAGAGUUUCGUCCCGAAACCCUCUACCCGUUUAACCAACUUAAACAAGAUUUUGCUACUGUAAAAUUUUCCCUAGAUCCAGAUUACUAGAAUGAAGUUGUUUUCUUUCGCCGUUCAUCUUUCGUUGCUUCUUUCGAUUUGAUUCUUUUGCAAACCGGAGUUAUUAAGUUGAACCUUCUGGUUAGAUCUCUUAUUUGAGUUUUACCUGUGCAUUAGAUGAGUACUUAUUGUAUACUUGUUUGUUGUCUGCGAUAGAAUACCUGGAGUGCGCCGCCUGUUACUUCGAAUCGUUAGGUUUCGCGGAUCAUCAGCAAGGCAAGUUCACACUUUGAUCAUACCUCUUUCAUACCCAGUUUUUGUUGCAUUAGAUCAAACCUCAAACAUUGCAUGAUUAGGAUCUAAUUAAAUUGUGGGUAUUGGGAAGUAGUUAAUGAGGUAGGAACCUAUUGCCCUGCAUUCAAACCUUGGGAGUUACUUUUACGUUAUGCUUACAUUGCCAUGCUAUGCUCGUAGACGUGGAUUGGGUUUCGAGAUUAUUCAUGACAGAUGUGAGAUUGUUAAUUAAUGGUUUAUCUAAGGUGGCAACUUAAACACACAUCUGGGUGGAUUGAGGCACCUGGUUAUUCUAGGAUUGCCUGUCUAGGCACCUGGGUAGACCAUGAUUGCCUGUUUUUUUAUGGACCGCCACCCAGGCUCAAAGGGAUCAUGAGAUUAUUCAUACUAGAAACUUCCGUGUGCAUCCACAAGCUAUUAUGGGCUCUAGCAUAGUUGAUUAAGUCGUGUGAACUCUUACAGUGGUAGACUAGCAGAUGUAGGGGUUGUAGGUGGUACGGUCUACCCAUCGUAAGGUGCAAACGCUUCUGAAAGACUAUGUCUCGGUCAUCCGUCUUCUCAAACACCAUGCAGUGCGAGAAACCAAACGGAGGAGAUCAAGUCUUGUGGGGAAAAGUGUGCAAACCUCUGCAGAGUGUAUAAACUAAUUAUGAUUAGCCGUGUCCCCGGUUAUGGACGUCUUGAGUAUCUAGUACCUGGAUUAUCCUGUUGAUCUCAUCAUGUUACUUUAAAUUAAGUUUGUUGGGUUUAAUGAUGUUAUUUAAUUGGGAUUGAGAAUGCUGUCAACCAUUCUCAAUGUUCAACAACCACCAUGAUAGUUAAAUAAAAUAAAUUCCUUGCAGUAGGGAAAAAUUGGCUUUUCGCAAAAACCUUAUAACCAUAGAGCUUUUCCACCAGCCAAAUAUGCAUGUAGUGAUAGCCUUUAUUCAUCAUCCUCUUGUUGUGAAUUUGCCAGUACAUUCAAUGUACUGACCCUCUGUGGCUGCAACAUCUCAUGUUGUAGGAUUUCUUACGACGAGUAAGUGAUACAUUAGGGUUACGAUUUCUACACUCAACUUUGUCGUUGGUGUUGAUGGGAAUCCACAACCUUGUUGCUUCCGCUAUAUGGAUUGAGGUAAUAGUAUUUACGUUACUUUAUACAUGUGAUUUACCUCUGUUAUAAAUCCUUCGAGUAUUGUGCGUGUCAGCAUACCUAUCCAGGGAUGACACUUAAGCAUAGAGACUUGAUCCAUUCAGGUCGGGUCGCUACAAGAUGGUAUCAGAGCACAUGUUGACUGUAGGACGUGACCCUAGAAACUGGCAAGCCCAUAGCAAAGAUUUUCUCUACAACUUUCCCUUUCAAAAAGAUCUUUUACCUCUCUUCUCUUCUGAGCUUAUUCAAAAAAAAUCCCUUUAGUGAGACCAUACCCCCUUUCCCCUUUUGACCACAUGAAGAUUCGGCUAAUGAGACCACUCCAAGAAGUACAAGAUAUCGGACAACUAAGACCACUUCGGAAUGAAGAGUAUUUUCCGUGCAUCUGAAUAAUGGAAACUACAACAGUUGAAGACUCCGAAGACUAGGAGAAUUUGAAGGCUCUGAAGAAUCCAUAGACUUUUAUGACCUAGGAAGGCUACCCUUAUGGAACUUGACAGAUUAUGGAAGUUGUCAAUGCCCGAGAUCAAGGUGUAUCGGAGAAAGACUGGAGCAUGGAGCAUGAGAACUCAAAGUUUUGUCAAAGAAAACCCUAAGGCAGGAGAUAUCCACUAUGGAGAGAUAGCUCAUGGAAAUGACAAGAGCAGAAACACAGCUAUCCAUGACGUUAUUGCCCGCUGAUGCUAUUGUCACCGUGCUGAGUUAAGGAUGCAUUUCUUCAGAAAGGAUUGGAUGGUAGAAGGCUGAUGGAGCAUCUAUCAGCAAGAGGUGAAGUUUUAACCUUAGCUAGUGUAUCACCAGGAUCUGGAGUGUUGCAUCAAGAAGUUAAGAUGGAUCUACAAGAAGCAGUAUUUUGACAAGGAAGUAUUUCAUGAGGAACUCAGGACCCUGAAGAUGAGAGUAGCCAAGCUGGAGGAGCAAAACCUCGAGAAACUGGAGAUUCGUCAGGAACUAGACCAUGGUUCAUGCCAAGGAUGUUGAAACCUAGAAGUUUGAAAUACAACUCCGGAAUAUUAAAGGAUGUCACGAGAGAUUUCACGUCAACAGAGAUGAUAUGGCAAAAGAACUUGAGAAGACAAGCAUGAUCGGAAGAAGCCAUUGGAGGCAUGAACAAGACUCAUAGAGCUUGAUGACUUUGAAGAUUUAUUGACCUUUAGAAGACCAAACCCCAGUUAUAUACCUACGUUAGAAACGACGAAUUGUGAGCUGUCAUUUGUUUGAUGUUUUUCCGACAGCCACAAUAAAAAUCUGUCUUUUCAAAACUGUUGUUUAUAUUGUGUGCAUCCCUCUCUAUCUCUCUUAUCUCACCCCAAACCCAUGGACCCAAUAGAGGAUGAAUGAAGAUGAGCUUAUAUUUCCUGGACCGAUAAGUCAAUUGGAGACGGACCGAUGGAUUCAGAACAUGGAGGAUCACAUGAAGAAUAACCCUGUAGUCGGAAAGGAUAGGACCCAGCAUGCUCUUCAGUGCUUUGAAAGAGGUGCUGGUACUUGGUGGAGGAUAUACCAAACCAUGAAUGUAUGGCAAGGAGUAACCACUUGGAGAGAAUUUAAGUUGACUCUGCCAAAGUCCCGGCUUGUGUCCCAGAAGUUGAAGCCUUAUGGAAAGGAUAUGAAGAAACCUUGUGCAUGCAAGAUUUGUGGAGAAAUAGGACACACCCACAAAGAACACAAGGAUGAAUGCCCUAAUUGUGAAGGAAGUCACCCAGUUGAAGAAUACCCAACUAGGCAGAUUACUUGUUUCUUGUGUGAAGGGAUUACCCACUAUCCUACUCAGUGUCACAUUUACCCCAUGGUACAACGAACCAUCCAACAGAAGAAAGAAGUAAUGAAAGGAGCCCUCAUGGAAAUUUUAGAAGAAGUUGUGAUGAAGGAAGAGAUGGAGGACACACCUAAAGAAGACCCGAGUAAACCCUGCACUAAGUCUUGCUAUUCAUGUGGAGAAGAAGGACACAUCUCCCAGAAUUGUAUGAAUGGGGAUCUGGUAGAAUUCCCGACAGAGGAAGUAGAGUAUGACCCACAAGAAAUCGAAGCCCUGAUUGGCAUGGAAAAGUCCAGGAAGAGAACCCGAUUGGAGCCCAGGAGGGGCCUGAGUCAUAUCACAUGUUAUAGGUGCAAGGAGUCAGGGCACUACCUCAACAGUUGCCCAAAAAGGAAACCUCGAUACUUGCCAGCAGUAAUAUGUUUUAUUUGUAAUGGAGCAGGGCACUUUGCCAGAGAAUGCCCCAAGGAGAAGGAAACUUGUGCUAGAUAGUUGAGUUUACAACAAAAGAAAAGGAGUAGUAGAAGUGAGAACAUUUUCUUUUAUAUUGAGGUGUUUAGUUGAGACAUGUAAUGGAAAAGUGAGAGAUUGUAAUCACCUAAGAAUGAAUAAAGUUAGCAUCAUUGGUACUGAUAUGGAUUUUAUGAGUUGUUACUCUAUGAAGAAGAAUUUUGGCCAUUCUGAGGAUAUGAGAAAUAUGGUAUAUGGAAGAUUUGUGCAUUUUAAGGGUGGUAGUACCCUGUAAGAACCCUUGACCCCUGGAAAAGAUAAGGAUACUCCACUGAGUGGAUUUCGGACAAAAUGAAUACGAGUUUUGUCUCGAUAUGUGCGAUGCCCCAAGAGUAUGUGGGAUGAAGUUGGAGACCGUCAGUUGUUUGGACCAAAUGUGAUCAAGGAGUUAGAAGAGAAUGUUAAGUUGAUUCGAGAUAGACUGAAGGUAGCUCAGUCCAGGCAGAAGAGUUAUGCAGACUCAAAAAUGCAAGGAGGUAGUCUAUGAAAUUGGAGACAGAGCAUGUCUUCGUGUCCCCUCUGCGAGGAGUUAAACGAUUUGUAGUUAAGGGAAAGUUAGCCCCGAGAUUUGUAGGACCAUACCGAGUUUUGGAGCGUAUGAGAGAAGUGGCCUACAAGUUGGAGUUACCCGAAGGAUUGUCAGGAGUUCAUGAUGUGUUCCACAUUUCCCAGUUGAAGAAGUGCCAUGCAGGGAUGGCCAAUAUUCCCCUGUAAGGACGCUUGACCCUGGAAAGGAUAAUGAUGUUCCAUGAAGUGGAGUAUGGACUUCAUAAGUAUAAGUUUUUAUCUUGGUAUGUGGGAUACCCCACGAGGAUGAAGAGAUGAAUUACUAUUGGAUAUAAAGGAGGUAUGAUGUUGGAAAUAUGGAUCAAUGGAAAAUUCCAUGAUGAGUCUGAGUAAUCAUGUCCUAGUUUGGUGCCAAUAGAAGGAAGGAAGACAAUAUAAUUGGAUGGAUUUAAAAAUACUAGGAAGUUGGAAGUUGGAAUAAUGACCAGUUGCCCGAUGAUAAGUUCAAGGUUUACAAGUGAUGAGAUGGGCCAUAACCCACAUGCCCCAGGACCUGCCAAGAAGCAAGCACAUUCUUGCUGAAGGAAAAACCCUGGAGGAAGAUACGAUGUUUAUCGGCAGACAAUCUUAUAGGGGUUAUGCAAAACCUAAGAGUUGUGAAGGAACGAUAGAUGUUUGUUUGGCUUGCAGAAUCAAGGGAUUAUUCCGAACGCAGUUCGUGGACAAGAGAAAUUCUGCAAUGCUUGUGAGGAUGACCGAGCGUUAGAAUGCGAGAUUCGCUAAACCGUAUACAAGGUAAUGAUUUGGGUGCGGGAUGGAUUGAUCACCAUACCGACUUACUCUUAUUAUUCGCCUUGCUAUAUGGGAUGGUAAAUCUGAGUGACUUACCUAUAGUAGAGAGACGACGAACAAACCUUGUUUAAACCCUAGAAUGGUAUAAGUAUUUUUCCUUGUACAUGGCAGCUUUUACCAACCGUAGGUUAUACGGUGAGGAUCAACCCAGACUCAUUUCCUGCAGGAGAAACCAUAAAUGGUUGACCACCAUGAGAUAUUGAUAGUUGAUUAGUACUGGCGCCAGACCUAUCAGCUAUGAAGACCCAGUAUCGGAAUAACCUUACCAAGAGGAAAGGACAAAAGAAUUGAGGAAAAGGUUAUGUCGUUACCGGAAGAGCUCGGAGGAGGAAUUUUCUCGAGGAUCUGAGAAGACCGACACUGUCAAGAAUAAGGAGGGAGUAUAUGAGUUUUGAUGGAACAGUAACCAUGCUUCUAAGGGUGGUAGCACCCCAGACCCCUGUGAUGAUCUAUGGAUUUUGAGAAGACCCACAAACCCUAACCUAUUUCUUUCUAGCCUCUCCGAAUCUCGAGGACGAGAUUCAUUUUAAGGGUGGUAGGUUUGUAACAUCCCAAAAUUCUAAAUUUUGGAAUGUUAUAAUAAUUAGAUAGAUUUGAUUGAUUGUUUGAUUGAUUGAUUGAAAUUGAGUGAAAUUCGAAACCUUUCUUAAAGUUAAAUGAGAGGGAAUAAAAGGACUUUCCCAAACUUUCAUUUUGCAUUUUGGUUGAUCCUAGAAAUUCUACGCAACUCAAUGACCCACGGAGAGAGUUGGGGAUUUCGUUAUUUUCAUAUUUGAGUUCCCUCAAAUUUUGAGAAUAGGAUCAUUUGAUUUUAUUUAUUUUAUCAUCAAUUAUUUCUAUUACAAAAAUAUGAGAGAGGGAAUAAAAUGACUUUCCCAAAAUAAAGAAAUAUUGAGGAUUUAAUAAUAAAAUCAAAUAAUAUUUUAUUUCGGAGUUUUUCGGUGUUUUAUUUGAAUUUAGGAAAAAUGUGCGUUUUUCAAAAUUGCAUUUAGGGCCCAAAUAAAUGUUCACCUUGUGCGGCUUGAUUUUAGAAGCUCGUGAAAAUUUAUUUCAGAAUUUUUGGAGUCCGUUUAGUAUUUCUUUUUAUUUUUCUUGCGAGAGGAAUAAUAAUAAAAAAAAUCGGCGUUCAUCGUUUUUCUUUUUCUCGGAUUAAAUCCGCGAUUUUUCUGAUCACGAUUCCUGAUCCGAUUUUCGUUUUAGUUUAACUUUUCACUCGUUUAUCGGAAUCAGGCGAUUCAAGCGCCUAGAGUUUCGUCUCGGAACCCUCUAUCCGUUUAACCAACUUAAACAAGAUUUUGCUACUGUAAAAUUUGCCCUAGAUCCAGAUUACUAGAACGAAGUUGUUUUCUUUCGCCGUUCGUCUUUCGUUGCUUCUUUCGAUUUGAUUCUUUUGCAAACCGGAGUUCUUAAGUUGAACCUUCUGGUUAGAUCUCUUAUUUGAGUUUUACCUAUGCAUUAGAUGAGUACUUAUUGUAUGCUUGUUUGUUGUCUGCGAUAGAAUACCCGGAGUGCGCCGCCUGUUACUUCGAAUCGUUAGGUUUCGCGGAUCAUCAGCAAGGCAAGUUCACACUUUGAUCAUACCUCUUUCAUACCCAGUUUUUGUUGCAUUAGAUCAAACCUCAAACAUUGCAUGAUUAGGAUCUAAUUAAAUUGUGGGUAUUGGGAAGUAGUUAAUGAGGUAGGAACCUAUUGCCCUGCAUUCAAACCUUGGGAGUUACUUUUACGUUAUGCUUACAUUGCCAUGCUAUGCUCGUAGACGUGGAUUGGGUUUUGAGAGUAUUCAUGACAGAUGUGAGAUUGUUAAUUAAUGGUUUAUCUAAGGUGGCAACUUAAACACACAUCUGGGUGGAUUGAGGCACCUGGUUAUUCUAGGAUUGCCUGUCUAGGCACCUGGGUAGACCAUAAUUGCCUGUUUUUUUAUGGACCGCCACCCAGGCUCAAAGGGAUCAUGAGAUUAUUCAUACUAGAAACUUCCGUGUGCAGCCACAAGCUAUUAUGGGCUCUAGCAUAGUUGAUUAAGUCGUGUGAACUCUUACAGUGGUAGACUAGCAGAUGUAGGGGUUGUAGGUGGUACGGUCUACCCAUCGUAAGGUGCAAACACUUCUGAAAGACUAUGUCUCGGUCAUUCGCCUUCUCAAACACCAUGCAGUGCGAGAAACCAAACGGAGGCGAUCGAGUCUUGUGGGGAAAAGUGCACAAACCUCUGCAGACUGUAUAAACUAAUCAUGAUUAGUCGUGUCCCUGGUUAUGGACGUCUUGAGUAUCUAGUACGUGGAUUAUCCCGUUGAUCUCAUCAUGUUACUUUAAAUUAAGUUUUUUGGGUUUAAUGAUGUUAUUUAAUUGGGAUUGAGAAUGCUGUCAACCAUUCUCAAUGUUCAACAACCACCAUGAUAGUUAAAUAAAAGAAAUUCCUUGCAGUAGGCAAAAAUUGGCUUUUCGCAAAAACUUUAUAACCAUAGAGCUUUUCCACUAGCCAAAUAUGCAUGUAGUGAUAGCCUUUAUUCAUCAUCCUCUAUGGUGUGAAUUUGCCAGUACAUUCAAUGUACUGAUCCUCUGUGGUUACAACGUCUCAUGUUGCAGGAUUUCUUACGACGAGUAAGUGAUACGUUAGGGUUACGAUUUCUACACUCAACUUUGCCGUUGGUGUUGAUGGGAAUCCACAACCUUGUUGCUUCCGCUAUAUGGAUUGAGGUAAUAGUAUUUACGUUACUUUAUACAUGUGAUUUACCUCUGUUAUAAAUCCUUCAAGUACUGUGUGUGUCAGCAUACCAAUCCAGGGAUGACACUUAAGCAUAGAGACUUGAUCCAUUCGGGUCGGGUCGCUACAAGAUCAUCGGGCAAGUCAGUCAAAGUCCAUACUUCGUUUUCAUACAUGGAUCCUAUCUCGGAUUUCAUGGCUUCCAGCCAUUUGUGAUCCAGGCCCGCCAUUGUUGGGGAACGUAGUAAUUUCAAAAAAAAUCCUGCGCACACGCAAGAUCAUGUGAUGCAGAGCAACGAGAGGGGGGGAGUGUGAUCUACACACCUAGUAGAUCGACAACGGAAGCGUUUGGUUGAUGUAGUCGUACGUCUUCACGAUCUGACCGAUCAAGCACCGAAACUACGACACCUCCGAGUUCUAGCACACGUUUAGCUCGAUGACGAUCCCCGGACUCCGAUCCAGCAAAGUGUCGGGGAAGAGUUCCGUCAGCACGACGGCGUGGUGACGAUCUUGAUGCACUACAGCAGCAGGGCUUCGCCUAAACUCCGCUACAGUAUUAUCGAGGACUAUGGUGGCUGGGGGCGCCGCACACGGCUAAGGAAAAGAUCACGUGGAUCAACUUGUGUGUCUCUAGGGUGCCUCUGAUUCAGUAUAUAAAGGACCAAAGGGGGGAGGCGGCCGGCCAAGGAGGGCGCGCCAGGAGAGUCCUACUCCCUCUGGGAGUAGGAUCCCCCCCCCACACACACAAUCCUAGUUGGAAUAGGAUUCGCGGAGGGGGGAAAAGAGAGAGAGGGGCCGGCCCCCUCUCCUUGUCCAAUUUGGACCAAGGGAGGGGAGGGGUGCGCGGCCCACUAUGGGCUGCCUCUUCUCUUUUCCACCAAGGCACAUUAAGGCCCAUCUAGCUCCCCGGGGGGUUCCGGUAACCUCCCGGUACUCCGGUAAAAUCCUGAUUUCACCCGGAACACUUCCGAUAUCCAAACAUAGGCUUCCAAUAUAUCAAUCUUUAUGUCUCGACCAUUUCGAGACUCCUCGUCAUGUCCGUGAUCACAUCCGGGACUCCAAACAACCUUCGGUACAUCAAAAUGCAUAAACUCAUAAUAUAACUAUCAUCGUAACCUUAAGCGUGCGGACCCUACGGGUUCGAGAACAAUGUAGACAUGACUGAGACACGUCUCCGGUCAAUAACCAAUAGCGGGACCUGGAUGCCCAUAUUGGCUCCUACAUAUUCUAUGAAGAUCUUUAUCGGUCAGACCGCAUAACAAUAUAUGUCGUUCCCUUUGUCAUCGGUAUGUUACUUGCCCGAGAUUCGAUCGUCGGUAUCCAAUACCUAGUUCAAUCUCGUUACCGGUAAGUCUCUUUACUCGUUCCGUAAUACAUCAUCUCACAAUUAACAUAUUAGUUGUAAUGCUUGCAAGGCUUAUGUGAUGUGCAUUACCGAGAGGGCCCAGAGAUGCCUCUCCGACAAUCGGAGUGACAAAUCCUAAUCUCGAAAUACGCCAACCCAACAUGUACCUUUGGAGACACCUAUAGAGCUCCUUUAUAAUCACCCAGUUAUGUUGUGACGUUUGGUAGCACCCAAAGUGUUCCUCCGGCAAACGGGAGUUGCAUAAUCUCAUAGUCAUAGGAACAUGUAUAAGUCAUGAAGAAAGCAAUAGCAAUAUACUAAACGAUCGGGUGCUAAGCUAAUGGAAUGGGUCAUGUCAAUCAGAUCAUUCUCUUAAUGAUGUGAUCCCAUUAAUCAAAUAACAACUCAUUGUUCAUGGUUAGGAAACAUAACCAUCUUUGAUUAACGAGCUAGUCAAGUAGAGGCAUACUAGUGACACUCUGUUUGUCUAUGUAUUCACACAUGUAUUAUGUUUCCGGUUAAUACAAUUCUAGCAUGAAUAAUAAACAUUUAUCAUGAUAUAAGGAAAUAAAUAAUAACUUUAUUAUUGCCUCUAGGGCAUAUUUCCUUCAGUCUCCCACUUGCACUAGAGUCAAUAAUCUAGAUUACACAGUAAUGAUUCUAACACCCAUGGAGUCUUGGUGCUGAUCAUGUUUUGCUCGUGGAAGAGGCUUAGUCAACGGGUCUGCCACAUUCAGAUCCGUAUGUAUCUUGCAAAUCUCUAUGUCUCCCACCUGGACUAGAUCCCGGAUGGAAUUGAAGCGUCUCUUGAUGUGCUUGGUUCUUUUGUGAAAUCUGGAUUCCUUUGCCAAGGCAAUUGCACCAGUAUUGUCACAAAAGAUUUUCAUUGGAACCGAUGCACUAGGUAUGACACCUAGAUCGGAUAUGAACUCCUUCAUCCAGACUCCUUCAUUUGCUGCUUCCGAAGCAGCUAUGUACUCUGCUUCACAUGUAGAUCCCGCUACGACGCUUUGUUUAGAACUGCACCAACUGACAGCUCCAUCGUUUAAUGUAAACACGUAUCCGGUUUGCGAUUUAGAAUCGUCCGGAUCAGUGUCAAAGCUUGCAUCAACGUAACAUUUUACGAUGAGCUCUUUGUCACCUCCAUAUACGAGAAGCAUAUCCUUAGUCCUUUCAGGUAUUUCAGGAUGUUCUUGACCGCUGUCCAGUGAUCCACUCCUGGAUUACUUUGGUACCUCCCUGCUAGACUUAUGCAAGGCACACAUCAGGUCUGGUACACAGCAUUGCAUACAUGAUAGAUCCUAUGGCUGAUGCAUAGGGAACAUCUUUCAUAUUCUCUCUAUCUUCUGCAGUGGUCGGGCAUUGAGUCUUACUCAACUUCACACCUUGUAACACAGGCAAGAAUCCUUUCUUUGCUUGAUCCAUUUUGAACUUCUUCAAAACUUUGUCAAGGUAUGUGGUUUGUGAAAGUCCAAUUAAGCAUUUUGAUCUAUCUCUAUAGAUCUUAAUGCCUAAUAUGUAAGCAGCUUCACCGAGGUCUUUCAUUGAAAAACUUUUAUUCAAGUAUCCCUUUAUGCUAUCCAGAAAUUCUACAUCAUUUCCAAUUAGUAAUAUGUCAUCCACAUAUAAUAUCAGAAAUGCUACAGAGCUCCCACUCACUUUCUUGUAAAUACAGGCUUCUCCAAAAGUCUGUAUAAAACCAAACGCUUUGAUCACACUAUCAAAAUGUUUAUUCCAACUCCGAGAGGCUUGCACCAGUCCAUAAAUGGAUCGCUGGAGCUUGCACACUUUGUUAGCUCCCUUUGGAUCGACAAAACCUUCUGGUUGCAUCAUAUACAACUCUUCUUCCAGAAAUCCAUUCAGGAAUGCAGUUUUGACAUCCAUCUGCCAAAUUUCAUAAUCAUAAAAUGCGUCAAUUGCUAACAUGAUUCGGACAGACUUAAGCAUCGCUACGGGUGAGAAGGUCUCAUCGUAGUCAAUCCCUUGAACUUGCCGAAAACCUUUUGCGACAAGUCGAGCUUUGUAGACAGUAAUAUUACCGUCAGCGUCAGUCUUCUUCUUGAAGAUCCAUUUAUUCUCAAUUGCUUGCCGAUCAUCGGGCAAGUCAACCAAAGUCCAUACUUUGUUCUCAUACAUGGAUCCCUUCUCAGAUUUCAUGGCUUCAAGCCACUUUGCGGAAUCUGGGCUCAUCAUCGCUUCUUCAUAGUUCGUAGGUUCAUCAUGAUCUAGUAGCAUGACUUCUAGAACAGGAUUACUGUACCACUCUGGCACGGAUCUUACUCUGGUUGAUCUACGAUGUUCAGUAGUUUCUUGUUCUGAAGUUUCAUGAUCAUCAUCAUUAGCUUCCUCACUAACUGGUGUAGGUGUCGCAGAAACAGUUUUCUGUGAUGUACUACUUUCCAAUAAGGGAGCAGGUACAAUUACCUCGUCAAGUUCUACUUUCCUCCCACUCACUUCUUUCGAGAGAAACUCCUUCUCUAGAAAGUUUCCGAAUUUAGCAACAAAAGUCUUGCCUUCGGAUCUGUGAUAGAAGGUGUAUCAAAUAGUUUCCUUUGGAUAACCUAUGAAGACACAUUUCUCCGAUUUGGGUUCGAGCUUAUCAGGUUGAAGCUUUUUCACAUAAGCAUUGCAGCCCCAAACUUUUAGAAACGACAACUUUGGUUUCUUGCCAAACCACAGUUCAUAAGGCAUCGUCUCAACGGAUUUUGACGGUGCCCUGUUUAACGUGAAUGCGGACGUCUCUAGAGCGUAUCCCCAAAACGAUAGCGGUAAAUCAGUAAGAGACAUCAUAGAUCGCACCAUAUCUAGUAAAGUACGAUUACGACGUUCGGACACACCAUUACGCUGUGGUGUUCCGGGUGGCGUGAGCUGCGAAACUAUUCUGUAUUGUUUCAAAUGUACACCAAACUCGUAACUCAAAUAUUCUCCUCCACGAUCAGAUCGUAGAAA
rnacentral:lncRNA from 1 species